UUUUUUUUGUUUUGUUUUUUGCAUUAUUUAUUUUCUUUUAUUUUUUGCUUUAUUUUUUAAUACUUUUUGCUUUUAGGUCAGAAAAAUUAUAAACUUUCUGUUAGUGCCAUUAGUUUUAGAAAAAUUAUAAACUUUAUGUUAGUGCCAUUAGUUUUCAAAUUUGAAUAGUUAAAAUUUGAAUAAUGGUAUUAGGUCAGAAAAGGUUGAAAGUUGGCAUGGUAUCAUAAUUUCACCCACAUAGCAUGUGCAUGUACAAAACGGACAAUUGUAUCAUACUCGUCUGUUACAAAGUUGGCAUGGUAUCAUCAUAAUAGUUGCGGGAGAAAGUCUUCACUUUUUCUUCGCUUGUGUCAUUUGCUUAUUGCGCCAUAACCAUGGAUAAUCUUCGUCGUUUAUCAGGAUGCUUGGGUCAGCCUUGUUUGAAGGGAGGAAUUUCAUGAAACUUUUCAUAAUCUUUAGACAUGCCUGUCUUGCCCUCCACUCCCACGAUGUCCCUUUUUCCUGAAAAAACUAUGUGGCGCUUUGGCUCAUCGUAUGAUGUAUUCGCUUCCUUAUCUUUUCUUUUUCUCAGUUUGGUAGACAUGUCCUUCACAUAGAUAACCUGUGCCACAUCAUUGGCUAGGACGGAUGGUUCGUCAGUGUACCCAAGAUUUUUCAGAUCCACUGUUGUCAUUCCGCACUGUGGGUCUACCUGUACCCCACCUCCUGACUUUGGGUCUACCUGUACCCCACCUUCUUAAAAUCAUGUAUGUAGUCAAGUUCCCAUAUGUCCACUAUGUAACCAUAAUAUGUGUCCUUUCCCCUCUCGGUUGCUGCAUCAAAGCGGACACCGCUGUUUUGGUUGGUGCUCUUUUGAUCUUGGGUGAUCGUGUAAAAUGUAUUCUCAUUUAUCUCGUAUCCUUUGUAAGUCAAUACAGUCAAAGAUGGUCCCCUGGACAACAAGUACAGCUCAUCACAAACAGUGUUGUCACCUCUGAGACGUGUUUCCAACCAACUGCUGAAAGUCCUGAUGUGUUCACAUGUAAUCCAGUCGUCGCACUGCUCUGGGUGUUUGGAGCGCAGACUGUUCUUGUGUUCAUCGACAUACGGGGUCACCAAGGUAGAGUUCUGUAGAACUAUGUAGUGUGCUUGAGACCAAGAAUAUCCAUCCCGGCAUAUUAUUGAGUCCCCUCCCAGCGUGCCUUUUCUAGUCAGUCUUCCCUCAUACCGUGAUUUAGGGAGACCUAUCUUCUUAAGGCCAAGAAUGAAGUCAACACAAAACCCAAUGACAUCCUCUGUUUGAUGGCCCAUGGAGAUGCUUCCUUAUGGCCUAGCACGGUUACGAACAUAUUUCUUUAGGACUCCGAUGAACCUCUCAAAGGGGAACAUAUUGUGUAGAAAUACGGGUCCCAGAAUGACAAUCUCGUCGACUAGAUGAACUAGGACGUGCGUCAUGAUAUUGAAGAAGGAUGGUGGGAACACCAGCUCGAAACUGACAAGACAUUGCGCCACAUUACUCCUUAGCCUUGGUACGAUUUCUGGAUCGAUCACCUUCUGAGAGAUUGCAUUGAGGAAUGCACAUAGCUUCACAAUGGCUAAUCGGACGUUUUCUGGUAGAAGCCCCCUCAAUGCAACCGGAAGCAGUUGCGUCAUAAUCACGUGGCAGUCAUGAGACUUUAUGUUCUGGAAGUUUUUCUCUGGCAUAUUUAUUAUUCCCUUUAUAUUCGACGAGAAGCCAGUCGUGACCUUCAUACUGAGCAGGCAUUCAAAGAAGAUUUCUUUCUCUUCUUUCGUAAGAGCAUAGCUGGCAGGACCUUCAUACUGCUUUGGAGGCAUGCCGUCUUUUUUGUGCAAAUGUUGCAGGUCCUCCCGUGCCUCAGGUGUAUCUUUUGUCUUCCCAUACACGCCCAAUAAGCCUAGCAGGUUCACGCAAAGGUUCUUCGUCACAUGCAUCACAUCGAUUGAAGAGCGGACCUCUAGGUCUUUCCAAUAGGGUAGGUCCCAAAAUAUAGAUUUCUUCUUCCACAUGGGUGCGUGUCCCUCAGCGUCAUUCGGAACAGCUAGUCCUCCGGGACCCUUUCCAAAGAUUACGUGUAAAUCAUUGACCAUAGCAAGUACGUGAUCACCAGUACGCAUGGCGGGCUUCUUCCGGUGAUCUGCCUCGCCUUUGAAAUGCUUGCCUUUCUUUCAACAUUGAUGGUUGGUUGGAAGAAAUCGACGAUGGCCCAGGUACACAUUCGUCCUGCAUUUGUCCAGGUAUAUACUUUCAGUUUCAUCUAAACAGUGCAUGCAUGCGUGGUAUCCCUUGUUUGUCUGUCCUGAAAGGUUACUGAGAGCGGGCCAAUCGUUGAUGGUUACAAAUAGCAACGCGUGCAGGUUAAAUUCCUCCUGUUUGUGCUCAUCCCACGUACGUACACUGUUUCCAUUCCGCAGCUGUAAAAGUUCUUCAACUAAUGGCCUUAGGAACACAUCAAUGUCGUUACCGGGUUGCUUAGGGCCUUGGAUGAGAAUUGGCAUCAUAAUGAACUUCCGCUUCAUGCACAUCCAAGGAGGAAGGUUAUACAUACAUAGAGUCACGGGCCAGGUGCUGUGAUUGCUGCUCUGCUCCCCGAAAGGAUUAAUGCCAUCCGCGCUUAAACCAAACCAUACGUUCCUUGGGUCACUUACAAACUCAGGCCAGUACUUUCUCUCGAUUUUUCUCCACUGCGACCCGUCAGCGGGUGCUAUCAACUUCUCGUCUUUCUUAUGGUCCUCACUGUGCCAUCGCAUCAACUUGGCAUGCUCUUUGUUUCUGAAUAGAUGUUUCAACCGUGGUAUUAUAGGAGCAUACCACAUCACCUUCGUGGGAACCCUCUUCCUGGGGGGCUCGUCGUCAACAUCACCAGGGUCAUCUCGUCUGAUCUUAUACCGCAAUGCACCGCAUAGCGGGCAUGCGUUGAGAUCCUUGUACGCACCAUGGUAGAGGAUGCAGUCAUUAGGGCAUGCAUGUUUCUUCUGCACCUCCAAUCCUAGAGGGCAUACGACCUUCUUUACUGCGUAUGUACUGUCGGGCAAUUCGUUAUCCUUUGGAAGCUUCUUCUUCAAUAUUUUCAGUAGCUUCUCACAUCCUUUGUCAGGCACAACAUUCUCUUCCUUCCACUGCAGCAAUUCCAGUACGGUACCGACCUUUGCGUUGCCAUAUUCGCAAUUGGGGUACAACCCUUUUUUGUGAUCCUCUAGCAUGCGAUCGAACUUCAGCUUCUCCUUUUGACUUUCGCAUUGCGUCCUUGCAUCGACAAUGACCCGGCGGAGAUCAUCAUCACCGGGCACAUCGUCUGGUUCCUCAUGAUCUUCAGCAGCUUCCCCCGUUGCAGCACCAUUGGGCACAUCGUCUGGUUCCUCUUGAUCUUCAGCAGCUUCCCCUGUUGCAGCAUCACCGUAUUCAGGGGGCACAUAGUUGUCAUCGUCCUCUUCUUCUUCGCCGUCUUCCAUCAUAACCCCUAUUUCUCCAUGCCUCGUCCAAACAUUAUAGUGUGGCAUGAAACCAUUGUAAAGCAGGUGGGUGUGAAGCAUUUUCCGGUCAGAGUAAGACUUCGUAUUCCCACAUUUAGGGCAUGGACAACACAUAAAACCAUUUUGCUUGUUUGCCUCAGCCACUUCGAGAAAAUCAUGCACGCCCUUAAUGUACUCGGAGGUGUGUCUGUCACCGUACAUCCAUUGCUGGUUCAUCUGCGUGCAUUAUAUAAUUAAUUGUGUCAAAAACCAUUGCAGAACAUCAUGAAUAGAUAAUUAAGUGACCAAAUUAAUAGAAGUUCAUCAUCACAUUAAAACCAAAGUACAUACAUAGUUCUCAUCUAACAACAUAUAGCUCUCCAGAGCAUCUAAUUAAUUAAACCAUACAUUGAAACUAUGUAAAACAUUUCAAUGCGAAAACAAAUGCGAUCAUAAUCGCAACCAAGGUAACAAUUGAUCCAACGACAUAAUGAUACCAAGCCUCGGUAUGAAUGGCAUAUUUUCUAAUCUUUCUCAUCUUCAACCGCAUUGCAUCCAUCUUGAUCUUGUGAUCAUCGAUGACAUCCGCAACAUGCAACUCCAAUAUCAUCUUCUCAUCCUUGAUUUUUUUUUCCUUCAAGUAAUUGUUUUCUUCUUCAACUAAAUUUAAUCUCUCGACAAUAGGGUCGGUUGGAAUUUUCGGUUCAACUACCUCCUACAUAAAUAAAAUCUAUGUCACGUUGGUCGGCAUAAUUGUCAUAAACAAUAAAUGAACCAAAUAGUUAUAAAAAGAUAAAUAUACCACAUCCGAAUCAUAGCCAGGACGAGGGCCGACGAGGGAGGAUACCAAAACCAUCGCACUAUAUAUAUAAUAACAAGCAAUAAUAAAAGUAAGAAAAUUAGACAAGUAUCUAUCUAAAGUAAGAAUUUUUUUCUUUCAAAAAGAAGAUAAGAACAAGAGGCUCACCAUGGUGGUGCCGGCGACGAGAUCGGUGCGGGCGAUCGAUGGUGGUGAAGACGGGAAUGGGACAUGACGGGCCGCUAAACCUAGACAAAUCUCAAGGAAAAUGGAGCUUUGAGGUCGAGCUUCGAGAGGAGAAAGCUUAACUAGUGUGGCUCGGGCAUUUCAUUGAACACCUCAUGUGCAUAGGAGGUGAGCUAGAGCACCACAAAGCCCUCCCCUCACCGGCCAGAGAAAAACAGAGCACUGUGGAGUGCUCUACUCGCGGGCGAGGGGUAUAUAUAGGCACCUCAUUGGUCCCGGUUCGUGGCAUGAACCGGGACUAAAGGGAAGCCUUUGGUCCCGGUUCAAGCCACCAACCAGAACCAAUGGUGGUGGGCCAGGAGCGAGGCCCAUUGGUCCCGGUUCGUCCCACCAACCUGGACCAAAGGGGCCAGACGAACCGGGACCAAUGCCCCCACAAGGCCCGGCAGGCCCCUGGCCUCACGAACCGGGACCAAUGCCCCCAUGGGUCCCAGUUAUGGACUGAACCGGGACUAAUGGGCUGACCCGGCCUGAACCAAAGCCCUCUUUUCUACUAGUGGGGGUUCGCCACAGUGGCAGACAGGAGGUGGAAAGUAUCUACAUUGUACAAGUCUAUCUCCAGGAACUAUAGGACAAACGCAUUUACUGCGCUGCCGACGUGCCCCCAUGCUUUAUCGAGGACAAAAAAGAAGCCCGUCUCGUCCGUCGCCGCCUCGUCUCGCUUCGACACGCGUCCAAGUUGACAAGGCGUGUAGCGCCACGCUGGCUGGCUGGCUGCUGCGUAGGUGUGGUGGCAGGGUCUUCAUGAAGAUCAGCAUGCCACCACGCAGGUGCUUGCCUAGUUGGCCUAGAAGCUGCAUGCUGCCACGUAGGUGCUCGCCUGGUUGGCAAGCUGAUCGCCACGUGGGAGCGGUCGCGGGGCAGCGAAACCUUGGUAGGCACGAGCCUGGCUGUGGCCCUGCAGAUGUCCCCGGCAAGGGUUUGCCGGGUUCCCGAUAAGGGUCUUGCCGGGGUCUCGUGGGCGUCCCCGGCAACACCUUCAUCUUUUGGUUAUCAUCUAGUCUUGUAGGCCUUUAUUCAUCACAGAGAUCGGCAUGCCACCAUGCUGGUGCCCCCUGAGCCUUGGUUCCAAUGUUGUUGAUGGUGUCGGAACUCUCAGGCUCGAGGGUGGUGGCCUUGCUGGCGUUGGGCAAUGAUACGUCUCCAACAUACCUAUAAUUUUUGAUUGUUCCAUGCUAUAUUAUAUCCUGUUUUGGACAUUAUUGGGCUUUAUUAUACACUUUUCUAUUAUUUUUGAGACUAACCUAUCAACUUGAGGCCCAACCCAGAAUUGCUGUUUUUUUCCUAUUUUAGAGUUUCGUAGAAAAAGAAUAUCAAACGGAGUCCAAACGGAAUGAAACCUUCGGGAACGUGAUUUUUGGAAUGAACGUGAUCCAGGGGACUUGGACCCUACGUCAAGACAUCAACCAGGAAGGCACGAGGUAGGGGGGUGCACCUACCCCCCCAGGCACGCCCUCCACCCCGUGGGGCCCAUGUUGCUCCACCGAUGUAGUCCUUCCUCCUAUAUAUACCUACGUACCCCCAAACUACCAGAUACAGAGCCAAAACCCUAAUUCCACCGCCGUAACUUUCUGUAUCCACGAGAUCCCAUCUUGGGGCCUUUCCGGAGCUCCGCCGGAGGGGGUAUCGAUCAUGGAGGGCUUCUACAUCAACACCAUAGCCUCUCCGAUGAAGUGUGAGUAGUUUACUUCAGACCUACGGGUCCAUAGUUAUUAGCUAGAUGGCUUCUUCCCUCUUUUUGGAUCUCAAUACAAAGUUCUCCCCCUCUCUUGUGGAGAUCUAUUCGAUGUAAUCUUCUUUUGCGGUGUGUUUGUUGAGAUCGAUGAAUUGUGGUUUAUGAUCAAGUUUAUCUAUGAACAAUAUUUUAUUCUUCUCUGAAUUCUUUUAUGUAUGAUUGGUUAUCUUUGCAAGUCUCUUCGAAUUAUCAGUUUGGUUUGGCCUACUAGAUUGAUCUUUCUUGCAAUGGGAGAAGUGCUUAGCUUUGGGUUCAAUCUUGCGGUGUCCUUUCCCAGUGACAGUAGGGGCAGCAAGGCACGUAUUGUAUUGUUGCCAUCGAGGAUAACAAGAAGGGGUUUAUAUCAUAUUGCAUGAGUUUAUCCCUCUACAUCAUAUCAUCUUGCUUAAAGAGUUACUCUGUUCUCUUGAACUUAAUACUCCAGAUGUAUGCUAGAUAGUGGUAGAUGUGUGGAGUAAUAGUGGUAGAUGCAGGCAGGGGUCGGUCUACUUGUCUCGGACGUGAUGCCUAUAUACAUGAUCAUACCUAGAUAUUCUCAUAACGAUGCUAAAUUGUGUCAAUUGCUCAACAGUACUUUUUGACCCACCAUAAUACUUAUGCUCUCGAGAGAAGCCUCUUGUGAAACCUAUGGCCCCCAGGUCUAUUUUCCAUCAUAUUAAUCUUCCAAUACUUAGUUAUUUCCUUUGCCAUUUAUUUUACUUGCAUCUUUAUUUCUAUUUAUCAUAAAAAUACCAAAAAUAUUAUCUUAUCAUAUCUAUCAGAUCUCACUCUCGUAGAUGACCGUGAAGGGAUUGACAACCCCUUUAUUGCGUUGGUUGCGAGGAGUUUAUUUGUUUGUGUAGGUGCGAGGGACUCGUGCGUGGCCUCCUACUGGAUUGAUACCUUGGUUCUCAAAAACUGAGGGAAAUACUUAUGUUGCUCUGUUGCAUCACCCUUUCCUCUUCAUGGGAAAACCAAUGCAGUGCUCAAGAGGUAGCAAGAAGGAUUUCUGGCACCGUUGCCGGGGAGUCUACGCAAAAGUCAACAUACCAAGUACCCAUCACAAAACCUUAUCUCCCGCAUUAUAUUAUUUGCCAUUUGCUUCUCGUUUUCCUCUCCCACCACUUCACCCUUGCGUUUUAUUCGCCCUCUCUCUCUCCAUCCUCCCUCUCUUUCUCUAUUCGCCUCUUUUUACCCGUUUCUUGUUUGCUAGUGUGUAGGAUUGCUUGCUUGUCAUGAUGGCUCUAUCUAGAUUUGGUGAUCUUCACCUUAAAAGGUUAGAAGAGAUCGAGGGCAACAUCAGGAGUUUUAUGGUCUUACAAUUUGAGCAUAAUAAUUUCUUUAGAAAUGAGCUUAAAGAACAAAAAAGCUUUAUGGGUUAUAUGAACAAAGAGCUCAAUGAUAUGUCUAAAGAAUUUGAUGGUUUCAAAUCUCAGAUUGCUCAUCUUGAGAAGUUAAUAGCUGAAGUUUCGGAUAAGCAAGCCACCUUAGUUAAUAAGAUGGCCGCUAAGCCGGAAAUUUUUUAGGAAGACAAAGAUCAAGAUCUAAAAGUUAUUGAUGUGUCCCCUAUUAAAUCUUUGUUUUGUAAUAUGAAUCUUGAUAAUGAUGGGACUGAAUAUGAUCCACCUUUACCUAGAAGGCGUUCCAAAAAUUCGGAGUCUUUAGAUCUUGAUGCUAAAAUUGUUAAAAGUGGGAUUGAAGAAGUCAAAAAUUUAAAUAUCGAUGAACCCAAUAUUUUGGAUUUCAAGGAAUUUAAUUAUGAUAAUUGCUCUUUGAUAGAUUGUAUUUCCUUGUUGCAAUCCGUGCUAAAUUAUCCUCAUGCUUAUAGUCAAAAUAAAGCCUUUACCAAACAUAUCAUUGAUGCUUUGAUGCAAUCUUAUGAAGAAAAACUUGAGUUGGAAGUUUCUAUCCCUAGAAAACUUUAUGAUGAGUGGUAACCUACAAUUAAAAUUAAGAUUAAAGAUCAUGAAUGCUAUGCUUUGUGUGAUUUGGGUGCUAGUGUUUCCACGAUUCCAAAGACUUUGUGUGAUUUUCUAGGUUUCCGUGAUUUUGAUGAUUGCUCUUUAAACUUGCACCUUGCCGGAUUCCACUAUUAAGAAACCUAUGGGAAGAACUAAUGAUGUUCUUAUUGUUGCAAAUAGGAAUUAUGUGCCCAUGGAUUUUAUUGUUCUUGACAUAGAUUGCAAUCCUUCAUGUCCUAUUAUUCUUGGUAGACCUUUCCUUAGAACGAUUGGUGCAAUUAUUCAUAUGAAGGAAGGGAAUAUUAGAUUCCAAUUUCCGUUAAGGAGAGGCAUGGAACACUUCCCUAGAAAUAAAAUUAAAUUACCUUAUGAAUCUAUUAUGAGAGCCACUUGUGGAUUGCCUUCCAAAGAUGGCAAUACCUAGAUCUAUCAUUGCUUUCAUGCCUAGCUAGGGGCGUUAAACGAUAGCGCUUGUUGGGAGGCAACCCAAUUUUAUUUUUAUUCCUUGCUUUUUUCUCCUGUUUAGUAAUAAAUAAUUUAUCUAUCCUCUGUUUUGGUUGUGUCUUUUGUGUUUAAUUAGUGUUUGUGCCAAGUAGAACUGUUGGGAAGACUUGGGGAAAGUCUUUUUAAUAUUGCUGUAAAAAACAGAAACUUUAGCGCUCACGAGAACUGCUGCCAUUUUUAUUUGGAAAGUGCUAUUUAGUUAAUUCUUUUUGAAGAUGAUUAAUAGAUAAAUUCCUCACGUCCAGAAAUUUAUUUUAGAAUUUUUGGGGUUCCAGAACUUGAGUUAGCUGAAGAUUACUACAGACUGUUCUGUUUUUGACAGAUUCUGUUUUCUGUGUGUUGUUUGCUUAUUUUGAUGAAUCUAUGGCUAGUAAAAUAGUUUAUAAACCAUAGAUAAGUUGGAAUACAGUAGGUUUAAAGUUUUGGGUAAAAGAUUUGAUGGGUUAUGGAACAAGGAGUGGCAAGAGCCUAAGCUUGGGGAUGCCCAUGGCACCCCAAGAUAAUCUAAGGACACCUAAAAGCCAAAGCUUGGGGAUGCCCCGGAAGGCAUCCCCUCUUUUAUCUACUUCUAUCGGUAACUUUACUUGGAGCUAUAUUUUUAUUUACCACAUGAUAUGUGUUUUGCUUGGAGCGUCUUUUAUUAUUUGAGUCUUUAUUUGUUAGUUUUCCACAAUCAUCCUUGAUUCACGCACCUUUUUGAGAGAGACACACAUGAUUCAGAAAUUGGUAGAAUACUCUAUGCGCUUCACUUAUAUCUUUUGAGUUAUACAGUUUUUGCUCUAGUGCUUCACUUAUAUCUUUUAGAGCACGAUGGUGGAGUUGUUUUAUAGAAACUUUUGUUCUCUCAUGCUUCACUUAGAUUAUUUUGAGAGUCCUACGAAACAGCGUGGUAAUUUGCUUUAAUUAUUUUAGGCAUUCAAGAUUAAUAAAAAAAUUAUUAUGAGUGUGUUGAAUACUAUGAGAAGUUUGAAACUUGAUAAUUGUUUUUCAGAUAUGGAGAUGGUGAUAUUAGAGUCAUUCUAGUUGAGUAGUUGUGAAUUUGAGAAAUGCUUGUGUUGAAGUUUGUGAUUCCCGUAGCAUGCACGUAUGGUGAACCGUUAUGUUAAGAAGUCGGAGCAUGAUGUAUUUAUUGAUUGUCCUCCUUAUGAGUGGUGGUCGGGGACGAGCGAUGGUCUUUUCCUACCAAUCUAUCCCCCAUGAGCAUGUGGGUAGUACUUUGCUUUGAUAACUAAUAGAUUUUUGCAAUAAGUAUGUGAGUUCUUUAUGACUAAUGUUAAGUCCAUGGAUUAUACACACUCUCACCCUUCCACCAUUGCUACCCGCUCUAAUACCACACACCUUUCGCCGGUAUCAUACACCCACCAUAUACCUUCCUCAAAACAGCCACCAUACCUACCUAUCAUGGCAUUUCCAUAGCCAUUCCGAGAUAUAUUGCCAUGCAACUUUCCACCGUUCCGUUUACUAUGACACGCUCCAUCAUUGUCAUAUUGUUUCGCAUGAUCAUGUACUUGACAUUUUAGUUGUGGAAAAGCCACCAUUCAUAAUUAUUUCAUAUAAGCCACUCAUGCAUCAUUGCUAUCACGGUACACCGCCGGAGGCAUUCAUAUAGAGUCAUACUUUGUUCUGGUAUCGAGUUGUAAUCAUUGAGUGGUAAAUAAAUAGAAGUAUGAUGAUUAUCAUUCAUAGAGUAUUGUCCCAAUAAAAAACAAAGGCCAAAAAAAGAAUCCCCCCCCCAAAAGAGAAUAAAUAAAUAAAUAAAAAGGGACUUGGACCCUACGUCAAGACAUCAACCAGGAAGGCACGAGGUAGGGGGCGUGCCUACCCUCGUGGGACCUCGUGGGACCCACGUUCGUGGGACCCUCCACCCUCGUGGGACCCAUGUUGCUCCACCGACAUACUCCUUCCUCCUAUAUAUACCUACGUACCCCCAAACUACCAAAUAUAGAGCCAAAACCCUAAUUCCACCGCCGUAACUUUCUGUAUCCACGAGAUCCCAUCUUGGGGCCUUUCCGGAGCUCCGCCGGAGGGGGUAUUGAUCAAGGAGGGCUUCUACAUCAACACCAUAGCCUCUCCGAUGAAGUGUGAGUAGUUUAUUUUAGACCUACGGGUCCACAGUAAUUAGCUAGAUGGCUUCUUCCCUCUUUUUGGAUCUCAAUACAAAGUCCUCCCCCUCUCUUGUGGAGAUCUAUUCGAUGUAAUCUUCUUUUGCGGUGUGUUUGUUGAGAUCGAUGAAUUGUGGGUUUAUGAUCAAGUUUAUCUAUGAACAAUAUUUGAUUCUUCUCUAAAUUCUUUUAUGUAUGAUUGACUAUCUUUGCAAGUCUCUUCGAAUUAUCAGUUUGGUUUGGCCUACUAGAUUGAUCUUUCUUGCAAUGGGAGAAGUGCUUAGCUUUGGGUUCAAUCUUGCGGUGUCCUUUCCCAGUGACAGUAGGGGCAGCAAGGCACGUAUUGUAUUGUUGCCAUCGAGGAUAACAAGAAGGGGUUUAUAUCAUAUUGCAUGAGUUUAUCCCUCUACAUCAUGUCAUCUUGCUUAAAGUGUUACUCUGUUCUCCUGAACUUAAUACUCUAGAUGCAUGCUGGAUAGCGGUCGAUGUGUGGAGUAAUAGUAGUAGAUGCAGGCAGGAGUCGGUCUACUUGUCUCGGACGUGAUGCCUAUAUACAUGAUCAUACCUAGAUAUUCUCAUAACUAUGCUCAAUUUUGUCAAUUGCUCAACAGUAAUUUGUUCACCCACCAUAAUACUUGUGCUCUCGAGAGAAGCCUCUAGUGAAACCUAUGGCCCCCAGGUCUAUUUUCCAUCAUAUUAAUCUUCCAAUACUUAGUUAUUUCCUUUGCCAUUUAUUUUACUUGCAUCUUUAUUUCUCUUUAUCAUAAAAAUACCAAAAAUAUUAUCUUAUCAUAUCUAUCAGAUCUAACUCUCGUAGGUGACCGUGAAGGGAUUGACAACCCCUUUAUCGCAUUGGUUGCGAGGAGUUUAUUUGUUUGUGUAGGUGCGAGGGACUCGUGCGUGGCCUCCUACUGGUGAUACCGUGGUUCUCAAAAACUGAGGGAAAUAGUUACGCUGCUCUGCUGCAUCACCCUUUCCUCUUCAAGGGAAAACCAAUGCAGUGCUCAAGAGGUAGCAGGCAAGUUGCCCCGGCAAGGCACUUGCCGGGGGAAACCCACCUUGCCCCUUCACUCUAUGCACCUCUGUCCUUAGCACAACCCUGGUAGUCUCAUAUCUUUGCUUCCUCUGCCCCAUCUUCCUCCUACAACUGCUCGUGCUCAAGUAAAGGGGUACAGAAGGCCCCUACUUUUGUACACCGACACCUUCGCAGAGGUUGCCAUGCGCUUAUUUGUUUGUAUGCUCAAUCCCUUAGUGCAAGAGAACGUCACGUUAUAUUGCCCCUUAUGAUAGAAACCUUUAUUAUGCAGUCCGUCGCUUUUAUUGCUUUGCCAUCAUAAGUUCGUACAACGAUCAAUUUUCCCUUACACUAAAUGAUCUCACACUUUUAGAAGCAAUUUUUAUUGCCUUAUUACACUGAUGACAACUUACUUGAAGGAUCUUGCUCUAUCCUUAGGUAGGUAUGGUGGACUCAUGUCACAGCCCAGUUCAAGCCUUGCCUGCCUUUGAAUUAGCCUCCAUGCAUCAUGUCUAAAUUUUAUGAAACUUUGAAAUGGGGGCUGACAAACCCUAGCAGCAAAUGAAAUUCAACUAGGGUCCAAAUAAAAUCAUUUUCACCGAACCCAAAAUGCCCUUCUAAAAUGUUCAUCAUCUUUGCCUUGGUCUAGAACCUGUGACAAAAAUGAUGCACACUUUUCUAGAACAAUAGAGGGUCACUGAAUUAAAUCAUAUAGUAUUUGCAUUUGGGCAUUUAAAUGCUAUAAAAUAUUUUAAAUGUCCAAAUAAUCAUAAACUAAAAUGUUUACUGUUGGAUAUAUUCCAAACAGUGGCUUUGAGCAGUUUCAUGAUUUUUUUUGAGUUAGUUUUAGUAUUUUAAAUAAAGCCACAAAGUUGCAGAAAAAUAGAAAACAUGAAAUAAAAGAGAGAAAGAGAUUUACCUGGCUUACCUGUGCUGCCCACCAGAGCCAGCCCACCAGGCGGCCCAUCCCACCACCGCCUCCUCCUCUGUCGUCUUCCUCCCCUGCCAGGAGGACGGCGCGUGCCUGGUGCACGCGGCCACACGCCGGCCACCUCCACGCUGCCUGCGUGCCCCCUGGACUGCCUGGGCGUCCCUGGAGAUGCCACGCACCCCCUGGACCUCUCUCACUCUCCCCCGUUCUCCUCCCCUCCUCUGCUCUCUCUCCCUCUCUGCCCGAGCGGAGCUCAUCGCCGCCUCUCACCGUAGACACAAACACCGCCUCCCCCUCGCCUCUCCGACGUGCCCACGAGCUUCGCCUUGACGCCCUCGCCCUCUCCACCAAGUCACGCGCCCGCAGAAGGCCUGAAGCAACGCCACUGUCUUUGUUUUCAUCGUCGACCGCCGGAGAUCCCACUCGCUGCUCUGCUCGCUCCAGUGCCUCCCCGAGCUCGCGAACGGCUCCAUUCAACACGAUGUGAGCUCCCUUGUUGAUCCCCCUCUUCCCUGGCUCUUUUUCUUCCUCUAACUCCAAUGCCGUCGGAGCCGAGAGCUCUUCGUCGUCGGCCAUGUCGCCGUCGUGUCCACCGUUGCCUAGAGCCGCAACCAAGCACACAGUCAUGCUCAGUGCACCUCCAGGAGGCCAUAGCACCCCUCCUUGCCACCUACUGAGCUCCCUAACGCCGAACCCGAGCUCACCAGAACUCCGGCCGCCGCCUUAGAGCUCGCCGCCGUCAACUCCGGCCACCCCCACACACACCACUUGCUCCACUCGAUGCGCGAGUUCACCAGCAGCACGUAGAUGCCCUCCAUCAGCCAUUUCAUCAUCGGCCAAGGAGUCCCGACGCCCUCCACCGUCCCUGGCAUCGCCGGCGACGAGCCGCGAGUCAGCUCAGGCAAGUUGACUCAGGGGUUUGACCCCGUCUGACCAGGGUUUGACCAUGCUGGGUCACUGACGCGUGGGGCCAGCCCUGCUAAUUAACCUAGAUUAGUGUUAAUUUACUUAGUUAGUUUAAUUAACCACUAACACGCGGGACCCACUGGUCAGGUUUGACCUGGACCGCGCCGUUGACUGCUGACGUCACAGUGACGCAAUGCUGACGCAAUAAAGUAUUUUCUGGAUUUAUUCUUACUGAGGAAAUUCCAGAAAAUAGUGCUAAAUUCUAAAAAUCAUAGUAAUUAAUCUGUAACUCCGAAUACAAAGAUUUAUAUAUGAAAAAUGAUCAGAAAAAUCCAAUCUAUCCAUUUGUACCCGUUUCAUGCAUGUUAAAGCAACAUAACCCUACUUUUAUAUCAAAACAUGAUAAAGCACUAUUUAAAUUCAUAACAUGAGUUUGUGGUUGAACCUUUGGUUCAAAAUGACCCAAACCCAUUUGGAUGUAGUUGCAUUAGGCCAACACACCCAUAUUUCCAUGUCAUGAUCAUGCAUCAUAUUGUGCAUUGCAUUGAUUGUGUCCUUCCUUGUUUCCUGGUGGUUAUUCCCCCUCGGUAGACGUAUGUUCGGACGAUGAGAUCGAUGACACCGAUGGAGAGCUAUAUCAUCUUAAGAAGUGUCAGGCAAACAAAACCAUCUUGUUCAUUCCAAUACAAUCCCAUUAUGUUGCUCCUGCUCUCUUUUACUGCAUUAGGACAACAAUGAUUCAACAGUUACAUGUUGCGGUAGUUGAACCCAUUUCCUCUACUUGACCUGUCAUUGCCACAGUAAAUAGAUGAAACCCACUAGCAUGAAUAUGAGUUGUUUGAGACCUGAUGUGCCUAGUCAUCCAUGUUUGUUUGUCAUGCCUACUACUGCUUAGAGUUGAGUCAGGUCUGAUUCAUCGGGUAUGAAUUGGAAUGGUGAUGAACAUGUCCUACUGUUUGAGCUAAGUGUGUGAACACGAUUUGGUAAAGGUAGCGGUGAGAGGCCAUGUAAGAGUACAUUGUGGGUUGUCUCAUUGAAACCGUCCUCAGGAACUGAGUUAUGUGUUUGUGAUCCAUGAACAACUACUACCACGUGUUGGGCCCUGAAAUAUGACCCCGCUCGACUUAUUAACCGCCCCUGUCCUUUGUCCAGGAGUUGCAACUAGUUUCUGGUGUUUGUAGGAUAUGUGUUGAAGGUCGUGCAUAGCACUGACCUUAGGGGUCGGCUAUGAUGCGAUAGAUACACCGUGGCCGGGUAUGCCGGGCGCCCGUUUGUUGUCGCGGAACCCUGUACACAUCGUUUGGGGUUGUGAGUGAAACUCUGGCCGGAUCUCCUCGUUGAUGGAACCCGAAUAGGCGAUAAACCUGGACUAGAGACUUGUGUGGUUAGUCAGGUCGUGGUCUACACCCACGUCGGCUUUUGCUUGAAGUCUGCCGAGCACAUGUUGUGUGCAGACGCUAAGUGGUGGAAACAUGUGUGAAGAAGUACACCCCUGUAGGGUUAUAAAUGAUCUAUUCGAAUAGUCGUGUCCACGGUAAAGGACUUCUGGGUUGCCUGUACAGUUCAUAGACAAGUGAAAAGUGGAUACUCCAAAAUGCACAAGAUAAGCGUGAGUGCUGUGGAUGGCGUUCUCGUAGGGAGACGGGAGCGGAUCCAUAGUGGUGUAUUGAUAUGGUGAAUAUGUGGACUCGUGUGCGCCACUUCAAAAGAGUUACUUGCAGUCGUAGUUUAGGAUAGCCACCGAGUCAAAGCUGGCUUGUUGUAGUGAAACUCCACCAUCCCUUUGUUGAUAAUGAUGCAUAUGUAGUUAGUUCUGAUGUAAGUGUUGUUGGGUACAUUUGUACUCAUGUUUUCUUAAUUUAUGUUUUUCUAGAGAGACUUCAGUCUCGCUAGUAGUUCCAUGUGGACUUUGACAUUUAGCUUGAUACCUCAGCUACGAUCUUAUGCCCUCGGCAGGAUCUGGUAGAUAGUCAGGCUUCUCAGCCUUUUUCAUUUGUAGAUGUAUGUACUCAGACAUGUUAAGGUUCCGCAUGUGCUUGUUCCUUGUAUGACUUGAAUGCUGGGUCAUCAAACCCAUGUUUGUAAUAUCUGGCUCUUCGGAGCCUAAUGAAUAAAUACUUUGAGUCGUAGAGUUUUGUUGUGAUGCCAUGUUGUAUUUGCACAUAUCGAGCAUAUUGUGUGUAUGAUUGAAAUGCUUGGUAUGUGUGGGAUCCGACAACCUAGUUGUUUAUCCUUGGUAGCCUCUCUUAUGGGGAAAUGUAGUCUAGUGCUUCCAUUGAGCCAUCGUAGUCUGCUACAGCCCGGUUUACCGGAGUCCUCCUAUCCCAGUUACUACUGCUCCGGAACACUUAGACUGGCCGACAUGUGAUCCACUUUGUUCCUGUGUCUGUUCCUUCGGGCAAAUGUCACGCGGUGACUUCCGGAGUCCUGCUAGCCUGCUACAGCCAGGGUUCCCGGAGUCCUGUUAGCCCAGUUGCUACAGCCCGAAUUCACACGCUUAUGACCGACACGCUCGAUGUUGGUUCAUGUAUGCCUGUCCCCGUAAGUCAGUGCCACUUUGGGUUCACGACUAGUCAUGUCGGCCUGGGUUCUUUGUCAUAUGGAUGCUAGCGACACUAUCAUAUACGUGAGCCAAAAGGCGCAAACGGUCCUAGACCAGGUAAGGUGGCACCCGUGGGAAUACCGUGCGUGAGGCUGCAAAGUGAUAUGAUGUGUUACAUGCUAGAUCGGUGUGACUUAGGAUCAGGGUCCUGACAGCUUUGGUAUCAGAGCCUGACUGCCUGUAGGAUUACCAAGCCAAGCUGGUCAAAGUUGAGUCCAGAAAUGCUUUAGUUAUAUGUUGGGAAAUUGAUUGUGGGAAGGGACGUCAGGCUCUUUUUACUCCUUUACCUUAUGCCCUUCUGAUCUGAGGCAUCCUCUUCUUCCUACGUGGGUUAAGGACUAGUAUCUCAUAUCUCUAUCAGGUUCACGUGUUACUAAUCCGUAGAAUCUUAGGAUUGUUGGUUCCAGGCCUCAGUUCAAUUUCUACUACUUUAGUAUGUUGUCAGUUGAACUAGAACCUUGAUAUGAUGUUGUUGAGUGACUAUGCAAAUCCUUGUGAAUGUCUCAAAUCUUUUUCUGAGCAUUUACAGCCGUUAUGCUGUCCGAGUCAUCCCAGGUUUCGAAAUAGUCUGAUGCAUUUGCAACUCCUUUCUUUCUGUUCCUGAUGUUUCUUUGGGCCAGUUUGACCACACAAAUCGGUGAGUUGAGGUACUCUGUUGCCUCGAUAUAUAUGUUGAAGCCAUUAUUAUGACCCUAGGCAUCUUAGAGGAUCACCUAAUAAUCUAGCCAUGUUUUGUGUUCCCAGUGUGAUGAUUCUGGCCAUCAUUCUCGAAAGCAUCCCGUGAUACCACUUAGCUAGUAGGCAUUCUAUUCCUGGGUUCUUGAACCCGAGGUUCACCCUACUUACCUCAUGUUGAUAGUGUUGCUAGUUCCUUUAGGAUAUUAGUAACCUUUGUGAUAGUCUUUGAGGUCCGUGAUAUAUCAUUCUCCCAAAUACCAUGAACCAUUAUGGCAGAAACUCGUUAAGCCAAUAAUCACAAAAAGAGUGCUCUUGAUGAGUUCUCCAUUCAAAAAUUGUGAAUCUGUCAGUCCUCCCUCUUCUGCAUGGGUAAUCCAGAAGAAAAAUGUUGAGCUUUGCUCGACAUACUAAUCUAUGCAUCUACAACUCAGGAAAACAUAUGUUCCUUUGAGUUGUCCCUCUUUAGUUGUAUCCUGACCUCUGUCUAUCAAGUGAUAGUCAGGAAUAGUUGUGCCAUUGUGUUUGUCAGUGUCUAUUAUUCUUGUGGUCUGUCGAGCCGUUCUAUUUUAGAAUGAGUAGGAGAAACAAACUCCAGUACCUCAUCCAUAUCUAGGAUUGGGUCAAAGCAGUUGUAUUCCGCAGAUCAAAAUGCCAAUCCAGCUUUUGAUUCUGUUCUACCCUGAAGUAUUGCCUCUUAAUGUCAGAAAUGUCAUGAGAAUUGCACCAACUCUUAUGAAUUCUUGAUGCAGUGAUACUUCUCGCCAUCAUCAUUCAUUCCUCGGUUCCAUCUUGUUGCAACUGGAAUACCGGCAAGUGAACCGUGAUGUGUGAAAUCAAUACUGCUAGCAACCUCAUUGCUUGAUGGUUAAUGGACGAUAAUUUCAUUCUUAGCAUGUUGGUUACUGAAUCAUCAUCCUAAGAUUGAUCGUGCUACCUAGUCCAUAUUUCCUGCUGCACUCUCCGAUCAAUGAGUUUGGAUUAUGUUAAUUCCUCACUCUUUUGAUCAUAUCGUCUUGCCUGAAGAGCAAGAUUAUUCUUGAGCUUAAUAACGUACCGGUGGUUCGUGAUUUUCCGAAUAUCUUUUCAGAAGUAUUACCUGGUUGUCACUUGACCGCUAUGUUGAGUUCGUGAUCAAGCUUGUUUUUCUAUAAACCACUCUUUCUCCAAGAAUCUGUGUUGGAUACCCUGAAAUAGUUGGUUAAGCUAAAUGACAACUUGGAGAGUUGGAAGAUGAUAGCUUGUCUGACUUAGUUCAUCCCAAAGGGAUAUCCUUGUGUUUGAAUAGUUGUUGAAGAAAGAUGAUAUCUUCAUCGAUUGGUCCUCGUGAUCAGUUGCUGGGUCUAUCAUCUUGUCAAAACUUUGAGUUGGGUGUGGGCUAUCCUCAAAUCAAAUCAGAACCAACGAUGUUCAUAAUGUUUUCUUACUCGCAGUUGUCCCUUGAGAAUACACCAUUAUAUCUUUUGGGUCUGACCAAUGCUAUCAUCUUGUUCACAUAAUUGUGGAAUUCCACUUAUAUGGAAAACUGAUGAAUUGUUGUUGAGCCCAUCAGCAACAUUUUUAUCUCCUCCAUGAUUCAUGUUGAAUAUCUAGCUAGUGUUGGAAACUUCUAAGAGCAUUAUCCUCAUGUCCCAUUCAUGAGGCAUAUGUCCGGAUGAAAGAUGUGACUUCCUCUAAUUCAUGUGCAUCUGAUGCAAGUUCCCGCCGUGAAUUUGAGAAAGUUUGUUUCGCUUCCUAUGGAAUCAUCCCAAGUCAGUCAUGCAUACGUGCGAAGUAUUCUUUGGUCUGGAGACUUGCAACCUUCAUUCUAUAUCAAUCCCUAGCACACCAAGCCACUGAUUGAUUUGUUCAAGGAAAAUAAGUUCUUAAGUGCUAAUCCUUAAGGACCCAAAGGUACAUGCGCAGGAAUUCGCUCUCCGCAAUGAUGGUUCCUAAUCAGAACUCGGUAGUGUUUUAUUGUAAGACUACUAUGUGGUCAUGCUUGUCUGGGACAGCGUGUUCACAUGUUGUAGCAGAACCAGCUCAUGUUUUGGAGCUUGCUAUCGUAGUUCAUAUCCCGAGAAUCUCGCAAUGUCAUCUCGUCGAUUUGUGUUGCAAACUUUCAUUCUUCUUUCUAGACCCGAUGAGUCUGGAAUAUCCUGACACCAACCAGAUUUGAAUCUCAGGCAGAUGUGAUGGUUGGAACAUUUCCCAAGAUCUAUAAUAUUGGUCUCUCUGCAACCGGUAGAGUGGAUGUCGUGGCCAACACACCCAACCGGAAGACCUAUUAUUGUAGUAUCUUGCUUGAAGAAGUUGGCCACCUCCCCAUAAGGAUCUCGUAGAAUUUAUGACAGUAUUUGUUCCUUAUGGAUUUUUGUGUUCCCGAAGUCCGACCUUUUACUUGAUGUUCUAGAUACCAAACCAUAUCAAUAAAUGGGUUACGCUAGCACAUCAAGGAGAUUAUUAGAAGCGGAGUGCUAAAUGUCUCUUGGUCAAUCAUCCAGAUUUUAAUCCCUUGGCCUCGCUAAGGUGAAAUCUGAGAAAGUGUUAUCUUUCUUUGCAUCUGCAUCCUCCACCAUUAUUCAUCAUGGUAGUAUGUUGUGUUGCCAGGAUCCUUGACACGGAUAUUGGUAAAACUUGUUGAAUAUGGAAAUGCUCAAGUUCUUGAGAGCCCGCGCAAGCACUAGGAUUUAUCGUCGGCAUGAAUUGGGAUCCGCUCUCGGUUUCCUCGGUUAUGCUAUAACCUUUCCAGUAGUGGAAUCUCUCUCUACUGUUGGGUUUCUCCCCAGUUACUAGAAUCAUUCCCAGCAUUUGCAUUUUGUUCCCAGCUUGCACCGCCAUUGUGUCAUCCUACUAUGUACUACCCUUCUCAUUAAUUACUGAUCAGGAUCAUCUUCAAAGUGGUCCUACCAUGGGUCUCACCCAUUUCCGAUGAUAAGAAAAAAUCAUCAUUUGCGUUGUCUUCAACAAGAUAGUCCACAUCAUCCAUCCUAGUCCAGGUAUGCCAUCCCUUCGUACUCUGCCAAGUGAUUGUUGUGAUUUUCCUUAGGCUGGUAUAAAGAGUUUCAAUGAUCUCUGAAUCAAAAGUAAUUCUUUUUGCCACUUAAGGGAAUAUUCUACGAGUCAUCUUCCUUAAGAUGUCUCAUUAUGGUAUCAUGGCAACUCAACUCCUCGCUACGUUGACAACCGUUCACCACCUUCUUAAGCGUGAAAUUGUUGUCUACCUAGUGAACCUUCGUCAUCUGUUACACUCCAUCCCUCUAGAUGUAUGUGUUGUGUCUUAGCUCGAGAGAUGUUUCAAUGUCUCCCUCCAUGAGUUGAUCCUGAGUUGUUCGAUCUUCGAGAAGAUCGAUCCUUCUAGAGUUUUCCUUUCCCUCUCGAUGUCAUGUUAGUUGGAGUUCUCAGACCAAGACAUCGAGACAAAGAUGGUGAUCAUAUCCAUGUUCUUAUAAAGUACAACCUGGAUCGUGAAGGUUGUGUUAGUUUGCGUUUCCCCUUCAUCUUACCCUAUGCUUGAAUCUCGGGACGAGAUUCUUGUUUAGUGGGGGUGAGUUGUCACAGCCCUGUUCAGGCCUUGCCUGCCUUUGCAUUAGCCUCCAUGCAUCAUGUCUAAAUUUUAUGAAACUUUGAAAUGGGGGCUAACAAACCCUAGCAGCAAAUGAAAUUCAACUAGGGUCCAAAUAAAAUCAUUUUCACUGAACCCAAAAUGCCCUUCUAAAAUGUUCAUCAUCUUUGCCUUGGUCUAGAACCUGUGACAAAAAUGGUGCACACUUUUCUGGGACAACAGAGGGUCACCAAAUUAAAUCAUAUAGUAUUUGCAUUUGGGCAUUUAAAUGCUAUAAAAUAUUUUAAAUGUCCAAAUAAUUAUAAACUGAAAUGUUUACUAUUGGAUAUAUUCCAAAUAGUGGCUUUGAGCAGUUUCAUGAUUUUUGAGUUAGUUCUAGUAUUUUAAAUAAAGCCACAAAGUUGCAGAAAAAUAGAACACAUGAAAUAAAAGAGAGAAAGAGAUUUACCUGGCUUACCAGUGCCGCCCACCAGAGCUAGCCCACCAGGCGGCCCAGCCCACCACCGCCUCCUGCUCUGUCGUCGUCCUCCCCUGCCAGGAGGACGGCGCGCCCGGCGCGCUCAGCCACACGCCGGCCGCCUCCACUCUGCCUGUGUGCCCCCCUUGACUGCCUGGGCGUCCCUGGAGAUGCCACACACCCCUGGACCUCUCUCACUCUCUCCCGUGCUCCUCCCCUCCUCUGCUCUCUCUCCCUCUCUACCCGAGCGGAGCUCGUCGCCUCCGCUCGCCGUAGACACAGCCACCGCCUCCCCCUCGCCUCUCCGACGUGCCCACGAGCUUCGCCUCGAUGCCCUCACCCUCUCCACCAAGUUACGCGCCCGCGGAACGCCUGAAGCGACGCCACCUUUUUUGUUUUCAUCACCGGCCGCCGGAGAUCCCCCUCGCUGCUCCGCUUGCUCCAGUGCCUUCUCGAGCUCGUGAACGGCUCCAUUCGACGCGAUGUGAGCUCCCUUGCUGACCCCCUCUCCCUUGGCUCAUUUUCUUCAUCUAAUGCCAAUGUCGUCGGAGCCGAGAGCUCUUCGCCGCCGGCCAUGUCGCCGUCAUGGCCACCGUUGCCUAGAGCUGCAACCAAGCACACAGCCGUAGCACCCCUCCUUGCCACCUGCCGAGCUCCCUAACGCCGAACCCGAGCUCACCCGAAUUCCGGCCGCCACCUUAGAGCUUGCUAUCAUCAACUCCAGCCACCCCCGCACACACCGCUUGCUCCACUCGAUGUGUGAUUUCACCAGCAGCACGUAGAUGCCCUCCGCUAGCCAUUUAGUCGCCGGACGAGGAAUCUUGACGCCCUCCGCCGUCCCUGGCGUCGCCGGCGACGAGCCACGGGUCAACUCCGACGAGUUGACCCGGGGGUUUGACCCCGUCUGACCAGGGUUUGACCACCCUGGGUCACUGACGCGUGGGGCCAGCCUUGCUAAUUAACCUAGGUUAGUGUUAAUUUAUUUAGUUAGUUUAAUUCACCACUAACACGCGGGACCCACUGGUCAGGUUUGACCUAGACUGCGCCAUUGACCGUUGAUGUCACAGUGAUGCAAUGCUGACACAAUAAAGUAUUUUCUGGAUUUAUUCUUACUCAGGAAAUUCUAGAAAAUAGUGUUAACUUCUAAAAAUCAUAGUAAUUAAUUUGUAACUCCAAAUACAAAGAUUUAUAUAUGAAAAAUGAUCAUAAAAAUCCAAUCUAUCCAUUUGUACUGGUUAAAUGCAUGUUAAACCAGCUUAACCCUGUUGUUUAUAUCAAAACAUGAUAAAGCACUAUUUAAAUUCAUAAGAUGAGUGUUGGGUUGAACCUUUGGUUCAGCCCAAACCCAUUUGGAUGUAGUUGCAUUGGGCCAACACACUCAUAUUGCCAUGUCAUGAUCAUGCAUCAUAUUGUGCAUUGCAUUGAUUGUGUUCUGUGGUUGUUCCCCCUCGGUAGACGUAUGUUCCGACGAUGAGAUCGAUCACACCGAUGAAGAGCUAUAUCAUCUUCACAAGUGCCAAUCAAGCAAAACCGUCUUUUUCAUUCCGAUACAAUCCCAUUCUCUCGCUCUUGCUCUCUUUUACUGCAUUAUGACAACAACGAUUCAACUGUUACAUGCUCUGGUAGUUGAACCCCUUUCCUCUGCAUGACCUGCCAUUGCCACAGUAAAUAGAUGAAACCCACUAGCAUUAGUAGGAGUUGUUUGAGCCCUGAUGUGCCUACUCAUCCAUUUUUGUUUGUCAUGCCUGCUACUGCUUAGAUUUGAGUCAGGUCUGAUUCAUCGGGGAUGAAUUGGAAUGGUGAUGAACAUGUCCUACUAUGUGUGAGCUAAGUGUGUGAACACGAUUUGGUAAAGAUAGCGGUGAGAGGCCAUGUAGGAGUACAUGGUGGGUUGUCUCAUUGAAACCGUCCUCAGGAACUGAGUUCUAUGUUUGUGAUCCAUGAAGAGCUACUACCACACAUUGGGCCCUGAAAUAUGACCUCGCUUGACUUAUUAACCGCCCCUGUCCUCUGUCCAGGAGUUGCAACUAGUUUCUGGUGUUUGUAGGAUAUGUGUUGGAGGCUGUGCGUAGCGCUGACCCUAGGGGUGGGCUAUGAUGCGGUAGAUACACCGUGGCUGGGUAUGCCGGGAGCCCGUUUGGUUUCGCGGAACCAUGUACACAUCAUUUGGGGCUGUGCGUGAAACCCCAGCCGGAUCUCCUCAUGGAUAGAACCCGAAUAGGUGAUAAACCUGAACUAGAGACUGGUGUGGUUAGUCAGGUCGUGGUCUACACCCACGUCGGCUUUCGCUUGAAGUCUCCCGAGCACAUCUCGUGUGCAGACGCUAAGUGGUGGAAACAUGUGUGAAGAAGUACACCCCUGCAGGGUUAUAAAUGAUCUAUUUGAAUAGCCGUGUCCGUGGUAAAGGACUUCUGGGUUGCCUGUAGAGUUCAUCGACAAGUGAAAAGUGGAUACUCUAAAAUGCGCAAGAUAAGUGUGAGCGCUAUGGAUGGCGUUCUCGUAGGGAGACGGGAUCGGAUCCAUUGUGGUGUAUUGAUAUGGUGAAUAUGUGGACUCGUGUGCGCCACUUCAAAAGAGUUACUUGCAGUCGUAGUUUAGGAUAGCCACCGAGUCAAAGCUGGCUUGCUACAGUCAAACUCCACCAUCCCUUUGUUGAUAAUGAUGCAUAUGUAGUUAGUUCUGAUGUAAGUCUUGCUGGGUACAUUUGUACUCACGUUUUGUUAAUUUAUGUUUUUGCAGAGAGACUUCAGUCUCGCUAGUAGUUCCUUGUGGACUUCGACAUUUAGCUUGAUACCUCAGCUACGAUCUUGUGCCCUCGGCAGGAUCUGGUAGAUAGUCAGGCUUCUCAGCCUUUUUCAUUUGUAUAUGUAUGUACUCAGACAUGUUAAGGUUCCGCAUGUGCUUGUUGCUUGUACGACUUGAAUGCUGGGUCAUCAGACCCAUGUUUGUAAUAUCUGGCUCUUCAGAGCCAAAUGAAUAAAUACUUUGAGUCGUAGAGUUUUGUUGUGACACCAUGUUGUAUUUGCACAUAUCGAGCAUAUUGUGUGUAUGAUUGAAAUGCUUGGUAUGUUUGGGAUCCGACAACCUAGUUGUUUAUCCUUGGUAACCUCUCUUAUGGGGAAAUGUAGUCUAGUGCUUCCACUGAGCCAUGGUAGUCUGCUACAGCCCGGUUUACUGGAGUCCUGCUAGCCCAGUUACUACUGCUCUGGAACACUUAGACUGGCCGGCAUGUGAUCCACUUCGUUCCUGUGUCUGUUCCUUCGGGGAAAUGUCACACGGUGACUUCCGGAGUCCUGCUAGCCUACUACAGCCCGGGUUCCCGGAGUCCUAUCAGCCCAGUUGCUACAGCCCAGAUUCACAUGCUGAUGACCCACACGCUCGAUGUUGGUUCAUCUAUGAAUGUCCCCGUAAGUCAGUGCCACUUUGGGUUCACGACUAGUCAUGUCAGCCCGGGUUCUUUGUCAUAUGGAUGCUAGCAACACUAUCAUAUACGUGAGCCAAAAGGCGCAAACGGUCCCGGGCCAGGUAAGGUGGCACCCGUAGGAAGUGAGGCCGCAAAGUGAUAUGAUGUGUUACAUGCUAGAUCGGUGUGACUUAGGAUCGGGGUCCUGACAACUCAUGAAAAUAAGAUUUGGGUUUAAGGGUUUUUGGAUGCAGAAGUAGUAUCUCUACUUGGUGUGGAAUUUUUGGCUAGCAAAGAUAGGGGCAAGCACCACAUGUUGAAGGAUCUAUGACAAUAUGACUUCUAUGUGAAAGUGAUCAAACAUAAAUCAUUACGUUCUCUUCCUUGUCCAAUGUCAACAAUUUUUGGCAUAUAAUAUUUUGAUGGGGGCUCACAAUCACAAAAGAUUUCCAUGAUAGUGUAUUUGCAUGUGAAAGUUCUCUUCCUUAUACUAAUUAUUUGUGAUUUGCUUGUAUGAUCAGUAUUGCGAUUGUCAAGCCUCAAAAGAUUUCACUUUCUAAACCCAAUGUGAAGCUACCACUAGUCAUGAUAUGAUUUCAACUUCAUGAAAUUCAAUUUAUUCAACAAUUUACUCAUAAGAUAUAAGUGAAACACAAGAGUAAAUGACAAGCUACUCCAAAAAGAUAUAAGUGAAGAUCAAAUGAGUAGUCAAGUAAAUAGAUGUCAGGACCCCGAUUCCAAGUCACAUUGAUCUAGCCGGUAACACCUCAUAUCACUUUGCGGCCUCACGCAUGGUAUUCCCACGGGUGUCGCCUUACCAUGGCCUGGGACCGUUUGCGCCUUUUGGCUCACGUAUAUGAUAGUGUCGCUAGCAUCCAUAUGACAGAGAUCCCGGGCCGACAUGACUAGUCGUGAACCCAAAGUGGCACUAACUUACGGGGACAGGCAUACAUGAAUCAACAUCGAGCAUGUCGGUCAACAGCGUGCGAAUCCGGGCUGUAGCACUGGGCUAACAGGACUCCAGUGAACUGGGCUGUAGCAGGCUAGGCAGGACUCCGGAUGUCACCGCGUGACAUUUCCCCGAAGGGACAGACACAGGAACGAAGUGAAUCACGUGCCGGCCAGUCAAGUUUCCUGAGCAGUAGUGCUAGGCUAGCAGGACUCCGGUGAACCGGGCUAUAGCGGACUACUAUGGCUCAUGGAAGCACUAGACUACAUUUCCCCAUAAGAGAGGCUACCAAGGAUAAACAACUAGAUUGUCGGAUCCCACACAUACCAAGCAUUUCAAUCAUACACACAAUAUGCUCGAUAUGUGUAAAUACAACAUGGCAUCACAACAUAACUCUACGACUAAAGUAUUUAUUCAUUAGGCUCCGAGGAGCGAGAUAUUACAAACAUGGGUCUCAUGACCCAACAUACAGAGCAUACAAGCAACAAGCACAUGCGGAAGCUUAACUUGUCUGAGUACAGACAACUACAAAUGAAAAAGGCUGAGAAGCCUGACUAUCUGCAAGACCCUCUCAAGGGUACAAGAUCGUAGCUGAGGUAGCAAGCUAAACGUCGAAGUCCACGUGGAACUACUAGCGAGACUGAAAUCUCUCUGCAAAAACAUAAAUUAAGCAAACGUGAGUACAAAUGUACCCAGCAAGACUUACAUCAGAACUAACUACAUAUGCAUCAGUAUCAAUAAAGGGGUGGUGGAGUUUAACUGCAGCAAGCCAGCUUUGACUCGGUGGCUAUCUUGAACUACGACUUCAAGUAACUCUUUUGAGGUGGCACACACGAGUCCACAUAUUCACCAUAUCAAUACUCCACUAUGGAUCCGCUCCUGUCUCCCUACGAGAAGGCCAUCCAUAGCACUCACGCUUAUCUUGCGCAUUUUAGAGUAUCCACUUUCACUUGUCUAUGAACUAUGCAAGGGGUCCAAGUUUCCAUAUCCGAGGAAUCCGACUAUUCGAAUAGAUAAUGAUAACCCUGCAGGGGUGUACUUCUUCACACAUGCUCUCGCCACUUAUCACCCUGUACACGUCAUGUACCUCGACAACAUUCAAGCGGAAGCCGGGCGAGGGAGUCGGCCAUGACCUGACUAACCAACAAGUCUCUAGUCCAGGUUUAUCGCCUAUUCGAGUUCCAUCCGCAAGGAGAUCCGGCCGGGGUAUCGCUCACGGCCCCAAACGAUGUGAGCAGGGUUCCCAAGCCCACCAUCCGGGUGCCACUUGGUACACCGUGCCACUGUGCCUAGUCUGUCCCAAGCCCACCUGUACCGGGUGCCACUUGGUAGACUACUAACACUACCUACAAACACCAGAAACUAGUUGCAACUCCUGGACAGAGAUCUAGUUGAUUAAUAAGCCGAGAGGGGCAGAGUUACCGGAACCCAAUGUGUGGUAGUAACUAUUCGUGGAUCACAAACACAGAACUCAGUUCCUGAGGAUGGCUGCAAUGAGACAACCCACCAUGUACUCCUACAUGGUCUCUCACCACUACCUUUACCAAAUCGUGUUCACACACUUAGCUCUCAACGGUAGGACAUGUUCACCACAUUCCAAUUCAUCCCCGAUGAAUCAGACCUGACUCAACUCUAAGCAGUAGCAGGCAUGACAAACAAGCAUGAAUGAGUAGGCACAACAGGGCUCAAACAAAUCCUACUCAUGCUAGUGGGUUUCAACUAUUUACUGUGGCAAUGACAGGUCAUGCAGAGGAAAGGGUUAAACUACCGCAGCAUGUAACAGUUGAAUCGGUGUUGUCCUAAUGCAGUAAAAGAGAGCAGGAGCGAGAGAGUGGGAUUGUAUCGGAAUGAACAAGGGGGUUUUGCUUUCCUGGCACUUCUGAAGAUAGUAUAGUUCUUCAUCGGUGUCAUCGAAUUCAUCGCUGGAUCAACGUCUACAGAGGGGGGACAAACACCGGCAACUGAGAAAGAACACAAUCAACACAUGACGAUAUGCAACAAUAUGAUGCAUGCUAUGACAUGGCAAUAUGAAUGUGUUUUGGGCUAAUGCAAGCUAGAACAUAUUGAAAUGAGUCCAUUUGAACCAAAGAUUCAAAUGCAAACCCAUUUUAUGAAGUCAUAUUAGUGCAUUAACUUUUUUCACCUAAACAGCAAGUUUAAAGUGUUCUAACAUGCAUGAAACUAGUACCGAUGGAAAGAUUGGAUUUUUCUGAUCAUUUUUCAUAUAUAAUUUAUCUUAUUUGGAGUUACGGUUGAAUUUCUAUGAUUUUUAGAAGUUUGGGGUAUUUUCUGAAAUUUAUAAAUCAUUUCUGAUUUAUUUUAAAUUCCAGAAAAUAUUUAUGACGUCAGCACUGCAUCAGCACUUACGUCAGCAAGUCAACUGCGCGGCCAGGGUCAAACCUGACCUGCUGGGUCCACAUGUCAUGGUCUCGCUGUUAAGUGGAUAUUAAUCCAGGGUUAAUUAGUGCUAACGCACGGGUUAACCAGCGGCUAACCAGCGGUGCUAAUCCAGCGCAGCGGCGAUCACCGGCUGGCCGUUUCCGGCCAUGGCUGGACGCACCGAGGGCACCGGAGGCAAGCUCAUGCUUUCCCGCAUCCAGGGGAAGUGUCAGAAGGUCGCGGGGUGGCCUAGUUCGCCGACGGCGAGCACUUGGGCGGCAGCCGGAGUUUGGUGUGUGUGGCAGCUACGGCUAGAGCAUGUGGCGGAGCAAGUUAAGCAGCGGGGCGGCAACUACGGACCAGUAGGAGCACAAUGAUGUGCUCGGACGCGAGCUUUGGGUGCCCUGGCCACGGUGGCGAGGAGCCACGGUGGUGGCAAGCUUCAGUUGCGGUGGAACAGCGGCUACGGCGUGAGUUUGAGCAGGGGACAGAGGGGAGAUGGGAGAGGACCUCAUGGUGGUGACGAGGAGAAGCUCAGUGUGUCCGGGGACGCUCCGGAGACGAUGGAUCGACGCCGAUGAGCUUCGACCAGAGACGGCGGGGGCGAGCUUGAUGCCGAUGACGUAGAGCUUUUGUGGUCUCGAUCUUCUUCUUGUAGAGGUGCGGCGUUGAUGCGGUUCAGAUGGACAUGGUAGGGGGCGAGGGGAUGGAGAUGGCCACGCGGGCGGCAGCGGUGGCCGGCGGGGCUCUCGCUGGUCGCGGGGAGUAGGGGCUAGAGAGGGAGAGAGACACCAGAGAGGCAGGGGGAGUGAGGGAGAAUGUGUUGGGCGUCUCCAGACGCUCGAUCGAGGGCGGGGGCGAAAGCAGGAGGUGGAGCUCGGUUGCACGCGCGUCGACACGGCGUCGUCCUCCUGACAGAAGCUAGGAGACGCCUGGCAUGGUGGGUUGGUGCCUUGGUGGGCUGGGCCAACAGCUGGGCCGCCAGGUAAGGUCCAGGUAAGCUCUCUUUUCCUUUGUUUCAGUUUUCUAUUUCUUUUAUUCUGUUUUGAAUUAGUAAAAAUACUAAUCCAUUUUGUAAAAUCCUGAAAAUAAUUGUGUGCGGUGUUUGGAUUAUUUCCAACGACCCACAACUAGUUUCAGAAUUAUUUGAGCAUUUAAAAAUAUUUAUAGGAUUUAAAUGCUCCAAUUAUAAUACGAUAUGAGUUAAUUCAAAGAUCCAGAAUGUCCUAGAAAUAUAUUCAUCAUUUUUGGCAGAGGUUUUCACCUUUAUCAGAAAUCAUGAACAUUUUCAAAGGGCAUUUGGGAUCAUUGAAAAUAUUUUUAUCGAACCUAGUUGAAUUCAUUAGGUGCUAGGGUUUCAACAAUCCCCAUUUCAAGUUUCAUGAAAUUUAAACAUGAUGACAUGAUGAGCAAGCAAAGUCAAGCAAGGGCUGAACUGGGGCUGUGACAGCUCAGCCCCACUAAACAAGAAUCUCGUCCCGAGAUUCAAGUCAUGAGGUAAGAAGAUAAAGGAGUCACAAGCUAACACGAUCUUCAUGAUCUGAUUUGCUCUUCUCGAAGAUGUUGAUUCAUUUCUCCAAUUGAUCUUGACGUCUUUGCUUUGAAAUCUUAUUGCAACUAUGAUGACGGAAGAGAGGAAACUCGACAGAAUUUGAUCUUCACAAAGAUCAAGCGAUACAUGAUCAACUCAUGGAAUGAGACGAUAGAACGUCUCUCAAGUCGGGACAAAAUGCACACAUCAAGACGGAUGGAGAGAAACUGAUAACAAAAGUUCAAUUUGGUAGGCAACAUUUCCACGCUUAAGAAGAUGGUGGAUGCGUUUCAAGUAGCGAGGAGUUAAGUUGCCCUUCAUGUCAAACGGGGCACUUAGAGGAGGUGGCUCGUAGAGCUAUUCCCUUAAGUGGCAAAAAGAAUUACUUUUGAUUCAGAGAUCACUGAAACUCUUUAUACCAGCCUAAGGCAAUUCACAACAAUCGUUUGGCAGAGUACAAAGGGAUGGCAUACCCGGACUAGAAUGGAUGAUAUGGACUACCUUGUUGAAGACAACGCAAAGGAUGAUUUGCUUAUCAUCGAAGGUGGAGGGGACCCAUGGUAAGUCCAUUUUUGAAGAUGAUAUUGGACAGAAACUACCGAGAAGGGCAGCCCAUGGGGGAUUGGCACAAUGGCGGUGCAAGCUGGGAAUAGGAUGCAACUAUUGGGAAUGUUCCAACCAUCAUAUCUGCCUGAGAUUCAGAUCCGAUUGGUAAUAGGAUACUUCAAACUCAGCAUGUCUGAAAAGAAAGUUUGCAACACAAUUCGACGAGAUGGCGUUGCGAGAUUCUGGAGGAAUGAACUAAGGUAGCAAGCUCCAAAACAUGAGCUGGUUCUGCUAAACACAUGUCAAGAUGCUGUCCCAGACAAGCAUGACCACAUAGUAGUCUUAUGAUAAAACACUACCGAGUUCAGGUUGGGAACCAUCAUCGAGGUUAUUGGAGUCUUGUGCAUGGUCUAGAAUUAACACAACAAACUCCUUUUCCUUGAACAAAUCAAUCAGUGGCUUGGGGUGCUAGGGAACAUAUGGAAUGAAGGUUGCAAGUCUCCAACCACAUGAUACUUCGCACAUAUGUAUGAAUAACUUGGGAUGAUUCCAGAGGAAGCAAAACAAGCUUUCUCAAAUUCACGGCGGCAAGUUGCAUCGAAUGCACAUGAACUAAGAAAGUCACUUCUUUCAUCCAAACAUAUUCUUCAUGAACGGAUCACGAAAGCAUUGCUCACAAGUUUCCAACACUAGCUGGAUGUUCAACAUAAUCAUGGAGAAGAUAAGGAUGUUGUCGAUGGGCUUAACAACAAUCCAUCCUGACUUCCAUAUAGGUGGAAUUCCACAACUAUGUGAACAAGGUCAUAGUAUUGGUCAAACCCAAAGAAUAUAAUGGUGUAUGCUCGAGGAAACAACCAUGAGUAAGACAACAUUACGAAUACCGUUGAUUCUGAUUUGAUUUGAUGAUAGCCCAUACCCAAAUCAAGUUUUGGACAAGACAAUAGAUCCAACAACUGAUCACGAGGACCAAUUGAUGAAGAUAUCAUCCUUCUUCGACACACGCACACACACACAAAGAUAUCCCUUAACAUGAACUAGGUCAGACAAGCUUUUAUCUUCCAACUCUCCAAGUUGUUGUUUAGCUUAACCAGCUAGCUCAGGGGUAUCCAACACAGAUUAUUGGAGAAAAGGCGUGGCUACAAGGAACCAACUUGAUCACGAACUCAACAUAACGGUCAGGUGACAACCUGGUAACACUUCCGAGAAGAUAUUCGGAAAAUCACGAACCACCGAUAUGUUACUAAGCUCGAGAACAAUCUUGCUUUUCAGAGCAAGACGAUAUGAUCAGAUAAGCAAGGAAUGGAAUAAUCCUCACUCAUUGAUCGAGGAGUGCACCAGAAAUAAGGACUAGGUAGCAAGAUCAAUCUUAGAAUGGUGGUUCAAUAACCAACACGCUAAGAAUGAGAUUAUUGUCCAUUAUCUACCAAGCAAUAGGGUUGCUAGGAGUAUUGAUUUCACACAUCACAGUUUACUUGUCGGCAUUCCGGUUACAACAACACGGGACUGAGGAAUGAAUAAUGAUGGCGAGAAGUAUCAUUGUAUCAAGAGUCCAUAGGAGGUUGUGCAAUUCCUAUGAUAUUCCUGACAUAAAGAGGGCAAUACUUCAGGGUAGAACGGAAUCAAAAACUGGAUUGGCAUUUUGAUCUGCGGAAUACAACUGCUUUGACCCAAUCCUAGAUAUGGAUGAGGUACUGGAGUUUGUUUCUCCUAGUCAUUCUGAAAUAGAAUGGCUUGACAGACCACAAGAAUAAUAGGCAUCGACAGCGAAUGCACGCAUACUCUUGACUAUCAAUUGAUAGGCUAAGGUCGGAAUACAACUAAAGGGGGACAACUCAAAGAACAUAUAACUUUCUGAGUUGUGGAUGCAUAGAUUAAUAUGUCAAACCAAGUUCAACAGGUUUCUUCCAAAUAACCCAUGCAGAAAGGUAGAACUGACAGAAUCUUCAAGAGUACUCUGAUUGUGAUAUUUUGGUUCAAAGAACUUCUGCCUUAAUGGUUCAUGGUAUUUGGAAGAAGGAAAUACCACGGACCUCGAGGACUAUCGCAAAGGUUAAUAAUAUCCUAAAGGAACUAGCAACACUAUCAACAUGAAGCAAGUAGGGUGAAUCUUGGGCUUAAGAACCCAGAAGUAGAUUAUCUACUACUAAAUGGCAUCACGGGAUGCUUUCAAGAAUGAUGGCCAGAAUCAUCACACUGGGGAUAGGAAACAUGGCAAGAUUACUAGAUGGUACUCUAAGACGCCAAGGGUCAUAAUAAUAGCUCCAAUGUAUACGUCGAGGCAAUAUAGUACCUCAACUUGCUGAAUAGUGUGGUUAAUCUGGCCCAAAGGAACAUCGGAAAUAGGAGGAAGGGAUUGCAAAUGCAUCAGACUAUUUAGAAACCUGGAAUGACUCGGACAGCAUAACGGCUGUAAAUGCUCAAAAUGAUUUGAGACAUCCUGUAAAAAUGGUGGCAUAACCACUCAACAUCACAAUAUCAAGGUUCUGAGGCCAGUUAUGAACAUAUGGAAGUAGGAGGAACUGAACUGAGGCUUGAACUCAACAAUCCUAGGCAACUACGGUUUAGUAACACAUCAUCCUGAGAGAUAGAAGAGAAGCCUAGUUCUUAACCCCGUAGAAAGGAAGAGGAUGACUCAGAUCAGAAGGGCAUAAGGUAAAGGAGUAAAAAGAGCCUUGCGUUCCCUUCCACAAUCAAUUCCCUUAUAUAACUAAAGCAUUUCUAGACUCGACUUUGAACAGUUUGGCUUGGUAAACCUAUAGGCAGUUAGGCUCUGAUACCAAAGCUGUCAGGACCCCGAUUCUAAGUCACAUUGAUCUAGCCGGUAACACCUCAUAUCACUUUGCGGCCUCACACAUGGUAUUCCCACGGGUGUCGCCUUACCAUGGCCCGGGACCGUUUGCGCCUUUUGGCUCACGUAUAUGAUAGUGUCGCUAGCAUCCAUAUGACAGAGAACCCGGGCCGACAUGACUAGUCGUGAACCCAAAGUGGCACUAACUUACGGGGACAGUCAUACAUGAAUCAACAUCGAGCAUGUCGGUCAGCAGCGUGCGAAUCUGGGCUGUAGCACUGGGCUAACAGGACUCCGGUGAACCGGGCUGUAGCAGGCUAGGCAGGACUCCGGAUGUCACCGCGUGACAUUUCCCCGAAGGGACAGACACAGGAACAAAGUGAAUCACAUGCCGGCCAGUCAAGUGUCCUGAGCAGUAGUGCUAGGCUAGCAGGACUCCGAUGAACCGGGCUGUAGCGGACUACUAUGGCUCAUGGAAGCACUAGACUACAUUUCCCCAUAAGAGAGGCUACCACGGAUAAACAACUAUAUUGUCGGAUCCCACACAUACCAAGCAUUUCAAUCAUACACACAAUAUGCUCGAUAUGUGUAAAUACAACAUGGCAUCACAACAUAACUCUACGACUAAAGUAUUUAUUCAUUAGGCUCCGAGGAGCGAGAUAUUACAAACAUGGGUCUCAUGACCCAACAUACAAAGCAUACAAGCAACAAGCACAUGCGGAAGCUUAACUUGUCUGAGUACAGACAACUACAAAUGAAAAAGGCUGAGAAGCCCGACUAUCUGCAAGACCCUCCCAAGGGUACAAGAUCGUAGCUGAGGUAACAAGCUAAACGUCGAAGUCCACAUGGAACUACUAGCGAGACUGAAAUCUCUCUGCAAAAACAUAAAUUAAGCAAACGUGAGUACAAAUGUACCCAGCAAGACUUACAUCAGAACUAACUACAUAUGCAUCAGUAUCAAUAAAGGGGUGGUUGAGUUUAACUACAGCAAGCCAGCUUUGACUCGGUGGCUAUCCUGAACUAGGACUUCAGGUAACUCUUUUGAGGUGGCGCACACGAGUCCACAUAUUCACCAUAUCAAUACUCCACAAUGGAUCCGCUCCCGUCUCCCUACGAGAAGGCCAUCCAUAGCACUCACGCUUAUCUUGUGCAUUUUAGAGUAUCCACUUUCACUUGUCUAUGAACUAUGCAAGGGGUCCAAGUUUCCAUAUCCGAGGAAUCCGGCUAUUCGAAUAGAUAAUGAUAACCCUGCAGGGGUGUACUUCUUCACAUACACUCUCGCCACUUAUCGCCCUAUACACGUCAUGUACCUCGGCAACCUUCAAGCGGAAGCCGGGCGAGGGAGUCGGCCAUGACCUGACUAACCAACAAGUCUCUAGUCCAGGUUUAUCGCCUAUUCGGGUUCCAUCCGCAAGGAGAUCCGGCCGGGGUGUCGCUCACGGCCCCAAAUGAUGUGAGCAGGGUUCCCAAGCCCACCAUCCGGGUGCCACUUGGUACACCGUGCCACUGUGCCUAGUCUGUCCCAAGCCCACCUGUACCGGGUGCCACUUGGUAGACUACUAACACUACCUACAAACACCAGAAACUAGUUGCAACUCCUGGACAGAGAUCGAGUUGAUUAAUAAGCCAAGAGGGGCAGAGUUACCAGAACCCAAUGUGUGGUAGUAACUGUUCAUGGAUCACAAACACAGAACUCAGUUCCUGAGGGCGGCUACAAUGAGACAACCCACCAUGUACUCCUACAUGGUCUCUCACCGCUACCUUUACCAAAUCAUGUUCACACACUUAGCUCUCAACGGUAGGACAUGUUCACCACAUUCCAAUUCAUCCCCGAUGAAUCAGACCUAACUCAACUCUAAGCAGUAGCAGGCAUGACAAACAAGCAUGAAUGAGUAGGCACAACAGGGCUCAAACAACUCCUACUCAUGCUAGUGGGUUUCAUCUAUUUACUAUGGCAAUGACAGGUCAUGCAGAGGAAAGGGUUCAACUACCGCAGCAUGUAACAGUUGAAUCGGUGUUGUCCUAAUGCAGUAAAAGACAGCAGGAGCGAGAGAGUGGGAUUGUAUCGGAAUGAACAAGGGGGUUUUGCUUUGCUGGCACUUCUGAAGAUAGUAUAGUUCUUCAUCGGUGUCAUCGAAUUCAUCGCUGGAUCAACGUCUACUGAGGGGGGACAAACACCAGCAACUGAGAGAGAACACAAUCAACACAUGACGAUAUGCAACAAUAUGAUGCAUGCUAUGACAUGACAAUAUGAAUGUGUUUUGGGCUAAUGCAAGCUAGAACAUAUUGAAAUGAGUCCAUUUGAACCAAAGAUUCAAAUGCAAACCCAUUGUAUGAAGUCAUAUUAGUGCAUUAACUUGUUUCACCUAAACAUCAAGGUUAAAGUGUUCUAACAUGCAUGAAACUAGUACCGAUGGAAAGAUUGGAUUUUUCUGACCAUUUUUCAUAUAUAAUUUAUCUUAUUUGGAGUUACGGUUGAAUUUCUAUGAUUUUUAGAAGUUUGGGGUAUUUUCUGAAAUUUAUAAAUCAUUUCUGAUUUAUUUUAAAUUGCAAAAAAUAUUUAUGACGUCAGCACUACAUCAGCACUUAUGUCAGCAAGUCAACUGCGCGGCCAGGGUCAAACCUGACCUGCUGGGUCCACAUGUCAUGGGCUCGCUAUUAAGUGGAUAUUAAUCCGGGGUUAAUUAGUGCUAACGCAUGGGUUAACCAGCGGCUAACCGGCGGUGCUAAUCCGGCGCGACGGCGAUCACCGGUCGGCCGUUUCAGGCCAUGGCUGGACGCACCGAGGGCACCGGAGGCAAGCUCGUGCUUUCCCGCAUCCAGGGGAUGUGUCAGAAGGUCGCGGGGUGGCCUAGUUCGCCGACGGCGAGCACUUGGGCAGCGGCCGGAGUUCGGUGUGUGCGGCAGCUGCGGCUAGAGCAUGUAUCGGAGCAAGUUAAGCAGCAGGGCAGCAACUACGGACCAGUAGGAGCACAACGAUGUGCUCAAACGCGAGCUUUGGGUGCCCUGGCCACGACGGCGAGGAGCCACGGUGGCGGCAAGCUUCGGUUGCGAUGGAACAGCGACUACGGCGUGAGUUUGAGCAGGGGAUAGAGGGGAGAUGGGAGAGGACCUCACGGUGGUGACGAGGAGAAGCUCGGUGUGUCCGGGGACGCUUUGGAGACGACGGAUCGACGCCGACGAGCUUCGACCAGAGGCGGCGGGGACGAGCUUGAUGCCGAUGACAUAGAGCUUCCGCUGUCCCGAUCUUCUUCUUGUAGAGGCGCGGCGUUGAUGUGGUUCGUAUGGACAUGGCAGGGGGCGAGGGGAUGGAGAUGGCCACGCGAGCGGCAGCAGUGGCCGGCGGGGCUCUCGGGUGGUCGCGGGGAGCAGGGGCUAGAGAGGGAGAGAGACACCAGAGAGGCGGGGGGAGUGAGGGAGAAUGUGCUGGGCGUCUCCAGGCGCUCGAUCGAGGGCGGGGGCGAAAGCAGGAGAGGAAGCAGGAGGUGGAGCUCGGUUGCACGCGCGUCAACACGGUGUCGUCCUCCUGGCAGAAGCUAGGAGACGACUGGCAAGGUGGGUUAGUGCAUUGGUGGGCUGGGCAAACAGCUUGGCCGCCAGGUAAGGUCCAGGUAAGCUCUCUUUUCCUUUUGUUUCAGUUUUCUAUUUCUUUUAUUCUGUUUUGAAUUAGUAAAAAUACUAAUCCAUUUUGUAAAAUCCUGAAAAUAAUUGUGGCCGGUGUUUGGAUUAUUUCCAACGACCCACAACUAGUUUCAGAAUUAUUUGAGCAUUUAAAAAUAAUUAUAGGAUUUAAAUGCUCCAAUUCAAAUACAAUAUGAGUUAAUUCAAAGAUCCAGAAUGUCCUAGAAAUAUAUUCAUCAUUUUUGGCAGAGGUUUUCACCUUUAUCAGAAAUCAUGAACAUUUUUAAAGGGCAUUUGAGAUCAUUGAAAAUAUUUUUAUCAAACCUAGUUGAAUUCAUUAGGUGCUAGGGUUUCAACAAUUCCCAUUUCAAGUUUCAUGAAAUUUAAACAUGAUGACAUGAUGAGCAAGCAAUGUCAAGCAAGGGCUGAACUGGGGCUGUGACAAUAGAUAGCUAUGUGUGGACUCUCUCUUAUUUAAGACUUCCAUAUCUAAGUAUUUUAUUAAACAGUAAGGAAAACAAAAAUAAAAUGACAUUCUAAUAAUAGCACAACUCAUGUGAAGAAGCAAAAACUUAGGCUCAACUGAUACUAACCGAUAAUUGUUGAAGAAGAAAGGUGAGAUGCCUACCGGGGCAUCCCCAAGCUUAGAUGCUUGAGAAUUCUUGAAAUAUUAUCUUGGGAUGCCUUAGGCAUUCCUAAGAUUGAGCUUUUGUGUCUCCUUAAUUCCACUCAUAUCACGGUUUUCCUAAAUCUCAAAAGCUUCAUCCACACAAAACUCAACAAGAACUUGUGAGAUAAGUUAGUAUAAACCAAUGCAAAAACCUUUCAUUAUUUACUGUAGCAAGUCACUAAAAUUAUUAUUCAACAUUGCAUACUAAAUGCCGAUGCAUAUUUAAUACUCCUAUCCUCAAAUAGAAUCAUUAAACAAGCAAGCAUAUGCAAACAAUGCAAACAUAACAGCAAUCUGCCAAAACAGUACAGUCUGUAAAGAAUGCAAGAGUAUCAAUACUUAUUUAACUCGAAGCAUUAUGAAAUUCUACCACACUGUAGGAAAUUUAUCAGAGAUUAUUAUGCAAUAAGUUUCAACAUUUUAUCACACUCUGACUUUCCUCGGGAAUUUUUGCAACAUCGAUAAACUUUCUGUUUUCAAACAGCAACAUGUAUACUUGCAAGAUAAGCAUGGCAAAGGCUAUCACUGCCACGUUUAUUGAAAUAAAAGAUGCAAAACAUUAUUCUAAAUAACAGAAACCAAAUCCUAACAAAAUAAAUUGAUGCUCCAAGCAAAACACAUAUCAUGUGACGAAUGAAAACAUAGCUCCAAGUGAGGCUACCGAUAAUGUUGGAGACGAAAGAGGGGAUGCCUUCCGGGGCAUCCCCAAGCUUAGUAGCUUGGAUAUUCCUUCUAUUUUAACUUGGGGUGCCUUGGGCAUCCACAAGCGUAGGGUCUUGUCACUACUUAUUCUCCUCAUAUCGAUAUCCCACCCAAAACUUGAAAACUUCAAUCACACAAAACUUAACGGAACUUCGUGAAAUAGGUUAGUUUGAUAAAGAGCAAACCAUUUCACUUUUGGUACUGUCAAAGACAAGAUUCAUAAUUGUUCUCACACAAUGCCUACUGUACCUCAUAAUUUCCACAAUUUAUAGUGAGCAAUAUAAGCCAUAGAAACUAGAAAACAAGCAAACUAUGCAUUGAAAACAAAAUUUGUCAAAAACAGAACAGUGUGUAGUAAUGUGUACUCAAACCAUACUUCUGCUACUCCAAAAAUUAUGACCACAUGAGCAAUUUGUAUAUUAAACUUAUGCAAAAAGAAUCAACUCAAUAGCACUCUUCUUUUAAAAAUGAGACUCAUUUUCAUGAGCGCAAAAGUUUCUAUUUUCUAGCAGGGUCAAAUCAACUAUCACCCAACAUGACCCCAAAGGCUUUACUUGGCACUUUAUUGAAACAAAAUCUAUAAAACAUGAUUAAUACAGUAGCAUAAACAUGUGAACACACAAAAACAGUAGGUAAAAGUGUUGGGUUGUCUCCCAACAAGCGCUUUUCUUUUAUGCCUUUUAGCUAGGAAUGAUGAUUUCAAUGAUGCUCGCAUAAAAGAUAAGAAUUGAAACAUAACAAGAGCAUCAUGAAACACAUGGCAAGCACAUUUAAGCCUAACCCACUUCCUAUGCAUGGGUGUUUUGUGAGCAACCGACUUAUGGGAACAAGAAUCAACUAGCAUAGGAAGGCAAAACAAGCAAAACUUCAAGAUUUUCAACACAUGAAGAGAAAACUUAAUAUUAUUGCAAUUCCUACAAGCAUAAGUUCCUCCCUCAUAAUAAUUUUCAGUAGCAUCCACUUGUGCACGUCAGUCCUAAACAAACGGUUUUUAACCCCUUUCCCCGAUGGCAUUCGGAACCGUCGCCAAGUGAGUGUGGGUGAUAGGGGGGACCUUCCCACACGACCCAAAAACCGUUGGGGAUAUGCCCUCCUGGCACACACGCUUGGCAAAAUAAGGUCAUGUGUGACCGGCGAGCACUCAAAUACAAAAAUAUGUACAGUAGUGCUCAAAAAAUACAAUUAUACAGGCAAAAUCAUUUCCGGUCGUAAGUACAUCCCACACAGUCAGUUACCAUUAAACGUUUCCGUUCGUAUAUACAUCCCACACAGUCACUACAAGGAAAACGUUUGCACAAGGUGGCGUAACGCAAACAGUUUUUAAGAGAAUGUCGUGUGUGAUUGUUCAUUGAUCCAACAUGGUUUAUUCCUAGAAACUGUGUGUGUUGCUUGAGGUCAUCGCGCAUGGUGAUUUCUCAUUAACCGUUUGCAAUAGGAAAACCCAAUUAGCAAGCUAAUUGGCCAAUUAGCGGGCUAAUUGCUCUAUUAAGCACAUAAUAUAUUCCAUUCCCAUAUUAAGGAAGCAGGAUUUCAUAAUUGAAAUACAUCAGAGUACAACAUGAUAUAGCUUUAGCACUCAGCUACCCCAUUACACAACUACACCAGCAACAAGUUUCACAUGCAACAUCUAGAACCUUUCGAAAUUAGCAUCAUAGACGGUACAUAGAGAGAUGCAUCUCAUCUUGAAAACUGCUGAAGUGGAAGGCGAAUAUUGAGCCUUCAUUCAUGUUGAAGGUCUUUGCAACUUUAGGCUAGUGCCUGUGGAUGAUUGACCGUCCAUCCGUCGACCUCUUCAGGAACACUUCAAUAUUGAACCAUGGGUGUUGUAUGAAAACUUUCCUCGCCUCCUGACCACAGAGGUGGUUUGAGAGGUAAUCAUCAGUGAAGCCUGAAAACAAGGAUGUGCAUAAAUAUCUUCUCUAUAUUGGAAAUGGGGCAAAGGAAUUCAAAAAGGCAAGGUAUAAUAGUUAGUACCAUCUUGUAAACCUCAAUGCUUCCCAUUGUUUCCCUGCAACACAUAUAAGGUAGUUAGUCAUCAGGUUAAGUAAGGGUUCACAUGCUAUCAGUAAAAUAUGUUGAUGAUAAAUAAGCAUAUGUGCAUCUCUUCAACGCAAACGGUUCAGAUUACGGUAUGCAAAUUAAAGCCAGACUUCGGUGCUAAGCCAAGAGACACUGCGAUUUGUCAAAAUAUGCAGCUAAAAAUCAAUAUCGCUAUCUAUUUUUUGCAACUAAAAUUCAGUAAUUAAGCAUAGAUUUCAUUCAUACUAGAGAUUAAGCAGUCGUUCUCACCGGGAAGCAAGACAGCCUUGGACCGCCGCCCGCCUCGCUCCCACUGGCCUAUAUUAAUGGCGUCGCCGAGCGGCCGCACCCCCCAUCCUCGACACACAUACAAUUCCUCUCUCUCCGCCCGCAUCCUCGACGCCGUCAGUGUACGAUGAUGCCGCCGAAGCGCCCCAUUGGAGGGAGUGGCGACGCCGGGGCUGCUGAAGCACCAGAGCACGGCGUGAAUACGAAGACGGAGGUUCCCGUCCCCGCCGAUGAGGUGAAGAACGAGGCUGCCAACAAGCGGAGGUGGGUCGAGAAAGAACCGCAAACGACUCCAGCAGGCCUAGACUUCAUCAACAACCUCCCCGAUGAUAUAUUGAUAGUCAUCAUAUCCCUCCUCCCAAUCAGAAAUUGGGCGAGGACAGCCGCCGUUCCACGGUGGUGGCACAUCCUAUGGCUCCGCACCCCUGUCGACCUCCUCCACGCCCACAAGCUCUGCCAUGGCUAUCACCAAAGCUUGGAUGCGUUCUCCCAGAUCCUCGGCAGUCACCAUGGCCCAAUCAAAGGCCUUAUCGCGGGCAAGUUCUGUUCCAAUGGGAAGGAGCGAGCCAAGCUUGACGAGUGGUUCCGAUCCCGUGCCAUAGAUCAGCUCGAGAAGCUAAGUUAUAAUGAUGGGCAUAUGAGCUUGCUGCGAACGUCCGUGCACCGCUUCCCGCCCACGUAGCGCCUUGCCAAGUUCAUGAACUGCCAUUCCCCCCCCCCCUUAAUGACGUGCCCGCUCUUUUUAUGCCACGACUGAAGCACCUCGAGCUCGUCGUCGUCCGCAUCCCAAAGGAUGACAUGGAGCACCUGCUCCGCGGCUGUCCUGCACUCGAGUUCCUUCAUCUUUAGGCGAUGAAUUGGUCGAGUACCUUGCACGUCACCUCCAGGACUCUCCGCACUAUUUAUGUGUGUUGCUUAUGCUGCAACGAGAGAUCACAAAAGGUGGACCACAAUAUGGUCAUCCAGGACACACCUUCAGUUGAGAGAUUACUUGUAGUUGAUCAACAAGGUCCAACAAGAAUCAAUGUCAUUUAUGCACCAAAAUUGAAAGUGGUGGGCUACUCGUCUAUCAAAUACUACAACUUUCAUGUACAACAGUCGCCUUAUAUAGAUCUACUUCUUGAUAUCAACGUUAUUUCUAGUUUUGAAGAUGUAUGUUCGUUUUUCAUCUAGCGAAGCUUCACCCAGACUCUUGGCACAGUGAAGGUCUUGGCACUAGAAUCUGUCGUCCCCAACCUGGACCAAGUUUUCAAUUGCCUGAGAUUCUUUCCGUGCCUGAAGAAGUUGUAUAUCGAGGUGAUGUUCCUUUCCUGUUAAAUGUUAACCAUAAGGGAGUUCAGUUUUUUGCACCUUUUCCCAAGUUUACAAUGACUAUGUACUACGAUUUCUGAAGGAAUUUUGGAGGAUUUUAGGACAUACACCCCCACCCCAUAUUGGUUGCUUCAUUCAUAUGGUUACAAUUGUCGAUAAGCAUUUCUCCUUUGGAUUCAUCUAUACUAGUUUUCUUCGGGGAUUUUUCAUCCAAUCCAACCUCUUGUGAAGAAGGCUACAUGUUUCUAGAUUGUAAUCAAAUUAAUGUCCAUGUUAAUCAUGACAGAUCGAAGAUGGCACGUUGGUGCAUUUUAUAAAUCCUGCAAACCAAAUGGGCGUGUAGCAGUGUUCAAAACUGCAUGUAGGCACUAACACGUUCUCUUAUUUUUGCAGUGCAUAUUAGGCCCGGUGGAAGAUGUUGAUAACAACAAUCACAUCGAAUGCCUAGAUCUGCAUCUCUCAAAUAUUACUUUGAACUCCUACCAGGGGACCCCAUUGGAGAUUACACUAUUCAUGUUCUUUCUUGCCACAGCAAAGGUGUUGAGGGUACUGAGGUUGAACACACAUUUAAUUAGGAAAGAUCAAUGGUAUGAUUAUCAGAGGCGGCUGGUACUGCGGAACGGAAGUGCCUCCAAAAGUGCCAAACUUUGUAUUGGAAGAGCAUAUGGCAAAGCAAUUGGAAGUUAUUGUGUCAAACCCAUACAUGACUUGUCAGUGGCUGAUCCCUUUUCAGAAAUUACGCGGUUUGAAAUGUUUGAAUUUGGGCGUUGUAAUCUUUGAAUUUGAACCUUGCAAUAUUUAUGGUAUUUUUUAUAUUGAACAGUUUCUGUUCUCUUGUCUCAACGCAAACAGUUCAUCCGGGUGAACCGCAUGUCAUACAUCGCACACACCUUGAUUUGGCUGACCAUUUCUUUUGUGUUGCCUAAUCACAAACAGUUCAUCCAAGUGAACUGUAUGCUAGACAUCACAAACACCUUGAUCUGGCUAACCAUUCCUUUUGUGUCGCCUAAUCACAAGCAGUUCAUCCGAGUGAACCAUAUGUUGUACAUCGCACACGCCUUCAUCAGGCUGCCCGUUUCUUUUGUUCCGCCUCAUCACAAAUGGUUCAUUGGACUGAACCGUAUGCCCUGGAUUGCACACACAACUAAAAUCCGAACCAUGUUUGAUGCAUCCUCCAUUGCAAACAUUUUGCACCUUUUUUGACGGGUUUUUUUACAUCCCCAUUUGUGAUUAAUGCAUCGCACAUAGUUUCGUGAAAGGGUCUCUGAUCGUAGUGUCGCAUUAGCAGCAUCUUGCAAUAGUGAUCAAGAAGAACUUUAACAAUAUAACCAUCACAUAAAGCAUUCUUUUCAUGAUCCACAAGCAUAGAAAAUUUAUUACUCUCCACAUAAGCUAAUUUAUUCUCAUGAGUAGUAGUGGGAGCAAACUCAACAAAAUAACUAUCAUGGGAUUGAAAAUUAAAAUCAUGAAGACAAGUUUCAUGCUUAUCAUAAUUCUUUGUAGCAUACAUGUCAUCACCAUAAUCAUCAUAGAUAGGAACUUUGUUUUCAUAGUCAAUUGCAACCUCCUCCAAAAUAGUGGAUUCAUCAUUAAAUAAAGUCAUGUCCUCUCCAAAUCCACUUUCAUCAAUAUAAUCAUCAUAAAUAGGAGGCAUGCAAUCAUCAUAAUAAAUUUUCUCAUAAAAACUUGGGGGACUAAAAAUAUCAUAUUCAUCAAAUAUAGCAUCCCCAAGCUCGUGGCUUUGCAUAUCAUUAGCAUCAUGGAUAUUCAAAGAAUUUAUACUAACAACAUUGUGUUGGGGAACCCAGUAAUUUCAAAACAAAUCCUACGAUCACGCAAGAUCUAUCUAGGAUAAGCAUAUCAACAAGCGGGGAGAGUGUUUCCACGUACCCCCAUAGACCGAAAGCGGAAGGGUUUUAUCAGCACGGUUGAUGUAGUCAUACGUCUUCACGAUCCAACCGAUCCUAGCACCGAACGUACGACACCUCCAUUUUCAACACACGUUUAGCUCGAUGAUGUCCCUCGUACUCUUGAUCCAGUUGAGGCUAGUUGUCGGUGUCCUAGGAACGGGGUCCCCAGACUUGCCUACCUGCGACCCGUGGCGUGGCUCCGUCAGCGACCUCGUAUGGCACAUCUUCACCAGCAAACACUCAAGACCUUCGCGAGGGGCCGAGCCUCACGAGGCGGACAACGCAAGACCUCCUCGGGGCAGCCUCACCAGGCUGGCUCGCGAGGGGCGGUGAGAUCAAGGCAAGGGAUACUUCGCGAGGUUCCUGUGACGCAAGGCACGACGACCAAGGCCAGGCGAGCACCAGGCAGGCGCCAGCGUGUAGUGUCCUCGUUUCCUCUUUGGUGCUAAAGAGGCAAGCACAGGCAAGGAGUCCCGAGGCAGCAGGCAAAGGUUUCCAUAUCGGUGCAAAACGAGACCAGGACCAGCAUGACGGUAGGCCGGAGGUCACCGUGGAGCGCAGGACAGCGUCACCACCAGAGCCUUUGGCAGGCGAAGACCAUCUUCUGUCAGGAUAGCUCGUACUAUUUGUCCCCCUUCAAAUUGGCCAUUGUGGGAUCCCUUCCCACCUAAUAUUUGGGAAGAGGACCGGGGCCUCUAUAUAUAGGACUAGCCACCACCGUAGGGAGACAUAUCAUCUGGGACUGGAUCCAUUCCACCAAGGCCACACACAAACUCACCAAGCACAAGAGCACCUCUCCUCAGGAGGCAGUUCUUCCCUUGUAACUGGUCAUCCUCAGCCCAAGAGGCAAUCCACCACACCACACUGGAGUAGGGUAUUACACCACAUCGGUGGCCCGAACCAGUAUAAAUCUUGUGUCCCUUUAUUCUGCGAGCUCGACGCGCUGAGCCUUCAGAUUGCGAUGAGGGCGUGAGCUAGAGGGAGGAGAGAUCUUCAUGCGCACUCCCGUGUUCGAACCUCAAGGGUUUUGCCGGAACCCACAAUCCGACAUUUGGCACGCCAGGUAGGGGUGCGUUGAAGCUUUCCUUCCGCUGAUCCGCGUUCCACCGCUCCACCGCAUCCAUGUCAGAUGCGCGCAGAGCGCUGGGCCGCCCUCACCGUCCGUGUCACUCAGACAGCCCCUAUUAGCGGGCAUCCCCGUCGUUCUCCAUCUCCUGUUGCCAAUGCCGCUACCGGCCCGACAGCAAACAAGCAGCAAGCGUCCUCACUGCACCCCUCCGUGUGGUGGGACGGCCGCACCGCCACCCCGUCGCUGACUCCGGCCGUCUCAUCGUCUCAUGCUCGCCGUGAACCCACGGACGUGCAGGCUGCACUGCUCAUGGCACGUGAGCUCCUGCGCUACCAACCGGUCGACGACCUCUACGAGGACUGGUUAGACCGCAUUGCCGAGCUCGUCAGCGUCGUUGGGGGCUCUCCUGCACAAUCCCUCCACUACAAGAAAUAUGUCAACUUGUGAUCAUCACUAUUGGUCACUGAAUGGUCAUUGUUUUCCAUUUGCGACCUUUUUUGACCAAAAACAGAUGGUCAAAAGCUGGCCGUCAUAAACUGAAAUUAGCGACCUUCUUUGUGAUAUGUAAAAGGUUGUUGGUUCGACGACCAAAUUUUUGGUCACUGGUAGCCUCCCCAAGCCACGUAGGAUCCAGCGUGGCAAGCUGACGUGGAUAAGAUUCAGCCCGGUCCAAUUCAGUGUUCUACAUGGGCCAAGCCCAACAAAUUCAAUAUUUCUAUUAUUAUUUUUCCUAUGAAUACUAUUGGGCUACAUGGGCCAAGCCCAAUAUUUCAGCCUUUUUAUUUCGGGGCUUUGGCAUUUUACAGUCUAUUGAUUAUAUAUUUUUGGAAAAUAAAUUUUGGAGUUGAUCCCACUAGUCAUGUUAAUCUCAUAUAUUGAUCGCACACAUCAGAAAGUUACGAACUAGUCAUAUUAUUUCAUAAGUGGGUUGCACUGGUCAAGUUCCCAUCUCACACACUAUCAAAUCACAUUCAUAAUCAAAUAUUCCAAACAAAUAAGAGAACAUGUGAAAUUCAUCAAAUAACACUAAAUUAGUGUAUUACUAUUUCUGUAGACUAUUACAAACCAGGUAUACCAGCUAUUACAAUAUUACAAUAUUACAGUCAAAUAGAACAAACAACUACUCUUUGCUAAGUAGCACUUCACGGCUUCGCGCUUUUCUUCAUGUCUUCGCGCUUCCAACUUAGGCCUGGAGCUCCUGUAAAAGAGGAACCAAGUAAAGAAGUUACACGCAGCUGCUCCUGUAAAAGAGGAACCAAGUAAAAAAGUUACACGCAGCUAUAUUUGCUACAGAUCAGCUAUCAACUCAAUAUUUAUGUACACCAUACAGAAAUUGUUUCCAAUUAGUACAAGUUCAUUUAAUACUCAGCUCCUUUAUUUGUGUCCAUUUAGUGCAAGUUCAUUUAAUGAUGCAAGCAAGCAACAGUAUUAAUCUAGCUCCAAAUAGUAUGAUUUGCAUCAUAAGGUACCCCCCCCCCUCAGCCAGUGAUUACACAAGGAACUAACGAAACAACGAUGAUGACACAGAAGGAACAAUCCAGCAAAGUAUUUGACUAUUCCCUUGCAUCCAAGGGACACAAUUCCUGAAGUAAAAUUAAGCCAAAAGAUAUGCUCCGAUGAGAUCUAGCCAGCGGGCAUUGGUAUGUGUAGGUACCGAUGGAAGAGUGUACCUGGAUGUAUAGCAUGAGAAGGGAGAGCUGGAGCGCCCACCUGAACUGAAGCUUGCCAGUAAACCAUGUAGGCAAGCACCACCUGACACUUCCACAUGCCGAAAAGGAGACCAUGUCGUCCAGAACACUCAUGUGCACCUGCAUCAACCAGAGGCACCAAAAUUGAGAAUGAGACCAAAAUUUACAUUAAACAGAAAAUUAAAAUAUAAGUGUCGCAUUGCAUAGCUAAACAAACCAUAUAAUGUACCAUAACAUUUGCAAAAAAGGAGCUGGUUCUCUCUAGUAUUACUAGUCAGCUCACUCUGUAAACAUAACAUUUGUUCAUCUUAUAUAACAAAAAACUCAGAAAUGUCGAUCGACUGCUCCAGAAAUGCAAUAUAUAAACCCAAGUGGAAUUUAUAACUACAAGCUACAACAACUCAAAGUGGCAGUAGCUAAAAUGCAAGCAUUGUUCAAAGACAAACAACAAGAAUCCCAGUAAUGGAUUGAACUCAAUGCUCUAUCUUCAUAUUAGCUAAUAGAACAUCUGCAAGAAACAACAUGCUUCCACCUUGUUUCAACGGAACUUUUAUACUUAAUAGUAAUAUGUGUUCUUAAUAGUAAUGCUUCCACCUUGUUCUUCAUGGCUUUAGUUGUUUUGAUUGAAGGGGCCACACGGCAUAAUUUAGGCGCUAGAAAGAGAAAUUAGAGCUCCUUACACACUUGACAGACAUAAAACUUCAGAGCCAAUAACGAGCACAAAUAGCAGUUUAUCCCUGAAGCACACAUCCAACUAUACUGAGAGACUAAGAUGAAACAUGCAUAUAUACUAAAUUAAUUUAUACGCUCUUGCCAACAUAUUCAGAUCAAAAUGCAGUAUGUCAAGACAACAUGCUUGCAGGAAGAAGUAGUAACGUCAAGAGAUCUAUGCUUGGAAUCACAACCAACCAAUACUUCAUUAACAGGUCACACAUCAAAAUUUGUGUUUACAAUAACUGUCGAAGGUGGGUUCAGCUUCUAUGCCUAUAAUAACUACUCACGGUGAAAUCUGGACGUGUAUAGCAGCUACUAGUAUGCAAAGUUGAUCAUGGUGCUACUGGCAGGCACUUGCACUAUUUUAUUCUAUGUUGAUCAUAUUAGGUUGUAAAAUAUAUACAAUAUUAAGUAUAGACAAAGCAAUACUACAUAGGCCUUUUCUUACAGGUGUUCGGUUUAUAAAAAAGUUGGCCAACAACAUUAUUGAGUGGCAAGCCUCACAUCUGUUGCUGGAUUGUCACAAUCUUACCAACACCGGAACACAGGCACAACACACAAACCAAAUCAGGGCGAGGCAGACAUUCUACCCAACGAGGACAGCAGCCUAUCCCACUACAAACUACCAUCUCAUGAAGCACGAAACAACAACCACAGCAUCAAUAUCACUCCUCUCUUUCUCAAAAAAAAGCAUUGCUAGUCAAAGAGCUCGAGCAAACAUUAGCCCACCUGAUGAGUAAGGCCCUCUAGAUGUCCCUUUGGAGGAGCUUGAUCGCUCUGCUCUUCAGCAGCAACAUCAGGCUGUGGAUCCGUGGCACCCGCGGACGUACUGCACACCCAGUCUGCAAGAUCCAAGGAUGAACUGAGAGCAGGGAGGGCAAACAUUAGCCAUACAACAAAUCAGGAUCAGCGUACAGAGUGGUAACGAGGGUCGUCUCUCCCUGCGCGUUCGACUUGCCAGUGUGACUGGUUAGUGAGAAUCAUAGCUGGACACUUCACUUGUGUUAAGAACCAAGCAAAUGGUAGUAUAAGCACACGAUGCACAAGUAUAAUGAACGGAGCAGAAAACUGUGUGUGAUGUGUUUAAUCCCUCGACAUGAACAGUUCAACUUCAGUUGAGUUUUACUUUAGUAUGUCAUCUGAAGAAAAAGGGGACAUGUUUUUGUUCCAUUAUUUCAUUCACUAGAUUAGUGUUCACCAUUGAUUUGUAAAUCUAGUCCAUUUGAGCACUGUGAAGACAGAGCAAUCCAAACUGCUAUAACUAAUUUAUAGAGAUGUAUAAGAAAUAAAUUAAACAUAGCUAGAGCUGCAGUUUUCUGUAGCAUAUGAACCAAGGCAUGGAGUAAAAGUUAUGUAGCCAUAAAAGACUACUUGAGGACUGACUUGAUGGUGUCUUUUGCUAAAACAGAUCCUUCUGCGCUUCUACGCAAUCUUAUUGUUCAUGCAAGGGGAAACAUACACUUCAGCAUAAAAGGAGGCACACAUUGGAACUAGAGCUACUCAGCCUAUGAACCGAGGGACUCCAUAAAAUGGUAAUGGUACUUCUCCUAGCAAACCUACUCAUUACAUGAUUUAUUUGGUGAUACAUUCAAUCUGGUUAAGCACCAAUUAGCCAAAUGUGAAUCGUUCUUGAACCAAGACUCGACAGCACAUAGCACAAAGACAGAGAAUGUAUGCUCCAGUAUAUCUUACACAAGCAAAAGGCUACGAAUCCAGGGGAGCGGGGGGGUCUUGACAGGAGUGGGGAGGGAGUAGGAGGCGCCCCCGCGCGGCUCGCCCGGUCCCCGGCGCUUCUUCCCUUGGAUGGGGAUGAAGAUGGCACUUCUCAAGCUCCACCCGCAGCGAGACAAAGCGGCACAACACUGCGCGGCUGGAUGCGGACAAGGCAGAGGCUGGGUGGCUGGAUGCGGGCGACGCAGGAGGCCAACAUCGGCGGGUGGAUGGGAUGAGGAGUGGGUCGGGGUGGGCGGCAGAUCUGGUCGUGGAUCGAUGGGAUGCCACAAGGAGAUGGGAUGCCGACCUGGUCGACUCAAUCUGAGCUAGGGUAGGGAGAGAUGGUGAGGGGAGGGAGGGACGAGGUCAGCAGUGGUGGGUGAGGAGGACGGCGAGGUCAGCGGUGGGUGGGAGUAGCGGGGAGAGGACUGGAUCGGGAGGGGGGCCGGGAGGAGGUGGCGGCGGCGAGGAGAUGGGGACGAGGGAGGAGGGGUGUGAUGGGGGGAUUUGAGCUAGGGUUUGGGUUGCAGGUGGGGUAUCUCUUUUUGUUUUCUUUUUUCUGUAGAUAGAUGGAUGGAUGGAUGUGGGAUGGAGAGAUGGAUGGAUGGCUGGAUGGGCGCCAUGUCAUUGAUCCGUGGGAAGAGUUCUGAUUGGUUCGGAAAAUCGGUGAUUUAAAACAGUUUUCAAGUACUAAAAAUAGAGGGAUUUUGUGAAGCAUCUAUCAAAAAUAUUUUGCAAAAGGGCACCACACAAAUUUUCACUAGAGUUACACCACAUUUUAUGGAUGAGGACAAAUUUUUAUGCAUUUUUUUAUCUUUCUAGCUAUUUUUAAUCAUUUUCCAAGUGACAACAAUGGUUUUUUUUGUGAAUAACCUACCAAAUAUUUGUUGCAAAAUUAGAAUCCAUCAAUUUUCUCAAAUACUAGUCGAUAUUUAAUAUACAAUUGACCAAAUGGUUGGGUGCGAAAAGCUUUGAUCCACCUCUGGUGAAAAAGAAAAAAUUCCUGCCCAUUCAGUUGGAAGCGGGUCAAAUUUGAACUCCAGCUACCUCGUAGUUUGCUCUUUAUAUUUUUCAGAUAUCAUUUCUAGGUACAAAAGUAUCUAUUUAAUCAAAGAAACACUAAAAGUUUUUCAAGAUUCAACCACUAACAAGGAACAAUCAUGCUCGCCGUUUUGACCGCAUUUUGAAAUGGGUAUUAAACAUUCAAAAAAAUCAAAACGUUGGAAAACCUUCGCACUGUGCCAUUAUAUGCGUCCAAGUUACCAGCAAAAAUAAUAAAAUUGUAUUACGGCAAUUAUUUUAAAAAAUAUUCUUAGGAAGAUUCAUGACUUUCAACCCAAAUGCUCAAUCUUAUCGCCACAUUUAUGACAUAGUUUGUCCAAAUGAUCUCAUAUUGUUUACAAAAGGUGCAUCUUGGAAUGACAAACGAUGUUGGCUAAGGAAGUUUUCAUUUUCUUUGGAUGAAAAAUUCAUUUUCCAUUAUUCGAGUGCCCAAAAUGAGUUUUUUGUGAAGAAUCUACCAUAUAUUUGUUGCAAAAUUGGUCUAAAUCAAUUUUCUAAAAUACUAGGACAUAUUUAAUGCACAAUUGACCAAAUGUUUGGGUAUCAAAAAAUUUGAUACACCUCUCGUGAAAAAGACAAAUUUUUGGCGAUCCAACAGGAAGAGGGUCAAAUUUGAACCGCAGCUGCCUCAUAGUUUGCUCCUUAUUGUUUCAAAAAAAACAUUUCUAGGUACAUAAGUAUCUAUUUAAUCAUAGAAACACCAAAAAAAUCCAACAUUCAAGCACUAGCUAGGAACGGUCAUGCCCGCUGUUUUGACCACAUUUUGAACCGGGCAUUAAAAAAAUAAAAACAAUCAAAAAAUGAGAAAAAUGAGAAAAACUUCGCAUUGUGUGAUUACAUGUGACCAAGUUACCACGAAAAAUAAUAAUCCUAUAAUAUGCUAAUUAUUUUAAAAAAGUCUUCUCAGAAACGAGCUAUCAUGUAUGAAGAUUCAUGGCUCAAGCUAAAUGGUCAAUCUUAUGGUCACAUUCAAGUCAUAGUUUGUUCAAAUGAUCUCAUAUUGUGUACAAACGUGCAUAUUGGAAUGACAAACAAUGUUGGCUAAGGAAGUUUUCAUUUUCUUUGAAUGAAAAAUUCAUUUUCCAUUUUUUGAAUACCCAAAAUGAGUUUUUUUGUGAAGGACCUACCAUAUAUUUGUUGAAAAAUGGGACCAAAUCAUUUUUCUAAAAUAUUAGGCCAUAUUUAAUGCAUAACUGACAAAAUGGUUUGUUGUCAAAAGCUUUUAUCCACCUCUCGUGAAAAAGACAAAUUUUGGCCGAUUUAGUUGGAAGCGGGUCAAAAUUGAACUGCAGCUGCCUCAUAGUUUGCUAUUUAUUUUUCCAAAAAAUCAUUUUAAGGUACAAAAGUAUCUAUUUAAUUAGAAAAACACCAAAAGUUUUCCAAGAUUCAACCACUAGAUAGAAACGGUCAUGCCCGCCGUUUUGACCGCAUUUUGCAACGGACAUGAAAAAUUCAUGGCAUAGUUUAUUCAAAUGAUCUCAUAUAGUGCACAAGGGUGCAUCUUGCAAUGACUAACAAUGUUUCAUAAGGUAGCUUUUUAUUUAUUUUUGGAUAGAAAAAUCAAUUUUCCAUUUUUUAGAGCCCAAAAUGAGGAUUUUUAAGAACUUACCAUAUAUUUGUUGCAAAAUUGGACCAAAUCAAAAUUUUAACAUACUAGACCAUAUUUAAUGUACAAUUGAUCAAAUGGUGGGUGUAAUUUUUUUAAUCCACCUAUCACGAAAAAGACAAAUUUCCGCAUAUUCAUUUUCCAUUUUUCGAGUUCCCAAAAUGAGUCUUUUUUUGAAGAACCUAACAAAUAUUUGUUCUAAAAAACUUCUACAUUUUUCAAGAAUAUUAGACCACAUUUUAUGAAAAAAUUUGUGUACACUAGAAACAUUUUUCAUAGAUAUUAAACGGUUUUUAGUUACAUCAUUAACAUUCUAAAUAAAUAUUUUGAUGUCUAAUAUUUUAAACACAUGUCUACAUUUUUUAAGACACAUUGUACAUAUUGUUUAUAUAUGUUUAAUUUUUUUAAAUACAUGAUUAACAUAUUUUCAUAUAUUUCAACAAAAAAACAUCUUUUCAUACAUACAUUUUGAUGUCUAUAUUUGUUUUUACACAUUGUACAUUUUUGUAUACAUAUAAAACAUUGUUAAUAUUGGUUAGAAAAAUUUAAAUACAUGAUUAACAUUUUUAGAAUUUUUUUAUCUACUUUUCCAUAUAUAUAUAUAUAUUGUAAAUUUUUCAUGUAUACGUACUGAUGACUAUUUUGCAUACACAUGAAACUUUUUUUAUACAUAUCUAAUAAUAUGAUUAUCAUUUUUUAUAUGCAUAAAACUUUUCAAAUACACACAUUUAGUUUUUUAAACACAUGAUUACAUUUUUUGAAAUAUGUAUUAAUAUUAACAUUAUUUUGAAUUACACGUUUAGUUUUCUAAUUGCUAAACCAUAUAGCGAUUCACGAAGGAGCUCAUUAUUUUCCUAUUUUGAUAAUUUUAUAUUGUUCAAUUGGUUUCGAGAUUUUUCUAUAAGGAAAACCUUUUUAGAGUUAUACAAUGAAACCUGUUUUUAGAUAUUAAUGACAACUUUUUUUUUCAGAUAACUGACCAUCCUUACCAAAUGGUAAUAAUGAAAAAUUUGUUAUUUUCCAAUUUUCAUUGGGCCGAAUAUAUGUUUUUUGAGUAAUAUAAGGGCAUCCCACAUUUCUUCCUGGAUGGACCGAGGGCUACAUGGCACAUGAAUUUUUUUAAAAGGAGGUGGCAUCGUUCCACUGAGGCCCAAGCCCACCUUGAGCGACACCUUAAGUACCAAUGCAUCCACGUUCACAACCUCAUGACCAUUUAUAGUGGUCGUAAUCAGGUAAAAAUAAGGCCAUCGACUACUCUUGUCUGCUUUAUGACCAUUUGGUGUAUGUCAAUUUCAGGGUUUGAGCCCUUCCAAGCGUAAUGGCCAUGGAUUUAUGACCAAUUUAGCUGGGUCACUGAGAGAAGGUCACAAGUUGACAUAUUUUUUAUAGUGCUCUCGCUGCCUCGCCCACCUCCAGCCGCGGGUGAUGUAGCUCACGGAGCGCCACCGUCGCCUCCACAUCAAGACGGUGCCCUUGCCCCGAGACGCGCAGCUCACAAAGCGCCCACCGCCCCCUCCGUGUCAAGACGGUGUCCUCGCCCCAAGACGCACGGUCCCGCGGCAUGAUCCGCCAUGCCGUGUGCCCGUGCACGAAGAAGGAAGCUGCCAAGAGGUUCCCCGGCCGCAAGAAAACGCUCCAGCGCUCCCGGCGCCACGGCAAGACCGUGUGCCGCCUUCGGCGGCGGUGCGCGGACAUCAAGGGCAGGCUCUGCCCCUGUAGAGGGCUCCGGUGGCCACCGCAGGCUGUCGCGCCUUCGCUCCCGAGCUGCGCACCAUCGUUUGGCCAGGCAAGUUCAAGUUGGAUCUACCUACGCGCUACGACGGCACCCCCGAUCCCGCGGAGUUCCUGCAGCUCUACGAGCUGAGCAUUGAGGUGGCCAACAGCAACGAAAAGGUCAUGGAGAACUGGUUUCCCAUGGCUCUCAAGGAUGGCACCCGCUCAUGGCUCCUGAACCUGCCCGCGCGAUCGAUCUCCUCCUGGGGUGAGAUGCGCGACCGCUUCAUCGCCAACUUCCAGGGCACUCGCGACCAUCCUCCGACCGCGGGUUACCUGCGCCGCAUCAAGCAACAGCUGGGAGAGACCCUGCAGAAGUACAUCCAGCGCUUCAACAACGUCUGCGUCAAGAUCCCCAAGGUGACGGACGAAGCCAUCAUCUCAGUGUUUUCUAAUGGCGUCCGCGACAUCAAGAUGAAGGAGCUAUGCACGACUCUGGAGCUGUUCAACAUACCGACCAAGUCUGCAAGAGCUGAGGAAGGGCGUCUCUCACUCCUCGAGCUCCCUACUGCCCACCCAGAGGAGAAGAAGGCCAAGGUCAAGGACGUGAAGCGCAAGGGAGUGGUCGUACUCGCGGCAGAGCCGGACAUGAAGCGCGGCCGGGACCACCCCGAGUCGUCCAAAGGUGGCCGUCCGUUUUGCGCCUUCCACAACGUGCACAGCCACAACACCAACGAUUGUCAAGAGCUCAAGGCCAUCCGAGAUGGACGCUUCAGUCGACGCCCCGAGCGCAACGACCGGGGCUAUGGCCGAGGAGGAGGACGAUGUGGAGGAUGCUGGGACGACCGCGGCCCCCGUCAGGAGUGGUGCGACCGACCUCGUGAGGACCACUGGCAAGAGCAGCCUUGUGAGGGCACCUGGUGCGGCCAGCCUCGCGAGGACCAUCCUCAAGGCAAUCCUGGCCUCCCUCCGCUGCCGCUACCACCAAGAAGGAAGACGACCUCCAUCAGGACAAGGGGGCUGGGGGCUUCCAGGAACCGCGCGCCAUCGCUUUCAUCUUAGGUGGUGCUCAGGCCCCGGCUUCCCAGCACAUCUUCAAGAAGUUCUCUCGCGAGGUGAAUGCAGCCCUCCCCAGGCUCGAGGACACACGCCCGCUCAGGUGACCCAAGUACGCCAUCACCUUCAGCUCGGCGAACCAACUCAAGUGCGCGGCGACCACCGGCGUCCUCCCGAUGCUCUGUUCACCCAUCAUCAGCAAUGUCCAAGUCACCAAGACCCUCAUCGAUGGUGGCGCGGGGCUCAGUGUCCUGUCCGUUGAGACGUUCGACAGCCUCCAAGUGCCAUAUGAUCAGCUUCAGCCCACCAAGCCUUUCUCAGGAGUGACCAACGGCUCCACCACCCCGAUAGAGCAAGUUCGUCUCCCUGUCACCUUUGGUCAGCGCGACAACUACCGCACCUAGCACGUCGACUUAGACGUCACCCACAUCCGUCUGUCGUACAACGCCAUCCUUGGGUACCCAGCAUUAGCCAAGUUCAUGGCGAUGACCCACCACGGCUACAACAUCCUCAAGAUGCCAGGAAGCGGUGGGAUCAUCAUAGUCCCCUACGAAGAAAGAGAUGCGGUGUGCUCCCUCGAGCGCGCCUUCCAAGCCAGAGCAAUCGAAGACCCUGAUAGCAAGGGCACGCAGUACCCUCCUGAGGCCACCCCCAAGAAGAAGAAACAGCUAUUCCGCACAUGUCCCCAGGGGAGCGAUGCCUCUAGCGAUGCCACAUCAGGAUCGGCGCCCGCACCUAGGGCGCCUACUCGGGGCAGGGCUUGGGGGCUCUCUUCUGGAGGGCCUCAGAUCUGGCCAACAUCACGAGGGAGGCGCUCGGGCACCAUGUGGAGGCGUGCUUCACGGCACGUUUCCCUCAGGAGGGCACCGGGCGAGGAGCGCCUGGCGCUCAGGAGUUCAUCAACAAGACCAUCCCAGGAACUUCAGGAAGCAAGGGCAAUACGCGGCGACCGCCACCCACCUGGUGCAGCUCCCCAUCCAGGCAAGGGUGGCGAGCUGUGUGUCUGCAUUAACAUCUCAGGGCUCAACAGGGCCGCAUCUUAGGAGCCUUAUGGCCUUCGCGCGUGGGACGUUGCGAGGGACCACCUCACAGCUACGUUCACAUGUCGUUUGGCCUGCCGAGCAUGGCAGCCGCCUUCCAGCGCAGCCUACGGAGUAUCCUGGUGCUACGUCUUGAGCUUGCGUUGGUUUUCCCUGAAGAGGAAGGGAUGAUGCAGCAGAGUAGCGUAAGUAUUUCCCUAAGUUUUUGAGAACCAAGGUAUCAAUCUAGUAGGAGGCCACGCUCAAGUCCCUCAUACCUGCACAAAGCGAUAGCUACUCGCAACCAACAUGAUUAGGGGUUGUCAAUCCCUUCACGGUCACUUACGAGAGUGAGAUCUGAUAGAUAUAAUAUUUUUGGUAUUUUUGAUAUAAAGAUGCAAAGUAAAAAAGUAAAAGCAAAAUAAAAAGCAAAGCAAGAUUAAAGUGAUGGAGAUUGAUAUGAUGAGAAUAGACCCGGGGGCCAUAGGUUUCACUAGUGGCUUCUCUCAAGAGCAUAAGUAUUCUACGGUGGGUGAACAAAUUACUGUUGAGCAAUUGACAGAAUUGAGCAUAGUUAUGAGAAUAUCUAGGCAUGAUCAUGUAUAUAGGCAUCACGUCCGUGACAAGUAGAUCGAAACGAUUCUGCAUCUACUACUAUUACUCCACUCAUCGACCACUAUCCAGCAUGCAUCUAGAGUAUUUAAAAAUAGAGUAACGCCUUAAGCAAGAUGACAUGAUGUAGAGAGAUAAAUUCAUGCAAUAUGAAAUAAAUCCCGUCUUGUUAUCCUCGAUGGCAACGAUACAAUACGUGCCUUGCUGCCACUUCUGUCACUGGGUAAGGACACCGCAAGUUCGAAGCCAAAGCUAAGCACUUCUUCCAUGGCAAGAACUACCAAUCUAGUUGGCCAAACCAAACAGAUAAUUCGAAGAGACUUGCAAAGAUAACCAAUCAUACAUAAAAGAAUUCAGAGAAGAUUCAAAUAUUAUUCAUAGAUAGACUUGAUCAUAAACCCACAAUUCAACGGUCUCAACAAAUACACCGCAAAAAGAAGAUUACAUCGAAUAGAUCUCCACAAGAGAGGGGGAGAACUUUGUAUUGAGAUUCAAAGAGAGAGAAGAAGUCAUCUAGCUACUAACUAUGGACCCUAAGGUCUGAGGUAAACUACUCACACUUCAUCGGAGAGGCUAUGAUGAUGUAGAAGCCCUCCGUGAUGACAUCCCUCUUCGGGCGGAGCUCUGGAACAGGCCCCAAGAUGGGAUCUCGUGGAUACAGAAAGUUGCGGCGGUGGAAUUAGGUUUUUGGCUCCUGUUCUGAUCGUUUGGGGGUACAUGUGUAUAUAUAGGAGGAAGAAGUACACCAGAGGAGCAACGAGGGGCCCACGAGGCAGGGGGCGCGCCCUAGGGGGGGGCCCACCCUCGUGACUGCCUCUUUUGUUCCUUGGAGCAGGGUCCAAGUCUCCUGGAUCACGUUCGGUGAGAAAAUCACGUUCCCGAAGAUUUUAUUCCGUUUGGACUCCGUUUGAUAUUCCGUUUCUUUGAAACACUGAAAUAGGCAAAAAAUAGCAAUUCUGGGCUGGGCCUUCGGUUAAUAGGUUAGUCCCAAAAAUAAUAUAAAAGUGGAAAAUAAAGCCCAAUAUAGUCCAAAACAGUAGAUAAUAUAGCAUGUAGCAAUCAAAAAUUAUAGAUACGUUGGAGACGUAUCACCUGGCAACCCAGGAGGCCAGGCAUCACGCGGUCCUGGCGGAGAUGGAGAUGGUCCUCAGGGAGCCACCCGAGCCCCCAGAGCCUCCCGAGGCUCAGGGUCUCGACAGCUCGUGAGGAGCGACUUCUUCAGCGCGCGCCUUCAGCUACCCCAACGCUCCUUCGACAACAAAACCAGGUGACAUUUUCCAAGUUUAUUCAGCUGGGAGCACCCCCGGGCUGCAUUAUUCCCAGGCCGCGUGGGCCUGUCCCUAUGGCAUGUAUCCUUUUUAUGUCUUUAGCUUACUUUACUAGGGGCGCCCCUCAGGUUGCAUCAUCCCCAUGCCGCUCGGGUCCGUCCCAGCGGCAUGUAUUGUUCUCGCAUCUAUCUAAGCUAUCAGGUUCCCAUGCAUGACUUAUUUAUAGUCAUCACCUGCUUGACUGCCACCCAUUGCGGGAGCCAUUCAUGCUAGCACGACGCUUGUGCUCGGGUCCGUCCCUGCAACGCUGAGCAAUCGAGCUCUGGCUCACGGCAUACCCGCGCACGUCACCUCACCAGGCCCUCGGUGCCUUCAUCUUCUUGCGGAGCAACUAGUGGCAAACUGGCAAUUGUAGUGGCAAUUUGUGUCCCACCUCACGCUAACCUGCAGGAACCUCCUGAGGACAAUAGCAGGUGGUACCGCGGGCUCCCUCUUCUCCCAUACAAUUCGCUUGCAUGUUAAAGGGGGGCUCCUGAGCAUCGCGACUCAGGAGCUCUUACAGGCUCUCCAGCCCUCACCCCCUGGCCUUGACCACGGCACCGCGACCUGGCAUACCAGCGGUGGCUAAGCUCACUCGAGGGCCGGGACCUGAGGACAUAGAGCACAUAGAAGAGCAUGGAGAAGAGGGGGAGGCUCGCACGGGCCUAACCUGGCUACACUAUGGCCAUCGGCGCAUGAGUCUGGCGCAGCACAAGGAACCAACUCCGGACUACCCAGAUAAGUUUCGCACCCGGGUCGGCCGAGCGCUAUGGCAUAAGAUUCUCACCUCUCGCAACCCUGCUGCGGCGACGUCGCCUCCCUUUCCCAUCCGUAGGUAGCUGCUUGCGCGCUAAAGGGGACCUCUUGAGCAUCGCGUCUCAGGAGCUCUUAUUAGACCUCGGGCCGCUCACCUCCUGGCCUUGACCACGGCAUCGCGACCUAGCAUACCAACGAUGGCUACAGCCUGCUUGGGGACCGAGACCUGUAGGCAUAGAGCACCAAGCUGCUGCGGGGUUGGAAAGGGGAGGGCGAGGGCGCCUUCCGCAUGGCAGAUUCGAGCAACCUCGCCCCAGCCACGGGUCAUGAAGAUUUUGCCUGAGGAGACGGCUUCGACCUCCGCUCCAGUCGCCGGGUCGUCGCAGUCGGCAUGGUGCAGCCAAAGCUCGAGGGGCCCCUCAGCGGCAUCUCGGCGGAGAAGAACUGCGGGAUGCGAAUCCAAGUGCGCGGAGGCAUCGCCACGCACAUCACGAGUUCGCGCGAGGAGUUCGCAGCAUGGGCCCCUGGGGUGACGGCGUGCGUCACCAUGGCGUGGGCGGUGCCGCUUGCCCCCUCUCCCUCUGGAGCCCUCGGCUUGGGCAUACAAAGGCAGUGGACACCCGGGAGGUGGCUGCUUGCACCAAGGCCUCGACAUGUCCGGCCUCACGACUAUGUCGCGACAUGGGCCAGCCUCUUCUUCGGCGGAAGUGGAUCGGGCUCAUCGAUGGUUUUUCCCUUCUCUGCGGCCAUGAACCUCCGUAUCGGCGCCAUGGGUGUCGCUGCUAGCGAUGAAGCAAGGAAGAAGAAGAUGCAGGAGGAGCGAAGGAAGAGAUGGGUGGCGGGGGCUCCGCUCCCCCCUUCUCAUUUAUACCCAAGAUGAGGCCAACCGCCGGCCUCCAUGAUCUAAGGUAAUAAUGACCUUUUUCUGCAUGCAGCAGGGACUCAUCAAGUCGGGCAGUUGCCGAGGCAGCGUGGGGAAGCAGAGACGCCCACGUUCCAUCAAUUGCCACGCGUCAACCGAGGCUGCAGACUGUUGGGGCCUGCGGCGCUCUGCACUUGCCCUUUGGCUUCGCCUCGAAGCCAAGUACGAGCGCGCCUUGGGCCCGGGGGCUACUGUCGGCAUCCUCGGAACGGGGGUCCCCAGACUUGCCUGCCUGUGGCCCGCGGCGUGGCUCCGUCAGCGGCCCCGUAUGACCAAUCUUCACCAACAAACACUCAAGGCCUUCGCAAGGGGCCGAGCCUCGCGAGGCGGACAACGCAAGACCUCCUCAGGGGCGGCCUCACCAGGCUGGCUCGCGAGGGACAGAGAGAUCAAGGCAAGGGACACCUUGCAAGGUUCCUGUGACGCAAGCCAUGAUGACCAGGGCCAGGCAGGUGCCAGCGUGCAGUGUCCUCAUUUCCUCUUUGGUUCUAAACAGGCAAGCACGGGCGAGGAGUCCCAAGGCAGCAUGCAAAGGUUUCCAUAUCAGUGCAACGAGAUCAAGACCAGUAGGACGGCAGGAUGGAGUUCACCAUGGAGCCCAGGAUGGUGUCACCACCAGAGCCUUUGGCAGGCGAAGACCAUCUUUUGUCAGGAUAGCUCAUACUAGUUGUUCCCCUUCUAAUUUGUCGUUGUGGGAUACCUUCCCGCCUAAUAUUUGGGAAGAGGACACGGGCCUCUAUAUAUAGGACUAGCCACCACUGUAGGGAGACAUCUCAUCUGGGACCGGAUCCAUUCCACCAAGACCACACACGAACUCACCAAGCACAAGAGCACCUCUCCUCAGGGGCGUUUCUUCCCUUGUAAUUGUUCAUCCUCAGCCCAAGAGGCAAUCCACCACACCACACUGGAGUAGGGUAUUACACUACAUGGGUGGCCCGAACCAGUAUAAAUCUUGUGUCCCUUUGUUCCGCGAGUUCGACGCGCUGAGCCUUGAGAUUGUGGUGAGGGCGUGAGCUAGAGGGAGGAGAGAUCUUCGUGCGCACCCCAGUGUUCAAACCUCAAGGGCUUUGCCGGAACCCGAAAUCCGACAGAGGCCGAGGGAGAGUUCCGACAGCACGACGGCGUGGCAACGGAGAUGAUGAAGUUACCGACGCAGGGCUUCGCCUAAGCACUACGACGAUAUGACCGAGGUGUCUAACUAUGGAGGGGGGACCGCACACGGCUAAGACAAAUCUUGGAGUGCCUCUAGGGUUCCCUCUGCCCACCUAUAUAAAGGAGGGAGGAAGAGGAGGCCAGCCCUAGAGGGGGCGCACCAAGGGGGGAGUCCUACUUGGACUCUCGGUCCAAGUAGGAUUCAGCCCCCCCCCCUUUCCUAUUCCAACUAGGAGAAGGAAGGGGAGGAGGAAGAGGGGAGAAGGAAGGAGGGUGUUGGAAAUAUGCCCUAUAGGCAAUAAUAAAAUGGUUAUUAUUAUAUUCCCUUGUUCAUGAUAAUUGUCUAUUGUUCAUGCUAUAAUUGUGUUAUCCGGAAAUCGUAAUACAUGUGUGAAUACAUAGACCACAACAUGUCCCUAGUGAGCAUCUAGUUGACUAGCUCGUUGCUACAUCUUGAGCACUGCGUUGGAUUUCCCCGAAGAGGAGAGGAUGAUGCAGCAAAUUAGCGUAAGUAUUUCCCUCGGUUUUUGAGAACCAAGGUAUCAAUCUAGUAAGAGGCUACGCGCGAUUCCCUUGUACCUACACAAAAACAAUAGCUCAACGCAACCAACGCGCUUAGGGGUUGUCAAUCCCUUCACGGUCACUUACGAAAGUGAGAUCUGAUAGAGAUGAUAAAUAAUAUUUUUGGUAUUUUUGGUAUAGAGAUGCAAAGUAAAAAAGUAAAAGCAAAGUAAAAGCAAAGCAAUAAUAAAGGGAUGGAGAUUGAUAUGAUGAGAAAGAUAGGUUUCACUAGUGGCUUCUCUCAAGAGCAUAAGUAUUCUACGGUGGGUGAACAAAUUACUGUUGAGCAAUUGAUAGAAUUGAGCAUAAUUAUGAGAAUAUCUAGGUAUGAUCAUGUAUAUAGGCAUCACGUUUGAGACAAGUAGACCGACUCUUGCCUGCAUCUACUACUAUUACUCCACUCAUCGACCGCUAUCCAGCAUGCAUCUAGAGUAUUAAGUUAAAAAUAGAGUAACACCUUAAGCAAGAUGACAUGAUAUAGAGGGAUAGUUUCAUGCAAUAUGAUUAAAAAAAACCAUCUUGUUAUCCUCGAUGGCAACAAUACAAUACGUGCCUUGCUGCCCCUUCUGUCACUGGGAAAGGACACCACAAGAUCGAACCCAAAGCUAAGAACUUCUCCCAUGGCAAGAACAACCAAUCUAGUAGGCCAAACCAAACAGAUAAUUCAAAGAGACUUGCAAAGAUAACCAAUCAUACAUAAAAGAAUUCGGAGAAGAUUCAAAUAUUAUUCAUAGAUAGACUUGAUCAUAAACCCACAAUUCAUCCGUCUCAACAAACACACCGCAAAAACAAGAUUACAUCGAAUAGAUCUCCACAAGAGAGGGGGAGAGCAUUGUAUUAAGAUCCAAAAAGAGAGAAGAAGCCAUCUAGCUACUAACUAUGGACCCGUAGGUCCAAAGUAAACUACUCACACUUCAUCAGAGGGGCUUGGAAGAUGAUGUAGAAGCCCUCUGUGAUCGAUGCCCUUCCGGCGGAGCUCCGGAACAGGCGCCAAGAUGGGAUCUCGUGGAUACAGAAAGUUGCGGCGGUGGAAUUAGGUUUUUGACUCCGUCCCGAUCGUUUGGGGGGCGCGCCCUAGGGGGGCGCCCUCCACCCUCAUGACCGCCUCGUGGCUUUCUUGACGGAGGGUCCAAGUCUCCUGGGUCUUAUCCGAUGAGAAAAUCACGUUCCCGAAGGCUUCAUUCCGUUUGGACUCCGUUUGAUAUUCUGUUUCUCCGAGACACUGAAAUAGGCAAAAAAAACAACAAUUCUGUGCUGGGCCUCCGGUUAAUAGGUUAGUCCCAAAAAUAAUAUAAAAGUGGAAAAUAAAUCCCAACAUAGUCCAAAACAGUAGAUAACAUAGCAUGGAGCAAUAAAAAAUUAUAGAUACGUUGGAGACGUAUCAAGCAUCCCCAAGCUUAAUUCCUACUCGUCCUCGAGUAGGUAAAUGAUAAAAAGAGAAUUUUUGAUGCGGAGUGCUACUUGGCAUAAUUUUAAUGUAAUUCUUCUUAAUUGUGGUAUGAAUAUUCAGAUCCAAAAGAUUCAAGACAAAAGUUCAUAUUGACAUAAAAUGAUAAUACUUCAAGCAUACUAACUAAGCAAUUAUGUCUUCUCAAAAUAACAUGGCCAAAGAAAGUUCAUCCCUACAAAAUCAUAUAGUUUAGUCAUGUUUCAUUUUCGUCACACAAGAAUGCUCUCGUCAUGCACAACCCCGAUGACAAGCCAAGCAAUUGUUUCAAACUUUAGUAAUCUCAAACCUAUAAACUUUCACGCAAUAUAUGAGCGUGAGCCAUGGACAUAGCACUAUGGGUGGAAUAGAAUAUAAUGAGGGGGUUAUGUGGAGAAAACAAAAAAGAAGAAAGUCUCACAUCAACGAGGCUAAUCAAUGGGCUAUGGAGAUGCCCACCGAUUGAUGUUAAUGCAAGGAGUAGGGAUUGUCAUGCAACGGAUGCACUAGAGCUAUAAAUGUACGAAAGCUCAACAAAAGAAACUAGUGGGUGUGCAUCCAACUUGCUUGCUCACGAAGACCUAGAGCACUUGAGGAGGCCCAUUGUUGGAAUAUACAAGCCAAGUUCUAUAAUGAAAAAUUCCCACUAGUAUAUAAAAGUGAUAACAUGAGAGACUCUCUACUAUGAAGAUCAUGGUGCUACUUUGAAGCACAAGUGUGGUAAAAGGAUAGUAACAUUGUCCCUUCUCUCUUUUUCUCUCAUUUUUUUGGGCCUUUUCUUUUUCUUUUUUUAUGACAUUUCUCUUUUUUUGGGCCUUCUCUUUUUUGAUGGCCUUUCUUUUUUUAUUCCUCACUUGGGACAAUGCUCUAAUAAUGAUGACCAUUACACUUCUAUUUAUUUACAACUCAAUGAUUACAACUCGAUACUAAAACAAAGAUGACUCUAUAUGAAUGCCUCCGGCGGUGUACCGGGAUAUGCAAUGAACCAAGAGUGACAUGUAUGAAAGAAUUAUGAACGGUGGCUUUGCCACAAAUACUAUGUCAACUACAUGAUCAUGCUAAGCAAUAUGACAAUGAUGAAUAUGUCAUGAUGAACGGAAUGAUGGAAAGUUGCAUGGCAAUAUAUCUCAGAAUGGCUAUGGAAAUGCUAUAAUAGGUAGAUAUGGUGGCUGUUCUGAGGAAGAUAUAAGGAGGUUUAUGUGUGAAAGAGCGUAUCAUAUCACGGGGUUUGGAUGCACCGGCGAAGUUUGCGCCAACUCUCAAUGUGAGAAAGGGCAAUGCAUGGUACCGAAGAGGCUAGCAAGGAUGGAAGGGUGAGAGUGCGUAUAAUCCAUGGAGUCAACAUUAGUCAUAAAGAACUCACAUACUUAUUGUAAAAAUCUACAAGUCAUCAAGAACCUCGGCACUACGUGCAUGCUACGGGACUUGCAAACUUCUACACAAGUAUUUCUCAAUUUCACAACUACUCAACUAGCAUGACUUUGAUAUUAUUACCUCCAUAUCUCAAAACAAUCAUCAAGCAUCAAACUUUUCUUAGUAUUCAACACACUCAUAAGAAAGUUUUAUUAUUAAUCUUGCAUACCAAGCAUAUUACAAUUUUAAGCAAAUUACCAUGCUAUUAAGACUCACAAAAUAAUCUAAGUGAAGCAUGAGAGAUCAAUAGUUUCUAUAAAACAAAUCCACCACCGUGCUCUAAAAGAUAUAAGUGAAGCAUUAGAGCAAAACUAUAAAGCUCAAAAGAUAUAAGUGAAGCACAUAGAGUAUUUUAUCAAAUUCCAAAUCAUGUAUGGCUCUCUCAAAAGGUGUGUACAGCAAGGAUGAUUGUGGUAGACUAACAAGCAAAGACUCAAAUCAUAAAAGAUGCUCCAAGCAAAACACAUAUCAUGUGGUGAAUAAAAAUAUAGCUCCAAGUAAAAUUACCGAUAGAAGUAGACGAAAGAGGGGAUGCCUUCCGGGGCAUCCCCAAGCUUUGGCUUUUAGGUGUCCUUAUAUUAUCUUGGGGGUGCCAUGGACAUCCUCAAGCUUAAGCUCUUGCCACUCCUUGUUUCAUAAUCCAUUAAAUCUUUACCCAAAACUUGAAAACUUCACAACACAAAACUUAAAGUAGAAAAUCUCAUGAGCUUCGUUAGUGAAAGAAAACAAAAGACCAUUUCAAGGUACUGUAAUGAAAUCAUUUUUUAUUUAUAGUUGUGUUAAACCUACUGUAUCCCAACUUCUCUAUGAUUAUAAACUAUUUUACUAGCUAUAGAUUCAUCAAAAUAAGCAAACAACACACGAAAAACAGAAUCUGUCAAAAACAGAACAGUCUGUAGUAAUCUGUAGCUAGCACAAGAUCUGGAACCCCAAAAAUUCUAAAAUAAAUUUCUGGACGUGAGGAAUUUAUCUAUUAAUUAUCUGCAAAAAUAAUUAACUAAAUAUCAUUUUCCAAAUAAAAAUGACAGCAGUUCUCGUGAACGCUAAAGUUUCUAUUUUUUACAGCAAUUUCAACAAGACUUUCCCCAAGUCUUACCAAUGGUUCUACUUGGCACAAACACUAAUUAAACACAAAAAACACAACCAAAACAGAGGAUAGAUAAACUAUUUAUUACUAAACAGGAGCAAAAAUCAAGGAAUAAAAAUAAAAUUGGGUUGCCUCCCAACAAGCGCUAUCGUUUAAUGCCCCUAGCUAGGCAUAACAAUCAAUAAUAGAUCUAGGUAUUGCCAUCUUUGGUAGGCAAUCCAUAAAUGGCUCUCAUGAUAGAUUCAUAUGGUAAUUUUAUUUUCUUUCUAAGGAAGUGUUUCAUGCCCUUUUUAAUGGAAAUUGAUAUAUAAUAUUCCCUUCCUUCAUAUCAAUAAUUGCACCAACCAUUCUAAGGAAAGGUCUACCAAAAAUAAUAGGGCAAGAAGGAUUGCAAUCUAUAUCAAGAACGAUAAAAUCUACGGACACAUAAUUCCUAUUUGCAACAAUAAGAACAUCAUUAAUUCUUCCCAUAUGUUUCUUAAUAGUGGAAUCCGCAAGAUGCAAGUUUAGAGAGCAAUCAUCAAAAUCACGGAAAUCUAGCAAAUCACACAAAGUUUUGGCAAUAGUAGAGACACUAGCACCCAAAUCACACAAAGCAUAAAACUCAUAAUCUUUAAUUUUAAUUUUAAUAGUAGGUUCCCACUCAUCAUAAAGUUUUCUAGGGAUAGAAACUUUCAACUCAAGUUUUUUUUCAUAAGAUUGUAUCAAGGCAUCAACGAUAUGUUCGGUAAAGGCUUUAUUUUGGCUAUAAACAUGAGGAGAUUUUAGCACGGAUUGCAACAAGGAAAUACAAUCAAUUAAAGAGCAAUUUUCAUAAUUAAAUUUCUUGAAAUACAAUAUAAUGGGUUUAGCAUCAUCUAGGGUUUUAUUUCUUUUAAUCCCGCUUUUAUCAAUUUCAUCAUCAAGAUCUAAAUACUUCAAAUUUUUAGAACGCCUUCUAGGUAAAGGUGGAUCAUAUUCAGUCCCAUCAUUAUCAAGAUUAAUAUUGAAAACCAAAGAUUUAAUAGGGGACACAUCAAUAACUUUUAGAUCUUCAUCUUUAUUUUCAUAGAAAUUGGAAGAACACGCUUUAAUAAAGGCAUCUUUCAUAGCACGCGUCCUAGCGGUUCUUUCCUUGCACUCAUCAAUGGAAAUUCUCAUGGCUUUGAGAGACUUAUUGGUAUCAUGCUUAGGAGGAAUAGAUCUAAGCUUUAAAGAAUCAACAUCAAGAGAAAUUCUAUCAACGUUCCUAGCCAAAUCAUCAAUCUUAAGCAAUUUUUCUUCAAUCAUAGCAUUAAAGUUCUUUUGUGAAGAAAUAAAUUCUUUAAUAUUAUAUUCAAAAUCAGAGGGCAUCUUAUUAUAAUUUCCAUAAGAAUUGUUGUAGGAAUUACCAUAAUUAUUAGAGCGGUUACUAGGAUAAGACCUAAGAUUGAAAUUCCCUCUAUACACGUUGUUACCAAAAUUGUUCGUACCAACAAAAUUCACAUCCAUAGAUUCAUUAUUAUUCUCAAUCAAAGUAGACAAGGGCAUAUCAUUAGGAUCAGAAGAAACACUCCUAUUAGCAAAUAAUUUCAUAAGUUCAUCCAUCUUUCCACUCAAAAUAUUAAUUUCUUCUAUCGCAUGCACCUUUUUAUUAGUAGAUCUUUCAGUAUGCCAUUGAGAAUAAUUAACCAUAAUAUUAACUAGGAGUUUAGUAGCAUCUCAUAAAGUGAUUUUCAUAAAAGUGCCUCCCGCGGCCGAAUCUAAAAGAUUUCUAGAAGCAAAAUUCAAUCCGGCAUAAAUUUUUUGUAUAAUCAUCCACAAAUUUAAACUAUGAGUAGGGCAAUUACGUAUCAUUAAUUUCAUUCUCUCCCAAGCUUGUGCAACAUGUUCAUGAUCAAGUUGUUUAAAAUUCAUAAUAUCGUUUCUAAGAGAGAUGAUCUUAGCGGGAGGAAAAUACUUAGAGAUAAAAGCAUCUUUACACUUGUUCCAUGAAUCAAUACUAUUUUUAGUUAAAGAUGAAAACCAAGUUUUAGCACGAUCUCUAAGCGAAAAAGGAAAUAGCUUCAAUUUAACAAUAUCAUUAUCGACAUCUUUCUUCUUUUGCAUGUCACACAAAUCAACGAAGCUAUUAACAUGGGUAGCGGCAUCUUCACUAGGAAGGCCGGAAAAUGGAUCUUUCAUGACAAGAUUCAGCAAAGCAGCAUUAAUUUCAUAAGAUUCAGCAUCGGUAAGAGGAGCAAUUGGAGUGCUAAGGAAAUCAUUAUUGUUGGUAUUGGUGAAGUCACACAAUUUAGUAUUAUCUUGGGCCAUCGCGACAAACAAGCAAUCCAACACACGAGCAAACAAAAAGCAAAUGGGCAAAAAGAGCCAAAUAGAGAGGGAGGAUAAAGAGAAAGGGCGAAUAAAGCGGCAAAGAUGAAGUGGGUGAGAGGAAAACGAGAGGCGAAUAGCAAAUAAUGUAAUGCGGGAGAUAAAGAUUGUGAUGGGUACUUGGUAUAUUGACUUUUGCGCAGACUCCUUGGCAGCGGCGCCAGAAAUUCUUCUUGCUACCUCUUGAGCACUACGUUGAAUUUCCCCGAAGAGGAGAGGAUGAUGCAGCAAAAUAGCGUAAGUAUUUCCCUCGGUUUUUGAGAACCAAGGUAUCAAUUCAGUAGGAGGCUACGCGUGAGUUCCUUGUACCUACACAAAAACAAUAGCUCAACGCAACCAACACGCUUAGGGGUUGUCAAUCCCUUCAUGAUCACUUACAAAAGUGAGAUCUGAUAGAGAUGAUAAAUAAUAUUUUUGGUAUUUUUGGUAUAGAGAUGCAAAGUAAAAAGUAAAAGCAAAGUAAAAGCAAAGCAAUAAUAAAGUGAUGGAGAUUGAUAUGAUGAGAAAGAGACCCGGGGGCCAUAAGUUUCACUAGUGGCUUCUCUCAAGAGCAUAAGUAUUCUACGGUGAGUGAACAAAUUACUGUUGAGCAAUUGACAGAAUUGAGCAUAGUUAUGAGAAUAUCUAGGUAUGAUCAUGUAUAUAGGCAUCACGUCCAAGACAAGUAGACCGACUCCUGCCUGCAUCUACUACUAUUACUCCACUCAUCGACCGCUAUCCAGCAUGCAUCUAGAGUAUUAAGUUAAAAAUAGAGUAACACCUUAAGCAAGAUGACAUGAUAUAGAGGGAUAGUUUCAUGCAAUAUGAUAAAAAAACCAUCUUGUUAUCCUCGAUGGCAACAAUACAAUACGUGCCUUGCUGCCCCUUCUGUCACUGGGAAAGGACAACACAAGAUCGAACCCAAAGCUAAGCAUUUCUUCCAUGGCAAGAACAACCAAUCUAGUAGGCCAAACCAAACUAAUAAUUUGAAGAGACUUGCAAAGAUAACCAAUCAUACAUAAAAGAAUUCGGAGAAGAUUCAAAUAUUAUUCGUAGAUAGACUUGACCAUAAACCCACAAUUCAUCGGUCUCAACAAACACACCGCAAAAAGAAGAUUACAUCGAAUAGAUCUCCACAAGAGAGGGGGAGAACAUUGGAUUGAGAUCCAAAAAGAGAGAAGAAGCCAUCUAGCUACUAACUAUGGACCCAUAGGUCUAAAGUACACUACUCACACUUCAUCGGAGGGGCUUGGAUGAUGAUGUAGAAGCCCUCCGUGAUCGAUGCCCCUUCCGGCGGAGCUCCGGAACAGGCCCCAAGAUGGGAUCUCAUGGAUACAGAAAGUUGCGACUGUGGAACUAGGUUUUUGGCUCCGUCCCUGAUCGUUUGGGGGUACGUAGGUAUAUAUAGGAGGAAGGAGUACGUCGAUGGAGCUUUGAGGGGCCCACGAGGCGGGGGGCGCGCCCUAGGGGGCGCCCUCCAUCCUCGUGACCGCCUCGUGGCUUUCUUGACGGAGGGUCCAAGUCUCCUGGGUCUUAUCUGAUGAGAAAAUCACGUUCCCGAAGGUUUCAUUCCGUUUGGACUCCGUUUGGACUCCAUUUGAUAUUCUGUUUCUCCGAAACACUGAAAUAGGCAAAAAAACAGCAAUUCUGGGCUGGGCCUCCGGUUAAUAGGUUAGUCCCAAAAAUAAUAUAAAAGUGGAAAAUAAAGCCCAAUAUAGUCCAAAACAGUAGAUAAUAUAGCAUGGAGCAAUCAAAAAUUAUAGAUACGUUGGAGACGUAUCACUCGUUGAUCAAUAGAUGGUUACGGUUUCCUAACCAUGGACAUUGGAUGUUAUUGAUAAUGGAAUCACAUGAUUAGGAGAAUGAUGUGAUGGACAAGACCCAAUCCUAUGCAUAGCACAAGAUCAUGUAGUUCGUCUGCUAAAGCUUUUCUAAUGUCAAGUAUCUUUUCCUUACACCAUGAGAUUGUGCAACUCCCGGAUACUGUAGGAAUUCUUUGAGUGUGCCAAACGUCACAAGGUAACUGGGUGGCUAUAAAGGUGCACUACGGGUAUCUCCGAAAGUGUUUGUUGGGUUGGCACGAAUCGAGACUGAGAUUUGUCACUCUGUAUGACGGAGAAGUACCUCUGGGCCCACUCGGUAAUGCAUCAUCAUAAUGAGCUCAAUGUGUCUAAGAAGUUAGUCACGGGAUCAUGCAUUACGGAAUGAGUAAAGUGACUUUCCGGUAACGAGAUUGAACGAGGUAUUCGGACACCGACAAUCGAGUCUCGGGCAAGUAACAUACCGAUUAACAAAGGGAAUUGUAUGUGGGAUUGAUAGAAUCCUCGACAUCAUGGUUCAUCCGAUGAGAUCAUCGUGGAACAUGUGGGAGCCAACAUGGGUAUCCAGAUCCCGCUGUUGGUUAUUGGCCGGAGAGAUGUCUCGGUCAUGUCUGCAUGAUUCCCGAACCCGUAGGGUCUACACACUUAAGGUUCGGUGAUGCUAGAGUUGUUAUGAGAAUUAGUACGUGGUUACCGAAUGUUCUUCGGAGUCCCGGAUGAGAUCCCGGACGUCACGAGGAGUUCUGGAAUGGUCCGGAGAUAAAGAUUUAUAUAUGGGAAGUCCUUAUUCGAUCGCCGGAAGUGUUUGCGGGUUUAUCGGUAUUGUACCGGGACCACCGAAGGGGUUCUGGGGUCCACCGGGAGGGUCCACCUGCCCGGAAGGCCCUAUGGGCUGAAUAUGGAGGGGAACCAGCCCCUAGGUAGGCUGGGCGCCAAACCCCCCUAAGGCCCAUGCGCCUAGGGUUUAGGGGAAACCCUAAAGGGGGCGCCCCCCUUGGCUUGGGGGCAAGCCACCCCCUUGGCCGCCGCCCCCCUCUAGAUCCAUGUGGAGGGGGCCGGCCCCCAUCUCCCUUGCCCCUAUAAAUGGAGGAGAGGUGGGAGGGCUGCCGCACCCUUCCCCUGGCGCAGCCCUCUCCCUUCCCAACACCUCCUCCUUCGUAGUAGUGCUUGGCGAAGCCCUGCCGGAGAACCGCAAGCUCCACCACCACGCCGUCGUGCUGCCGGAGCUCUUCCUUAACUUUUCCUCUCCCCUUGCUGGAUCAAAAAGGAGGAGACAUCCACGGGCUGUACGUGUGUUGAACGCAGAGGCGCCGUUGUUCGGCGCUUAGAUCAGAAUCAACCAUGAUCUUAAUCGCUGCGAGUACGACCCCUUCAUCUGCGUUCAUGUAACGCUUCCGUUUCACGGUCUUCAAGAGUAUGAAGAUACACUCCACUCUAUCUCGUUGCUAGUCUCUCCAUAGAUUGAUCUUGAUGAUGCGUAGAAUUUUUUUAAUUUCUGCAACGUUCCCCAACAGGGGGUGCCGCCCCCUCCUAGUCCAAUUUGGACCAGCCCAUGGAGGACACGCGGCCACCCAUUGAGGCCCUUCUCUCCUUUCCCGUAUGGCCCAUUAAGGUCCACUACUUCCCCCGGCGAAUUCCCGUAACUCUCCGGUACUCCGAAAAAUACCUGAAUCACUCGGAACCUUUCCGAUGUCUGAAUAUAACCUUCCAAUAUAUCGAUCUUUACCUCUCAACCAUUUCGAGACUCCAUGUCAUGUCCGUGAUCUCACGCAGGAGUCCAAACAAACUUCAGUCAUCAAAUCACAUAAUUCAUAAUACAAAUCAUCAUCGAACGUUAAGCAUGCGGACCCUAUGGGGUCAAGAACUAUGUAGACAUGUCCGAGACACAUCUCCGGUCAAUAACCAAUAGCGGAACCUGGAUGCUCAUAUUGGCUCCUACAUAUUCUACGAAGAUCUUUAUCGAUCAAAUCGCACAACAACACACGUUGUUCCCUUUGUCAUCCGUAUGUUACUUUCCCAAGAUUCAAUCAUCGGUAUCAUCAUACCUAGUUCAAUCUCGUUACCGGCAAGUCUCUUUACUCGUUCCGUAAUACUUCAUCCCGCAACUAACUCAUUAGUCACAUAGCUUGCAAGGCUUAUAGUGAUGAGUAUUACCGAGAGGGCCCAGAGAUACCUCUCGGAAAAUCGGAGUGACAAAUCCUAAUCUCGAUCUAUGCCAACUCAACAAACAUCAUUGGAGACACUUGUAGAGCAUCUUUAUAAUCACCCAGUUACGUUGUGACAUUAGAUAGCACACAAAGGGUUCCUCCGGUAUUCGAAAAUUGCAUAAUCUCAUAGUCUGAGGAACAUGUAUAAGUCAUGAAGAAAGUAGUAGCAAUGAAACUGUAAAGAUCAUAAUGCCAAGCUAACGAAUGGGUCUUGUCCAUCACAUCAUUCUCAUGAUGCGCUAAUGUUCAUCAAAUGACAACACAUGUCUAUGGUCAGGAAACAUAACCAUCUUUGAUAAACAAGCUAGUCAAGUAGAGGCAUACUAGGGACACUCUAUUUGUCUAUGUAUCCACACAUGCAUCAAGUUUCCGGUUAAUAGAACUCUAGCAUAAAUAAUAAAUAUUUAUCAUGAUAUAAGGAAAUAUAAAUAACAACUUUAUUAUUGCCUCUAGGGCAUAUUUCCUUCAGUCUCUUACUUGCACUAGAGUCAAUAGUCUAUAUCAUAUCGCCACGUGAUUUAGCACCAAUAGUUCACAUCUUUAUGUGAUUAACACCCAUAGUUCACAUCGCCAUGUGACCAACACUCAAAGGGUUUACUAGAGUCAAUAAUCUAUCUCACGUCGCUUAUGUGAUUAACACCUAGGAGUAAUAAGGUGUGCUCAUGUUUUGCUUGUGAGAGAAGUUUUAGUCUACGGGUCUGCCAUAUUCAGAUCCAUAAGUAUUUUGCAAAUUUCUAUGUCUACAAUGCUCUGCACGGAGCUACUCUAGCUAAUUGCUCCCACUAUCAAUAUGUAUCCAGAUUGAGACGCAGAGUCAUCUGGAUCGGUGUAAAAGCUUGCAUCGACGUAACUCUUUACGACGAACUCUUUGUCACCUCCAUAAGCGAGAAAUAUUUCCUUAGUCCUCUUUAGAUACCUAAGGAUAAUUUUGACCGUUGUCCAGUGAUCUACUCCUAGAUCACUAUUGUACUCCCUUGCCAAACUCAUAGCAAGGUAUUCGAUAGGUCUGGUACACAUCAUGGCAUACUUUAUAGAACCUAUGGCUGAGGCAUAGGGAAUGACUUUCAUUCUCUUUCUAUCUUCUACCGUGGUUGGGAUUUGAGUCUUACUCAACUUCACACCUUGCAACACAGGCAAAAACUCCUUUGGUUGUUCCAUUUUGAACUACUUCUAAAACUUGUCAAGGUAUGUACUCAUUGAUAAAACUUAUCAAGCUUCUUGAUCUAUCUCUAUAGAUCUUGAUGCUCAAUAUGUAAGCAGCUUCACCGAGGUUUUUCUUUGAAAAACUCCUUUCAAAUACUCCUUUAUGCUUUCCAGAAAAUUCUACAUCAUUUCUGAUCAACAAUAUGUCAUUCACAUAUACUUAUCAGAAAGGCUGUAGUGCUCCCACUCACCUUUUUGUAAAUACAGGCUUCGCCGCAAGUCUGUAUAAAACUAUAUGCUUUGAUCAACUUAUCAAAGUGUAUAUUCCAACUCCGAGAUGCUUGCACCAGUCCAUAGAUGGAUCGCUAGAGCUUGCAUAUUUUGUUAGUACCUUUAGGAUUAAUAAAACCUUCUAGUUACAUCAUAUACAACUCUUCUUUAAGAAAUCCAUUAAGGAAUGCAGGUUUGACAUCCAUUUGCCAAAUUUCAUAAAAUGCACUAAUUGCUAACAUGAUUCAGACAAACCUUUAAGCAUCGAUACAAGUGAUAAAAUCUCAUCGUAGUCAACACCUUGAACUUGUCAAAAACAUUUUUUGCGACAAUUCGAGCUUUGUAGAUAGUAAUACUACCAUCAUCGUCCGUCUUCCUCUUGAAGAUCCAUUUAUUCUCAAUGUCUUGCCAAUCAUCGGGCAAGUCAAUCAAAGUCCACACUUUGUUCUCAUACAUGGGUCCCAUCUCAGAUUUGAUGGCCUCAAGCCAUUUCGCGAAAUCUGGACUCAUCAUCGCUUCCUUAUAGUUCAUAGGUUCAUCAUGGUCAAGUAACAUGAUGUCCAGAACAGGAUUAUCAUACCACUCUGGUGCGGAAUGUACUCUGGUUGACCUACGAUGUUCAGUGCCAACUUGAUCUGAAGUUUCAUGAUCAUCAUCAUUUGCUUCCUCAUUAAUUGGUGUAGGAAUCACUGAAACUGAUUUUUGUGAUGAACUACUUUCCAAUUCUGGAGCAGAUACAAUUACCUCAUCAAGUUCUACUUUAUUCCCACUCACUUCUUUCGAGAGAAACUCCUUCUCUAGAAAGGAUCCAUUCUUAGCAACGAAUAUCUUGCCUUCGGAUAUGUGAUAGAAGGUGUACCCAAUAGUCUUCUUUAGGUAUCCUAUGAAGACACAUUUCUCCGAUUUGGGUUCGAGCUUAUCAGGUUGAAGCUUUUUCACAUAAGCAUCACAACCCCAAAAUUUAAGAAACUACAUCUUAGGUCUUUUGCCAAACCACAGUUCAUAUGGUGCCGUCUCAACGGAUUUAGAUGGUGCCCUAUUUAACGUGAAUGCAGUUGUCUCUAAUGCAUAACCCCAAAAUGAUAGCGGUAAAUCGGUAAGAGACAUCAUAAAUCGCAUCAUAUCUAAUAAAGUACGGCUAUUACGUUCGGAGACACCAUUACGCUGUGGUGUUCCAGGUGGCGUGAGUUGCGAAACUAUUUUGCAUUGUCUCAAAUGAAGACCAAACUCAUGACUCAAAUAUUCUCCUCCACGAUCAGAACGUAGAAACUUUAUUUUCUUAUUACGAUGAUUUUCCACUUCACUCUGAAAUUCUUUGAACUUUUCAAAUGUUUCAGACUUAUGUUUCAUCAAUUAGAUACACCCAUAUCUGCUCAAAUCAUCUAUGAAGGUCAGAAAAUAACGAUACGUGCCGCGAGCCUCAACACUCAUCGGACCGCAUACAUCAGUAUGUAUUAUUUUCAAUAAGUCAGUUGCUCGCUCCAUUGUUCCAGAGAACGGAGUCUUAGUCAUCUUGCCCAUGAGGCAUGGUUCGCAAGCAUCAAGUGAUUCAUAAUCAAGUGAUUCCAAAAGUCCAUCAGCAUGGAGUUUCUUCAUGUGCUUUACAACAAUAUGACCUAAAUGGCAGUGCCACAAAUAAGGUGCACUAUCAUUAUUAACUUUGCAUCUUUUGGCUUCAAUAUUAUGAAUAGGUGUAUCACUACGAUCGAGAUUCAAUAAACCAUUUAUAUUGAGUGUAUGACCGUAGAAGGUUUUAUUCAUGUAAAUAGAACAACAAUUAUUCUUUAACUUAAAUGAAUAACUGUAUUGCAAUAAACAUGAUAUAAUCAUAUUCAUGCUCAACGCAAACACCAAAUAACAUUUAUUUUAGGUUCGUCACUAAUCCUGAAGGUAAAGAGAGUGUGCGAUGGUGGUCUUAUCAACCUUGGAAUCACUUCCAACACACAUCAUCACCUCAGCCUUCACUAGUCUCUGUUUAUUGUGCAACUCUCGUUUCGAGUUACUACUCUUAGCAAUUGAACCAAUAUCAAAUAUCAAGGGGUUGCUAUAAACACUAGUAAAGUACACAUCAAUAAAAUGUAUAUCAAAUAUACAUUUUUUCACUUUGCCAUCCUUCUUAUCCACCAAGUAUCUAGGGCAGUUCCACUUCCAGUGACCAUUUCCUUUGCAGUAGAAGCACUCAGUUUUAGGCUUGAGUCUAGCUUUGGGUUACUUCAUAGGAGUGACAACUUCCUUGUCAUUCUUCUUGAAGUUCCCUUUAUGUCCCUUUGCCCUUUUCUUAAAACUAGUGGUUUUUGUUAACCAUUAACACUUGGUGCUCUGUCUUGAUUUCUACAUUCGCCGAUUUCAGCAUCGUGAAGAGCUCAGGAAUUACUUUCGUCAUCCCUUGCAUAUUAUAGUUCACCACGAAGUUCUAGUAACUUGGUGAUGGUGACUAGAGAAUUCUGUCAAUCACUAUCUUAUCUGGAAGAUUAACUCCCACUUGAUUCAAGCAAUUGUAGUACCCAAACAAUCUGAGCACAUGCUCACUAGUUGAGCUAUUCUCCUCCAUCUCGUAGGUAAAGUACUUGUCAGAGGUCUCAUACCUCUCGACUCGGGCAUGAGUCUGAAAUAUCAAUUUUAGCUCUUGGAACAUCUCAUAUGCCCCGUGAGAUUUCAAAACAUUUUUGAAGUCCCGAUUCUAAGCCGUAAAGCAUGGUGCACUAAACUAUCAAGUAGUCAUCAUACCAAGCUUCUCAAACUUUCAUAACGUCUGCCUCUGCUCCUGCAAUAGUUUUAUUACCUAGAGGUGCAUUAAGGACAUAAUUCUUCUGUGCAUCAAUGAGGAUAAUCCUCAAAUCACGGACCUAGUCCACAUCAUUGCUACUAUCAUAUUUCAACUUAGUUUUCUCUAGGAACAUAUCAUAAAUAAAACGGGAAACUACAUCGCGAGCUAUUGAUCUACAACAUAUAUUUCAAAUACUAUCAAGACUAAGUUCAUGAUAAAUUAAAGUUCAAUUAAUCAUAUUACUUAAAAACUCCCACUUAGAUAGACAUCCUUCUAGUCAUCUAAAUGAUCACGUGAUCCAAAUCAACUAAACCAUAUCCGAUCAUCACGUAAGAUGGAGUAGUUUUCAAUGGUGAACAUCUCUAUGUUGAUCAUAUCUUCUAUAUGAUUCAUGCUCGAUCUUUCGGUCUUCAGUGUUCCAAGGCCAUAUAUGCAUAUGCUAGGCUCGUUAAGUUUAACCUGAGUAUUCUGCGUGUGCAAAACUGGCUUGCACCUGUUAUAUUUGAACGUAGAGCUUAUCACACCCGAUCAUCAUGUGGUGUCUCGGCACGACGAACUGUCGCAACGGUGCAUACUUAGGGAGAACACUUAUACCUUGAAAUUUAGUGAGGGAUCAUCUUAUAAUGCUACCGCCGUACUAAGCAAAAUAAGAUGCAUAAAGGAUAAACAUCACAUGCAAACAAAAUAUGUGACAUGAUAUGGCCAUCAUCAUCUCAUGCCUUUGAUCUCCAUCUCCAAAGUACCGCCACGGUCUCCAUCAUCACCGGCAUGACACCAUGAUCUCCAUCAUCUUGAUCUCUAUCAAUGUGUCGUCACAUGGUCGUCUCGCCAACUAUUGCUAUCGCAUAGUGAUAAAGUAAAGCAAUUAUAUGGUGCUUGUAUCUUAUGCAAUAAAGAGAUAACCAUAAGGCUCCUGCCAGUUGCCGAUAACUUUAACAAAACAUGAUCAUCUCAUACAAAAAAUUAUAUCUCAUCACAUCAUGACCAUAUCACAUCACAAAAUGCCCUGCAAAAACAAGUUAGAUGUCCUCUACUUUGUUCUUGCAAGUUUUACGUGGCUGCUACGGGCUUAGCAAGAACCGUUCUUAUCUACGCAUGAAAACCACAACGAAUUUUCAUCAAGUGUGUUGUUUUAACCUUCAACAAGGACCGGGCGUAGUCACACUCGAUUCCACUAAAGUUGGAGAAACAGACACCCACUAGCCACAUGUGUGCGAAGCACGGCGGUAGAACCAGUCUCAUGAACGCGGUCAUGUAAUGUCGGUCUGAGCCGCUUCAUCCAACAAUACCGCCGAAUCAAUGUAUGACAUGCUGGUAAGCAGUAUGACUAUUAUCGCCCACAACUCUUUGUGUUCUACUCGUGCAUAUAACAUCUACGCAUAGACCUGGCUCGAAUGCUACUGUUGGGGAACGCAGUAAUUUCAAAACAAAUUCCUACGAUCACACAAGAUCUAUCUAGAAGAAGCAUAGCAACGAGCAGGAAGAGUGUGUCCACGUACCCUCGUAGACCGAAAGCGGAAGCAUUUUAUCAACGCGGUUGAUGUAGUCGUAUGUCUUCACAGUCCAACCGAUCCUAGCACCUAACGUACGUCACCUCCGUGUUUAGCACACGUUCAGCUCAAUGAUGUCCCUCGUGCUCUUGAUCCAAUUAAGGCCGAGGGAGAGUUCCGUCAGCAUGACGGCCUGGCAACGGUGAUGAUGAAGUUACCGGCAUAGGGCUUCGCCUAAGCACUACGACGAUAUGACCGAGGUGUGUAACUGUGGAGGGGGGGCACCGCACACGGCUAAAACAAAUCUUGGAGUGCCUUUGGGGUGCCCUCUGCCCACGUAUAUAAAGGAGGGAGGAAGAGGAGGCUGGCCGUAGAGGAUUCGGCCCCCGCUUUCCUAUUCCAACUAGGAGAAGGAAGGGAAGGAGAAAGAGGGGAGAAGGAAGGAGGGGGGCGCCGCCCCCUCCUAGUCCAAUUCGGACCAACCCAUGGGGGGCACGCGGCCACCCCUUUUGGCCCUUCCAUUCUGGAAGUCAUGUUACUAGACCAUGAUGAACCUACAAACUAUGAGAAAGCGAUGAUGGGCCGAGAUUUCGACAGAUGGCUUGAGGCCAUGAAAUCUGAGAUAGAAUCCAUGUAUGAGAACAAAGCUUGGACUUUGGUUGACUUGCCCAUUGAUCGGCAAGUCAUUGAGAAUAAAUGGAUCUUCAAGAUGAAGAUGGACGCUGAUAGUAGUGUUACUAUCUACAAAGUUCGAAUUGUCACAAAUUUUUUUCGACAAGUUCAAAGUGUUGACUACGAUGAGAUUUUCUUACUCGUAGCGAUGCUUAAGUCUAUCCGAAUCAUGUUAGCAAUUGCCACAUUUUAUGAAAUCUGGCAAAUGGAUGUCAAAACUGCAUACCUUAAUGGAUUUCUUAAAAAAGAGUUGUAUAUGAUGCAACUAGAAGGUUUUGUCGAUCAUAAAGGAGCUAACAAAGUGAGCAAGCUCCAGCGAUUCAUCUAUGGACUGGUGAAAGCAUCUCGGAGUUGGAAUAUAUGCUUUGAUAGUGUGAUCAAAGCAUAUGGUUUUAUACAGACUUGUGGUGAAGCCUGUAUUUACAAGAAAGUGAGUGGGAGCACUACAACAUUUCUGAUAUUAUAUGUGGAUGACAUAUUGUUGAUCGGAAAUAAUGUAGAAUUUUCUAGAAAGCAUAAAAGAGUAUUUAAAAGGAGUUUUUGAAAGGAAGACAUCGGUGAAGUUUCUUACAUAUCGGGCAUCAAGAUCUAUAGAGAUAGAUCAAGACGCUUGAUAAAUUUUUUCAAUGAGUACAUACCUUGACAAGAUUUUGAAGUAGUUCAAAAUGGAACAGUCAAAGAAGGAGUUCUUGCCUGUGUUGCAAGGCGUGAAGUUGAGUAAAGACUCAAAACCCGACCACGAUAGAAAAUAGAAAGAGAAUGAAAAGUCAUUCCCUAUGCCUUAGUCAUAGGUUCUAUAAAGUAUGCUAUACUAUGUACUAGACCUAUUGUGUACCUCACCAUGAGUUUGGCAAGAGGGUACAAUAAUGAUCCAGGAGUGGAUCGCUGGACAGCGAUCAAAAUUAUCUUUAGUGGAAUAAGGAAAUGUUUCUUGGUUAUGGAGGUGACAAAGAGUUCGCUGUAAAGAGUUAUGUCGAUGCAAGCUUUGACACCGAUUUGGAUGACUCUAAGUCUCGAUCUAGAUACACAUUGAAAGUGGGAGCGAUUAGCCAGAGUAGCUCCGUGCAAAGCAUUGUAGACAUAGAAAAUUUGUAAAAUACAUACGGCUCUGAAUGUGGCAGACCCAUUGACUAAACUUCUCUCACAAGCAAAACAUGAUCACUCUUUGGGUGUUAAUCACAUAGCGAUGUGAACUAGAUUAUUGACUCUAGUAAACCCUUUGGGUAUUAGUCACGUGCAGAUAUGAACUAAUCACAUAAAGAUGUAAACUAUUGGUGCGAAAUCACAUGACGAUGUGAACUAGAUUAUUGACUCUAGUGCAAGUGGAAGAUUGAAGGAAAUAUGCCCUAGAGGCAAUAAUAAAGUUAUUUAUAUUUCCUUAUAUCAUGAUAAAUGUUUAUUAUCCAUGCUAGAAUUGUAUUAACAGGAAACUUAGUACAUGUGUGAAUACAUAGACAAACAGAGUGUCCCUAGUAUGCCUCUACUAGACUAGCUUGUUAAUCAAAGAUGGUUUAGUUUCCUAGCCAUAGACAUGUGUUGUCAUUUGAUGAACGAGAUCACAUUAUUAGAGAAUGAUGUGAUGGAAAAGACCUAUCCGUUAGCUUAGCACUAUGAUCGUUUAGUUUAUUGCUAUUGCUUUCUUCAUGAAUAUACGUGUUCCUAUGACUAUGAGAUUAUGCAACUCCCGAAUACCGGAGGAACACUUAGUGUGCUAUCAAACGUCACAGCGUAAUUGGGUGAUUAUAAAGAUGCUCUACAGGUGUCUCCGAUGGUAUUUGUUGAGUUGACAUAGAUCGACAUUAGGAUUUGUCACUCCGAUUGUCGGAGAGGCAUCUCCGGGCCCUCUCGGUAAUGCACAUCACUAUAAGCCUUGCAAGCAAUAUGACUAAUGAGUUAGUUGCGGGAUGAUGCAUUAUAGAAUGAGUAAAGAGACUUGCCAGUAACAAGAUUGAACUAGGUAUGGUGAUACCGACGAUCGAAUCUCGGGCAAGUAACAUACCGAUGACAAAGGGAACAACGUAUGUUGUUAUGCGGUUUGACCGGUAAAGAUUUUCGUAGAAUAUGUAGGAGCCAAUAUGAGCAUCCAUGUUCCACUAUUGGUUUUUGACCGGAGACGAGUGUCGGUCAUGUCUACAUAGUUCUUGAACCCAUAGGGUCCGCACGCUUAACGUUCGAUGACGAUCGGUAUUAUGAGUUUAUGUGGCGCUCCUAGGUAGAUCUCACCAGUGUUCCUCAUGGAGGGGCUUCUUCAUUGGGAUUUCUCUCCCGGCCUUGCGGUCGAGGCACAGGUGCAUCGGCGUUUCAAAUCCACGGUCCACUUCUCACCCUCCCCCAAUGCCACGGAAUUCUUUCUGGUGGUAUCAUUCUCUUCGGCCUCCUUUCGUCUCUCGGAGGAAUCAGUUGGUUUGGCUCUGCAAUGUUGCAUUGGUGGUUUGAGUUUAGGCUUCAAUGUGAGGCAAUUAAGUGAUCGGAGAUUCAGGUUUUCUGUGGCUUGUAAUCGUGUUGGACAUUUUAUUUACGGACUCAAACAUCGUAUUUGGCCAGAUUUCAUAUGCCACUUUCAUCUCUUCCGAGGUGUGGCCAACCGAUCGGAGUCUUCCAGUGGGUGGCAUGCAGAUACGGAAUUGGUUGAUUUAUCUGCGUCUAAAGGACCGGCCAUUCGUUCCAACUGGUUUAAAUCUCAAGCUAAUGUUCCUAUCCGGCCAGAGUCUGCCAGUCUUCUUUGUCAAUUUGGUAUUCUGCAGCCACAGCAAAAAAUCCGUUCAUUGCCGGAGUCUAACACCAGUGAUUCAGUGCCGGUAUCUAACGCCGGCGAUUCAUUGCCGGAGUCUACCGACGGUGACAUCAUUUUUGGCUCACUAUCAUUUCCGGCAAGGCAGGACAAUCAGUUGAGAUUUGGUUCCUUUCUUGCUCCACAUAUUACGGAGAGAUUGCAGGGGCUUCCCUCCUUUCGUGGAGAUAAAUAUCGUGAUCUGUUAUGGGACAGGAUUUCAGAUUUCCAUCUAUAUCAUAUUCUGGAUCUUUGGCAAGCGGGAUAUGAGGAUGAUAGUGUUAAGAGUGCGAUUAAUAUCCAGGAAGUACCCACCAAGGAAUACAUUUAUAAUCGGCUAAAAUUUUGUGAUUUAUGUUCGCGAUUAGGACAUGUCAACAAUGACUGCCCGGGCUACGUAUGUGAGCGGUGUCACGUCCUCGUUGACGAUGGUGUUUGCAUGUGCUGUAACGACCAUAGCUUCCAUGCAGGGGUAGGCCUAUUGGGCCAGUCAUCUGAUCAUUCCAUUUGUCUGGUCUGUAAUCAAGGGGGCCAUCUGGGCUUUUGCUGCCCAGGCAAAAUACGCUGCAAUAUUUGCUCCGUUUUGGGCCACUCAGCCCAAAAUUAUGGUCGUCCAAAUCAGUCACAGGGGAAGCUCAUUUGGAAACAAAAGACUCGAUUGGUUGAAACACUGUCAGUUAAUGAGGAUCCUAUUGCUCUCGUUAACAACACUCCACGAAAUUUUCGGACACGGGAGGGCGCGCAACACAGGCAACAUUGGAUUGUGAAACAGAAACUCCCAGACGCUGGAUCCAGACUAAACUUUGUCAGAGUAAGAGGUGUUGCUGCCACAGUGAUGUUUGGCUCGGAUAUGGAAUUUCUGCGUUGGAUAGGUAGUAUGAUGAAGCUUAUAUACACUCCAAAGAUUAUGCCGGCGCCUAAGCAGAUGGGUAUAAUGCUCCCACUCAAUCCGUUCUCAACUAUCAGGAAGCAAAUUGAUCUAUUAUGUACAUCUAUUCUGCAUGCUUUAAGCCCAGAAAACGUUGAUCUUNNNNNNNNNNNNNNNNNNNNNNNNNNNNNNNNNNNNNNNNNNNNNNNNNNNNNNNNNNNNNNNNNNNNNNNNNNNNNNNNNNNNNNNNNNNNNNNNNNNNNNNNNNNNNNNNNNNNNNNNNNNNNNNNNNNNNNNNNNNNNNNNNNNNNNNNNNNNNNNNNNNNNNNNNNNNNNNNNNNNNNNNNNNNNNNNNNNNNNNNNNNNNNNNNNNNNNNNNNNNNNNNNNNNNNNNNNNNNNNNNNNNNNNNNNNNNNNNNNNNNNNNNNNNNNNNNNNNNNNNNNNNNNNNNNNNNNNNNNNNNNNNNNNNNNNNNNNNNNNNNNNNNNNNNNNNNNNNACAAGGGUUUUAGGCUGGACAUGCAGACGCUGCUGGUUGCGGGCCUGGGCCCUAUUUGCAGCCAACUUGAUUUUGGCUCUGUCCACUCAAUUAUGCAACCCAUAAAUGUGGAGACCGGUCAUUUACAGUCAGAGCUGCAAUUUGGGACUGGCCAGAGUGAGUCUCUCAGUGUUCAGGUCAACAACGUGACUGAGGCCUCCAUUGAUAUACCAAACAUCUCUAAAUCUAUCCUGCUACCCUCUGCUCGCAAAGAAAAAAGGAAAAAGUCUGGAACUGAGAUUGACCCCAGUAUGCUACGCAGAAGUACGAGGGCCAAUAAAUAUGACGGCUUCAAAGCCCCGUCCAUGACAGAAGGAAGGAUCUGCAAGAGCAAAGUGAAGUCGCGCCUAGUCCCUGCUGCACCCAACCUGCCAAACACUACUUCGACAGCCUCUGUUGCGAUGCCGCCACCGACUCCCAUUUCAGAACUGCAACUGAUCGGCACCACCCGCUGUGGCAUCUUGGCUGAAGACCUCUCCCCGGCCAAGCUUUUGGCGAAGGAGGGCGUGCCUUCCUCUUCUACAUAAUCGGCAGGUCUGAUGUCACAGAAGCAACAAUGGAACGUUCUAGUCUGGAAUGUUCGGGGAAUAAAUUCCGAAGACAAACUUCUAGCACUUAAAAAUGCGAUCAAUGCAUGUGGUUGCAACAUCAUAUGUUUGCAGGAGACUAAGCGCGCGUCUUUUGAUCAGAACUUUAUUAAAACCUUUUGCCCAAGACGCCUUGAUAAAUUUGAAUUUGUCCCCUCUCGGGGUGCAUCUGGUGGUUUAGUCACUAUCUGGAAUAGCUCUGCUUUUGAUGGGAUCUUACAUUUCUCGGAUUUUUUUGCUCUUGGGAUUUCUCUCACUUGCAAGCAAUCGGGGAACUCUUGGAAGUUAUACAAUAUCUAUGGCCCUUGCAGAGGUGAUGACCGUGUACAGUUUACUGAUUGGAUGUAUGAUCUGAAUAUACCUGAUACAGAAGAUUGGCUUCUAGUUGGCAAUUACAACUUCAUCCGAUCAGCCCAAAAUCGGAAUAAGCCCGGUGGAAAUAAUGGUGAUAUCUUACUAUUUAAUGAUAUCAUCAGAGCUCAAGCCCUGAUUGAAAUUCCUCUAAAAGGACGCUCCUAUACUUGGAGUAACAUGCAGACAGACCCAUUGCUGGAGCAGCUGGACUGGGUGUUUUCUUCCUGCCAUUGGACACAAACCUUCCCAAACACCGUGGUUACAUCAUUGGGCAAGCCGGUGUCUGACCACUCACCUUGUGUGGUAAACAUCGAAACAAAAAUACCAAAGAGCAAAAUAUUUCGCUUUGAGAAAUACUGGAUCAACCACUCGGGCUUUCUAGAUAUAGUUCAGCAAUCAUGGAACAAGCAGUGCCAUGCAAAAAACAGUGCAGCUCUCUUGUGCAGAAAGAUGAAAACACUAAGAUAUGAUCUUAAAAAUUGGAGUAAAGGGAUCUCCCACCUUUCUAUUCUCAUUCAAAACUGCAAUGAGGCCCUUAGUAGGCUUGAUGGGCUUGAAGACCAACGUGCUCUCUCAUUACCUGAAUUCAACUUCGGAUUAAUUGUGCAUGAUCAGAUACAUCAAGUUUGGAGAGGAGAACACCAAACUUUUUCAUGCACUAGCUACUGAGAGAUAUCGGAGGAACUCAAUUGCAUCACUAAAACUCCCUGAUGGUUCGGUUGUCUAUGAUCAUAACUCCAAGGAAGACGUCUUAUUUAACACCUAUAAAGAAAGACUUGGUGAAUCUUCCACGCCAACCAUGAAAUUUGAUCUACCCUUGAUCAUCAAGAAAAUUGAGGGAUUGGAGACUCUCGCUGCCCCGUUCACUCACAAGGAGAUAGAUGAUGUGGUGAGGACCAUGCCAAAUGACCGUGCCCCCGGCCCGGACGGCUUUAAUGGAGGAUUCCUAAAAUCCUGCUGGCACAUAAUAAAAGGGGAUUUCUACAAGCUAUGUGAAGAUUUCUAUAAUGGCAACCUGGACCUCACAAGUGUUAACUCGGGUUACAUCACUCUGAUCCCAAAGAUUGGAUCGCCGGAAACAGCCAACGAUUUCAGACCGAUCACAUUGCUUAAUUGUUGUCUGAAGGUAAUCACAAAACUACUCGCCAACCGCUUGCAACAACUCAUCUUGCGUAUCGUCCACAAGAACCAAUACGGCUUUCUACGAACCAGGACAAUACAGGACUGCCUCGCUUGGGCGUUCGAGUAUAUAUAUCAGUGUCAAUCAUCAAAGCAGCCCAUUAUUUUGCUCAAACUUGAUUUUGCCAAAGCGUUCGACACAAUUGAGCACUCGUCCAUGUUGGAAAUUAUGAAGCACAUGGGCUUCUCUGACCGCUGGCUGGGAUGGAUCAAGACAAUUUUUAGCUCCGGCAGCUCGUCGGUGCUACUGAAUGGGGUUCCUGGCCGUCAAUUCCAAUGUCAUUGCAGUGUAAGGCAAGGUGACCCACUCUCCCCGCUGAUCUUCAUCCUCGCUGCUGACUUACUUCAGGCAGCAAUCAAUGAUGCCUAAUGUAGAAAUCUCAUUCAGCUACCUAUACCAGCCCGUGGCGAGACAGACUAUCCGGUGGUUCAGUACGCGGACGACACGAUCCUAAUCAUGCCCGCCUGCACUGAGCAAGUGAAAAACAUGAAACAAGUGCUUGUGGACUAUGCUGACUCCAUUGGUCUUAAAAUCAAUUUCCACAAAUCAGCGAUGGUUCCAAUUAAUGUGCAGGACACCCUGAUUGCUCAAUUGGCACAAAUCUGGCAGUGCUCGAUUGGAACAAUGCCGUUCACCUAUCUAGGUUUGCCGCUUGGGACCACCAGACCCACUAUUACUGAUCCAAUGCCGGUUGUCGAACGUGUUGAACGCAAACUCUCAUCGUCGCUGAGCAUGAUGAACCAGGGGAGCAAGCUUCAGCUACUGAACUCGAUGCUCACUUCGCUGAUGAUCUAUCCCAUGUGCACCCUCAAGUUCCCUCCCCAACUAAUUGAACACCUCGAUAAAAUCAGAAGACGUUGUUUGUGGCGCAAGAAAACAGAUCAUGGAGAAACCUGUAACUCGCUAGCAGCCUGGGACCUUGUAUGUCGACCUAAAAAACGUGGGGGGCUCGGCGUACUGAAUAUCAAGGUACAAAACACCGGUUUGCUUCUGAAAUUUCUGCAUGGAUUUUACAAUAAGCAGGACACCCCAUGGUGCAAAUUAAUCUGGUCCACGUACUAUGAGGGGAAGAUACCACAUGCAUCGGACACAUGUGGCUUGUUCUGGUGGAGGGAUAUCAUGAGCCUCAGUGACAUAUACCGUGGCAUCACCAAAGCGACAGUGGGAGGAGGAUCCUCGAUCUUAUUUUGGAAAGAUCUGUGGCAAGAGCAACCCCUUGAAUUAUCCCACCCGCGGGCGUUUUCGUUCGCGAAAAAUGAAGACGUGGCAGUGGAUGCCUUCUUGACGAUGACUGCCCUCUCCGAUGAGUUCCAUUUGCCGUUGUCACCGCAAGCCAGACUAGAAGUCCAGGAGCUCCAGAUGUUGACUGCCGGCACUAUUCCCAUGAGAGAACAAAAGGAUGUUUGGAGCUGCUCUUGGGGCACUGACUAUUCCUCGAAAAAAUUCUAUGAAUUCUACUUCAAAGAUGUGGUGGCUGAUGAGGCCUUCCGCUGGAUUUGGAAAUCCAAGUGCACAAUGAAGCUGAAGAUGUUUGCGUGGCUCUUGGCUGCGGACAUAGUAAAUACAAAAAAUAUGAUUAAAAGGAGACAUUGGAACGUGGGCGAUGGAGUUAAUUGUGUCCUAUGCAAUCUAGGACUUGAGGAAACGGUGGAACAUCUAUUCUUUGACUGCCAGUAUGCCAUCAGCUGCUGGUCAUCCAUCGGUGUCACAUGGGGGGAUGCUGGUAACAGACUACAAAGGAUCCAAGAAGGCAAGAGGCGCUGUACAAGCGACAUGUUCAUGGAAAUCUUUAUGACGGCAGCAUGGUGCAUAUGGAAGGAACGUAAUGACAAAGUUUUUAGAAGGAUCCCACACUCCCUACGCUCUUGGAGAGAGAGAUUCAAAGCUGACUUUGUCCUCCUGGCUCAUAGAGUAAAACCCUCCCUAGUGGAGUUUGUAAAAGCUUUUGCUUCAUCAGUUGUUUAGAUCCCUUGUACUGUAGCGCAUCAUCUCACUAAUCUGUUUUGGUGGUCUCUCAGCCUGUUUGAGCUGAUCACCUGCACUGAUAGUGAACAUGGAUGUCUGACUGUAACCAAAAAUAUAUAUAAAAAAAACGUCAGUAGGAACCUUUCCUACUGUCUUUGAUUGUUCAAAAAAAAAGGUAGUUCGGAGUCCCGGAUAUGAUCAGGACAUGACGAGGAGUCUCGAAAUGGUCGAGACAUAAAGACUGAUAUAUUGGAAGGCUAUGUUUGGACAUCGGAAUGGUUCCGGGUGAGUUCGGGCAUUUACCGGAGUACCGGGGGGUUACCGGAACCCCCCGGGGAGUGUAUGGGCCUUGUUGGGCCUUAGUGGGAGAGAGGAGGAGGCCCCCCCAAGCCCAAUCCGAAUUGGCAUGGGGUCGGGCCCCCUUUCCUUCUCCCUCUCUUCUCCUUUGUUCCUUUCCUACUCCAACUAGGGAAGGGGGAAUCCUACUCCCACCGGGAGUAGGACUCCCCCCUUGGGCGCGCCAUGAGAGGGUCGGCCCUCCCCCUCCUCCACUCCUUUAUAUACGUGGGAGGGGGGCACCCCAUAGACACACAAGUUGAUUGUUUAGCCGUGUGUGGUGCCCCCUCCACAGAUUUCCACCUCAGUCAUAUCGUUGUAGUGCUUAGGCGAAGCCCUAGGUCGGUAACUUCAUCAUCACUGUCAUCACAUCGUCGUGCUGACAAAACUCUCCCUCGACACAGCUGGAUCUACAGUUCGUGGGACGUCACUGAGCUGAACGUGUGCAGAUCACGGAGGGUACAUGAAGACGUAUGACUACAUCAACCGCCUUGUCAUAACGCAUCCGCUUUCAGUCUACGAGGGUACGUGGACAACACUCUCCGCUCUCGUUGUUAUGCAUCACCUAGAUAGAUCUUGCGUGUGCGUAGAAUUUUUUUUGAAAUUACUGUGUUCCCCAACAGUGGCAUCAGAGCCAGGUCUAUGCGUAGAUAUUAUAUGCAUGACUAGAACACAAAGAGUUAUGGGCGAUAAUAGUCAUACUGCUUACCAGCAUGUCAUACUUUGAUUCAAUGGUAUUGUUGGAUGAAGCGGCCCGGACCGACAUUACGUGUAUGCUUACGCGAGACUGGUUCUACCGAUGUGCUUUGCACACAGGUGGCUGGCGGGUGUCAGUUUCUCCAACUUUAGUUGAAUCAAGUGUGACUAUGCCCGGUCCUUGUUGAAGGUUAAAAUAGCACACUUGACGAAAAUCGUUGUGGUUUUGAUGCGUAGUUAAGUACGGUUCUUGCUCAGCCCGUAGCAGCCACGUAAAAUUUGCAACAACAAAGUAGAGGAAGUCUAACUUGUUUUUGCAGGGCAUGUUCUGAUGUGAUCUGGUCAAGACGUGAUGAGAUAUAAAUUGUUGUAUGAGAUGAUCUUGUUUUGUUAAAGUUAUUGGCAACUGGCAGGAGCCUUAUUGUUGUCUCUUUAUUGCAUAAGGUGCAAGCACCAUAUAAUUGCUUUACUUUAUCGCUAUGUGAUAGCAAUAGUUGCAAAAGCAAUAGUUGGCGACACGACCAUGUGACGACAUGUUGAUAAAGAUCAAGAUGAUGGAGAUCAUGGUGUCAUGCCGGUGACGAUGGAGAUUAUGACGGUACUUUGGAGAUGGAGAUCAAAGGCACAAGAUGAUGAUGUCCAUAUCAUGUCACAUAUUUUGAUAUCAUGUCACAAGCAGAAUACUCGGGUUAAACUUGACGAGCCUAGCAUAUGCAGAUAUGGCCUCGGAACACUGAGACCGAAAGGUCGAACGUGAAUCAUAUAGUAGAUAUGAUCAACAUAGUGAUGUUCACCAUUGAAAGCUACUCCAUCUCACGUGAUGAUCGGACAUGGUUUAGUUGAUAUGGAUCACGUGAUCACUUAGAUGAUUAGAGGUAUGUCUAUCUAAGUGGGAGUUCUUAAGUAAUAUAAUUAAUUGAACUUAAAUUUAUCAUGAACUUAGUCCUGAUAGUAUUUGCAUAUCUAUGUUGUAGAUCAAUUGCUCCUGUAUAGCUUCCCCGUUUUAUUUAUGAUAUGUUCCUAGAGAAAACUAUGUUGAAAGAUGAUAGUAGCAAUGAUGCGGACUAGGUCCGUGAUCUAAGGAUUAUCCUCAUUGCUACACAGAAGAAUUAUAUCCUUGAUGCACCGCUAGGGGACAGACCUAUUGCAGGAGCAGAUGCAGACGUUAUGAACGUUUGGCAAGCUCGGUAUAAUAACUACUUGAUAGUUUAGUGCGCCAUGCUUUACGGCUUAGAACCGAGACUUCAAAAAUGUUUUGAAAUCCACAGAGCAUAUAACAUGUUCCAAGAGCUGAAAUUGGUAUUUCAGACUCGUGCCCGAGUCGAGAGGUAUGAGACCUCUGACAAGUACUUUGCCUACAAGAUGGAGGACAAUAACUCAACCAGGGAGCAUGUGCUCAGAUUGUCUGAGUACUACAAUCACUUGAAUCAAGUGGGAGUUAAUCUUCCAGAUAAAAUAAUGAUUGAUAGAGUUCUCUAGUCACUAUGACCAAGUUACUGGAACUUCGUGAUGAACUAUAAUAUGCAAGGGAUGAUGAAAACGAUUCCUGAGCUCUUCGUGAUCCUGAAAUCGACGAAGGUAGAAAUCAAGAAAAGCAUCAAGUGUUGAUGGUUGACAAGACCACUAGUUUCAAGUAAAAAGGCAAGGGAAAAAAGGGAACUUCAAGAAGAAUGGAAAGCAAGUUGCCACUCCCAUGAAGAAGCCCAAAGCUAGACCGAAGCCUGAAACUGAGUGCUUCUAUUACAAAGGAAAUGGUCACUGGAAGUAGAACUGCCUUAGAUACUUGACGAAUAAGAAGGAUGGCAAAGUGAACAAAGGUAUAUUUGAUAUACAUGUUAUUGAUGUGAACCUUACUAGUGUUUAUAGGAACCCCUCGGUAUUUGAUAUUGGUUCAAUUGCUAAGAGUAGUAACUCAAAACGAGAUUUGCAAAAUAAAGAAAGAUUAAUUAAGGGCGAGGUGAUGAUGUGUGUUGGAAGUGAUUCCAAGAUUGAUAAGAUCACCAUCGCACACUCCCUUUUUCCUUCGGGAUUAGUAUUGGAAUCUAUAUCUAUAUCUAUAUCUACAAGGUGGCGAGGUGGUACUAAACGCUUAUCUCAGUCCGUUGCCGCGCUGCGAUUUUAAGUGAUUUUAAGUCCGUUGCUUUGUGCUGGGCCUCCUUUGUAUCGUACAGAUACAUAUAUGGGCCAAAAUUACUCAUGUGGGCCUUUAUAGUUUGCUAAAAAUAUAUACAAUCCUCCUUCGUAUCGUAUAGAGUUGAAAUCAUGUUUUUUGUCUUCCACGCCUGGCAAUCGCAGGCCUCGCUAGCCCCGCUCUGUCCCAUGCUAGAGGAGGUCGGUCAACGAGCUACGCACAAAGCGCCUUCCUGGACAACCCAAAUACAUAGCCGCUGGGCCAGGACUUCGUUUGGGCCGCUGCACUAUGCUGAUCUCUCCCCUCUCGUUAGGGUUUGCCUUCCUCUCGGCGGUGGCUAGUCCACCACCGUAGAGACUUCACGUCCCCUCUCCCCUUCCCCUCCGAUCUGGUGCCGGGGUGACCCUAGCCGGCAAGGGGGACGGGGGAAGGUAGGGAACCACCGCCCGCGGAAACUCUCUCUCGGGCAAGAGAUAAUGGAUGACGGCGCUUCGGGAUCGGGUUCUGCCACUUCCGAUCUGGAGGCAAUGAUGGAAGAAUUGGGACUCAAUGAAGAGAAUCUUCAAGAUGUGGUGGUCGAGGAGGAUGAACUGUCGGAGGAAGCAACAAGAUGGAUGGCUCUAGCACGGGUGCACACGAACAAGGUCUAUAGCCAGUACUGGUUCUAUAGGAACAUGAGAAUUGCUUGGGACUUGGCGCAAGAGGUGAAGAUCCGACCCCUCGAAGAGAAUUUGUACACAAUGCAGUUCUCGUGCCUUGGUGACUGGGAGCGAGUAAUGCAGGAGGGGCCUUGGGAGCACAAGGGGAAAGCUGUCGUGCUUGCGCAUUAUGAUGGGUUCACCCGGCCUUCCUCGAUAGCUCUCAAUACAAUAGAUAUAUGGAUGCAGAUUCAUGACUUGCCAGACGGGUAUUUCCCAAAAAUAAAGGCUUUGGCGGCUACGGAGGGCGAGUUCAUAUACGCAGAGCCAAAAUCUCCAGACUUUGAAGGAAACUUCUGUAGGGUGCGGGUCAGAAUUGAUGUCACCAAGCCCCUUAAGAAUGUUGUAUCACUUGUGGUCAAAAGGAAGCAAGAGGUCGUCCGCGAGAUCUUCAGGGUGAAAUUUGAAAGGCUUCCGGACUGGUGCGCUGUUUGUGGCCACCUCGGUCACUUGUUCAAGGAGUGUGGGGAUGGGGUUCAUCAGCCAAAAGCCCUAGUUUUCAAGGACCUAAAAGCUACUUGAUUCAGAGGUGCAGGUAGAGGGCCGGGAGAAGGAAGAGGAUCAGGAGGAGGAGGAGGAGGCAGGGGACGUGCCGGCAGAGGUCAGGGAAGAGGUGCCCCAACGGAACAGCACGGCUUUGACGAGUAUGAGAAAACUGAAGAUAUCAAAAUGCAGGAAAGGGAGAACAACAUGAAGCGAGGGGCAGCUGACGCGAAGACCUUGAUGAAUACUUCUGCAUCUACGCAUGAGACUGAACAGACUCUCCUGCUCACGGCCCCAGCGAUCCCACAAAGCCCUUCCGCGAAGCAGGAUCUGAAAAGAAACAAGCCCACACCAUCAGCUGCGGACAAAGCGAAUGGGAAGAGUUCUACAGUUAACAAACCUACUGAUGCGCGUUUGGCGGGCCCCCCAAGUGGGUCGCGCCUAGCGCAAUGAGUCUCCUUGUGUGGAACUGUCGUGGGGCUGGCAACCACGCGACAGUCAAAGAGCUUCGGGAUAUGUCGAAGCAAUAUGCCCCCUCUAUAUUAUGCAUUUUGGAAACUCAAAUAGAGGGUACUCGUGUUGAAAAUUUAUCUAGCACUUUAUAUUUUGAUAGAAGUUUUGCCGUUAGCAGUAAUGGAAGGAGCGGAGGCCUUAGAAUAUUUUGGAAUGAUGCAAUAAACGUUGAUAUUGUUGGCUACUCUGAGUAUCAUAUAGAUGUCCAGGUUGAUGGUUUAAUGGAAUCACGAGUGAGGUUUACCUUUGUAUAUGGAGAAGCCCAGGUAUCUGAGAGAUAUAAGACCUGGAACAUGCUUAAAGGAAUAGUGGGGACGAGUAAUGGCCCUUGGGCAGUUAUCGGCGAUUUUAAUGAAGUCCUUCAAGCACAUGAGCACGAUGGCGUGAACAAUCGCAGCCAAGCGCAGAUGGACGCCUUUCGAGAUGUGCUAGAUAUCUGUGGGCUAUCGAAUAUUGGCUAUAAGGGCUUAAACUGGACCUUUGAGAAGAAGGUCGUUGGAGGCACUUACACGAGGGUCCGACUGGAUAGAUGUGUCGCAAAUGCAGAAUUCAUACUGACCUAUCCUGAUGCGGUUCUCGAGCACAAAACAGCCGCCACAAGCGAUCACGUUCCAUUACUUCUCAAGUUCAGUGAUGUACGUGCAUGUAAAAGGGGCCCAAAGCAAUUUAAAUAUGAGCUUGCAUGGGAGCGGGACCCGGCGCUAGAAGGGUUCGUGCAGGCAAGAUGGAACAACUCGCAGGGGGACACAGUCUCGCAUGUAGCAGAUAAAUUAAAAAGCUUGGGGGCUGACUUAUCCCAGUGGGACCGGGAGCAUUUUGGGAAUGUGAGAAGGGAGAUCAGCCAAUUGAAAAGCCAGCUACAGGUAUGGCGCCAGAUCCCAGGUCGGAUGGGACCUUCCCAUGCAGAAAUAAAAGCUACAGAUCGCCUGGUGGAAUUGUAUCAUCGUGAAGAAAUUCUCUGGAGACAGCGCGCUCACAUCGAGUGGCUUAAGCACGGGGACAAAAAUACAUAUUUUUUCCAUCUUCGUGCUAGUCGACGACGCAGGAAAAAUCAAAUAAAAUCCCUGUUGAAGGAGAAUGGCCAAACCACGGAAGUCAGAGAGGAGAUGGAGAUGAUGGCUACAAUGUUCUAUAAAAACCUGUACACUUCUGAAGGCGUGCAUGACAUGAAUAGGGUCUUGGACACGGUUCCGUGCAAGGUGACGCCGGCGAUGAACGAGCUUUUGAAUUCACCUUAUAGUCAGGAUGAGGUGAAGGUGGCUUUGUUCCAAAUGUUUCCCACCAAAGCACCGGGUCCGGACGGGUUCCCUGCACAUUUUUUCCAACGCCAGUGGGAGGUAUGCAGGGAUGACAUCACCAGAGUGGUACUGCAAAUAGUGGAAGGGACUGAGUCAGCCGCAUGCAUUAAUGAAACCAUGCUGGUUCUAAUUCCGAAGGUAAAAAUCCUACCCUACUUUCACAAUUCUGACCCAUCAGCUUGUGCAAUGUACUUUAUAAAAUAGCCUCAAAAGUGAUUGCCAACCGUUUGAAGCAAGUACUCCCAGAUAUCAUCUCCGAGGAACAAUCCGCCUUUGUUCCGGGUAGGCUCAUCUCUGACAAUAUUAUUACAGCUUACGAGUGUUUGCACUUUAUGAAAAGAAACAAGGCAAAGGAACACCAAUCUUGUGCACUGAAACUUGAUAUGAUGAAGGCAUAUGACAGGGUGGAGUGGGAGUACCUUCAAGGUAUUAUGUUGAAGCUUGGCUUCUCAGAACGAUGGGUUGGUAUUGUGAUGGGCUUGGUAAGUUCAGUCAAAUUCUCGGUCUUAUUUAAUGGAUGCAAACUUGAAGAAUUCACACCCUCCAAAGGGAUCCGACAGGGGGACCCGAUAUCACCUUACUUGUUCUUGUUGGCAGCAGAGGGCCUUUCGUGCCUGUUAAAAUCAAAAAGUGGGUCAUCACACAUGAGUGGUCUACAGGUGGCACCCAGUGCGCCACAGGUGAACCAUCUCUUAUUCGCAGAUGACAGCCUGCUGUUCUUUAAGGCAAAUAGUAUGGGUGCUAACGAGGUGAGCCAGGUGUUGGACGAUUAUUGUCAAUCUUUAGGUCAAAGAAUCAAUUAUGGCAAGUCAUCCAUCUUUUUUAGUAAAGGUGUCCCUGAGAACAUUCGCAAUGAUAUUAAAGGCAUCCUGAAUAUCCCGAAUGAAACUCUCAACGAUAAGUAUUUGGGCAUGCCGUCUGAUAUUGGGAGCUCGAAAAAUGGAGCCUUUAAGUAUCUUAAAGAUCGCCUUUGGAGCAAGAUACAAAGUUGGAUAGCCAGCACUAUGUCCACUGCGGGAAAGGAAGUCCUUGUCAAAGCGGUUGCCCAGGCGGUUCCGGUCUACUCUAUGUCUUGCUUCAGACUACCGAGGGGGCUCUGCGAACACCUAAACAUGCUGAUUAGGAAAUUUUGGUGGGGAAGUAAACAGGGGCAACGCAAACCACAUUGGGUUUCAUGGAAAUCUAUGACACAACCAAAGAGUAUGGGAGGACUUGGAUUCAAGGACUUUGAGCUUUUUAAUUUGGCCAUGCUUGCCCGACAAGCUUGGCACCUUCUCCAGAAUCCCAACACUUUGAGUGCUCGACUUUUGAAAAGCAUUUACUUUCCCAACGCAGAUAUCCUCAAUGCCAACCUGGGAAAUCACCCUAGUCAAAUAUGGAGAGCCAUUAUAGAUGGGCGUGACACUUUGCAGCAAGGCAUUAUAAAAAGAAUAGGCAAUGGCCUCACAACUCAUAUAUGGCAUGAGAAUUGGCUACCGAGAACCGAGAUGAUGUGCCCGUAUGGCUGUCUGACACCAAACAUGCCAACUGUUGUGGCUGAGCUGCUGAAUCCUAUGAGUGCCACAUGGAACGUGGAGCGCGUGCGGGAAACUUUCUUGCCCCUAGAUGUUCCGGUCAUCUUGGGUAUCCCGUUGUGUACGCGCAAUGUUGAUGAUUUCUGCAGCUGGAACUACGAGAGGAAUGGAGUUUUCUCGGUUAAAUCUGCAUAUAAUAUGCUUGUCUCGACGAGGAACAGAAGAGAAGCUUGGUUGUAUGGGACGGCAAGCUCGUCAGGCAGUAGAGCUGAGGGAGCAUGGAAAUCCUUAUGGCGAACGCGGGUUCCUGGCAAAAUCCGCAUGUUCCUAUGGAGGCUAGCCAAGCAGUCCUUGCCGACCGAGGACGUACGCUGUCACCGCCAUAUGACGAACGACAGCUCGUGUGGGCUUUGCGGAGGUGCAGAUUCAUGGCGCCACUCCUUGCUUGAAUGUACCUCCUCACGAUGCACUUGGGCAUUGGUUGAUGAGGAUAUGGCGAUGAACCUUGUUGCGAACGCUGAACCUUCGGCCAAAAACUGGCUGUUCACACAACUAGAAGCUCUGCCGCAUGAGAUGUUCGUCAAACUGGCAGUAACCUUAUGGGUGAUUUGGACAUCGCGACGGAAGGCUAUUCAUGAAGGAAUUUUUCAGAGCCCACAUGCCAUCUUCUCGUUCAUUAACAGAUUCUUGGAAGAGCUAGCUUUGCUAGGGGAGAGCCGGCAUGUCCAACAUGUAGCGGCUCAGCCACCUCCAGCAAGAAGUGCAGCGAGACGACCACGAGCCCCACCUCCUCAAUAUAUAAAGUUCAACGUUGAUGCUGGAAUCAGGAGGGGUAGAAGAGGAUCGGCAGCCGCGGUGUGCCAUGAUAAUGAAGGAAAUUAUCUGGGUAGUUCAGCUAUUGUGAUUUCUGGAGUGGACGAUCCGGCGACAAUGGAGAUGAUUGCAUGCCGUGAGGCACUAUGUCUAGCUGAAGAUCUCCAAGUUAAUCAAUUUGUCGUUGCCAGCGACUCCAAGCAAGUGGUCCAGGACAUCAACCAGGGUACUUUGUGCAAUUCUGCAGCUAUUACCAACGAAGUCAGGGCUAGAGCUCUAUCUUUUUCGUGUAAAUUUAUUUUUGAAGGUCGUGCCAACAACUAUGAGGCACAUAGAUUAGCUAGGUUUUCCCUUAAUCUGGCCUCGGGUCGUCAUGUGUGGCUGGGCCAGCCCCAUGACACAACUUGUAUCCCACCCUCUGUGGACUUUGAUGAAUAAAUUUUGGACAAACCCUCAAAAAAGAAGUAAUCCCUUCCUGUACGAUCGAAAAAAAGGCAGGUCUUAACCUUGUCUGACUCUGCAUCAAAAUAACACCAAAAAGGUAUACAUUGGAACUGGAAAGUGGACACGCUUAUAAAAAGGAAUCCAAUCCAAAUCCUACUAAGAGAGCUACAAGAGUCCGAAGCCUACUUGAGAUAAGGUACAGUUGGUACUACAAAUACACCCAUAUGUCCACGUUGAUUCUCACACAAUCCCGUUCUUUGGUUCAAUUAACCAGAGCCAGUUUCACACGUGCCUUGUGAACUACCUUCAGUUCAAGUAAGCUGUUUGGCAAGUCAGGUUUACAUCAGGUACUUUUCUUAUCCAUUUCCAUGUAUGACAAAUUUUCAUCCCGUUUACAUUAAAUAGAGCCAAAGGCCCAUCCUUGGCAGUAGUAUGUUAAUUUGACAGAACAUAUAACUUAGGCCAAUGACUUAUGAUGAAGAUAGCAGAAACGAUUACUAUUAGGCAGUCUGUUUCUUCUAUGAGAAAGGAAAAGUAAACUGACACAAAUAUAUAUUGAACUUCUAGCAGAUAUAGCCAUACCAAAUUCUCCUCUUUUUCAGUCUGGGUUGUUUGCUCUGUCUGUGCGCGCUGCUCAACUCACCUAUAUGCCCC
rnacentral:lncRNA from 1 species